rnacentral:lncRNA from 1 species
UUGAAUUCUUUGUUUCCAAACUAAACCUUUAAGCAGACAAAACUAUUUUUACUGCACCGGUAUGCAAGGACGCGAAGUAUCUGCGUCAGCACAGCCUUUCGGUCGCCGUUGAUUUUACAUACUACAACAAAAUCAGCUUUCAUCAGCCACCAUCAAACCCACAUCAACUUCGAUCACUUCCCAGUAAUUGAUGAUUUUUCUUCAUGUUAUUUCUUAAUUCCUAUAAUUUUAAGAAACCUUAAACCCUUGAAGUAGUUGAAUACAGAAACGGAGGAUGUCAGUGUCGUUUUCAAAUUUUCCAGCACCAUUACCGGUUAGUUUUCUAUACAUGGGAUUGUCUAUUUAUUUCUUUAUUUUUGUUUUUAAUUGAAAAAAGUUUUGUUUGUUUGAUGACUUUUGUUGAAAUUGUAUAUGGGUUGUUUGGUUUCUAGAAAAUGAUGAUAGGAAACUAUAAUUUGUAGAUGAUCUUAAAGAACUGUAUUGCAUGAUAUUAAUAAUGUGUAUUUAAUUUUCAAUCUGGCAUAAUUCUUUGGAUUGAAAAUGAAAGGAUAUACGAAUCUUGAUUAAGUGCAUUUCAUUGGGAUUUUUCAGCAAUUAAAAAUGGAUUUUGCUUCUUCCAAUGAGUUUUGCGUCCAAUUACAUAUUGAAACACUUCAAUUUGUGUCAUAGUAUCUGAAAGCACCUCACGAGUGCUAUUGUUAUAUGUAUUGGCAUUUUCAGUUUUGUUACUGUUAUUACAUGGGAAAACUUGGUACCUUGCUUCACUAAUUUGUCGGGUAGCAGUAGUUGCAUCUUUGGCAUGAUAGAGCCUUAUAAAUGGGGAGUACAACCAUAUUUGCUAAAUUUCGAGUAUAAUAGAGUCGUACACUAGUUAUGCAAGGCACAAUUGUCUUGCUUUUGUUGUAUCUAGGCAACAGGAAAAAAUACUCACACAGUAACCAGUGAUCGUUUUGUGCUCUAUGGAGGUUCUACCACUAUAUGCCAAAGGUUUUGUGGCUUAAAGCUAUGGUUACUUGACAGACUGAACCUUAAGCAUUUCAGUAAAAAGCAUGGACUAAGUGAGUCCAAGAUUAUAAAGAAUCAAGAUAAGUUAGAUAGUCAUCUAGAAACUAGUUCAUUAAAUGAUGGACGAGAUUCUGAAGGAGUUUCAACAUUAUCUGUACCUAAUGGUCAGUAAAGACUAUUCUAAGUUAACCUUUUUAUUUUCGUCAUUUGUUAUGUCUAUCAAUGUGAAUUGAUCUUGGUAUAUUCAUUUUCUCAUACUUUGCAAUUGGAAACUUACAAUCUCUAGAUUGUGGAACUUAAUUUUCCAUUGUAGUUACGAAAAGACCAACUUCAAAAUUACGAGCACAUUCCCCAAAUUUUCCUGUUCAGAGCGAUCAAGCACCUUCACUUUGCAUUGCUGUAAUAGGAGCCACUGGUGAGCUAGCAAGAAGGAAGAUAUUCCCAGCAUUAUUUGCUCUCUAUUACAGUGGCUUUCUUCCGGAGGUAGUACCACAAUUUCUUUAUCUUGAAAGGCCUCUUCGCCUUUUAUCUAGAGGUGCUACAGCUAGAGUCUUCUUUUUUCACCAAGCCUGUUGUUUUCAUUGUUGCAGUUACUAUGUAUUUACUUUUCUGAAUCAUUCAUCCAAUUAUGUUGUUAUGCGCAUCAAAACAUAUUCGACUUGCUUCUACUAUGGCAAGGAAAAUGGGAUGUUCCAAUAAAUUGAAUGAAAGAUAUUGUUCUCAUCAAUAUUUUACAAUUUUCCAAACUUGUUCUAAAAAGUUUUGGUGAAUUUUUGCUUUUAAUUAUUUUUAUCAUUUCUUCCUGCAGAAUGUGGGAAUCGUUGGUUAUUCAAGAAAGAAUUUGACAGAUGAAGACUUGAGGUCCAUCAUAGCUUCAACUUUGACUUGCCGCAUUGAUCAUCGGUAUGGUUCUCAUACAGUCAUACAAAUUCUCUUUCCUACCAUUCAGUUUCUAUUCUAAAUCCUUGGGUGAGUCAAAUUACUGCCCCUUAUAAUUUUCGAAUGCAACGUGCACAAAUGCUAGAAGUUGCCUGAAUGAUCGAAAUCCAUGGUUGGCAGCUAUUUAUAUGCUGAUUGGGUUUCAUCAAUUUACAACCUUAGGAUCCUUUUGGCUACAUCCGCCAAAGUUUUCAAAGAGAAGGAAAAAAAAAAAAGGAGGAGGUGGAUUAGCUUCAUGUCACAUUCUGUUAGCUAGUUGCUAGGGUGGGAUUUCUAUUGAUUUAAAGGAAUUACUAGUGUGUUUUGAAGGACCCUCUCAAGUAAAUCAACACGCGACCAUUGUUAGUUUGAUUGCAAUAAAAUUAGAAUAGAAUGAAUUGAAGAAGUUUAAUGUGGCAUUUGUUCCUCAUGAUUUUAACAUCUUUUCAGGGAAAACUGUGGGGACAAAAUUGAUGCCUUUCUCAGUAGAACAUAUUAUCUUAAUGGUGGUUAUGACAACCGAGAAGGGAUGUUAAAGCUCAGCGCUUUGAUGGAGCAUAUCGAGGUGAGGUUGAUAAAAUCACAAAUCAGUGUUGUUUACAAGUAUCUAGCUUUAUCAUGCUUCCUGUUUUAUGCAACUUUAUGGUAUUACUUGGAGCCUAAAAAAAGAAAAAAUAUUAUAAUGAAACUAUUUGGCAUGCUCUUAAAAUUAUUGGCAUCAAAUUGUUGGGCUAUUAGCCCCUUACCUAAUAACUUAAGUUUUGUGCGUCUGAUUUAUCUUACAGUACCUGAUGAAAAAUUAAUGUUUCUUCUAUCUUUUCAAUCAUAAUUAUAAAAGAUCAACUUAUGUGCUUUCUUUUACCUCUAAAGAUUUGUUAAAAACAGAGGAGAAAAAUAUAUAUUAAUAGUAGUAAUGUGUGAUAGUUUAUACUAUUCAGUUCAUAUUCAUAUCUUAGAGAGCAAAUCACCCUAUUCCAUUCUUGCAUGAUAGUUUUAUUUGUUGUAUCGUUAGUUGUUACAAAAUAAUACAUAAAUCUGGAAAUAUAAUCUGGCAAAACUUAUUAAUUAUACACUUAUUUGUAAUUAUUAUUGAACAACUUUAUAGUACGGAUUGUGUAAAGGUUGGUUUUCUGGAUUCAAUUCCUAAAAGAUAAUAGAUAAUAUAUUUUUCAUCAUUAAAACACUUCUCAAUUAUUACAUUGUUAAAACAAGGAACAAGAAAGGAACUACAAUGAAGGUAGUAUAUGAGAUAAUGUCGUAAGACUCAAUUCACUUGUGUACAUUCUAGUUUAACCACACCAACUUUCUUUCUAUAUAAUUAAUAUUUCAUACUUUAAAAGUCAACUCUUUUUGUCCCUUCUUUUCUCAAAUUCCUUAAACUAAAAAGUUAAAACAUUUCUUCACUCUUAUAGACUGAGAGUAAUUAGCCAGAAGUAAAAUCAAUAGGGGUUGAUUUGAUUUGUCAAUGUUCAAGCUGGAUGCUUUAGAUAAUUGAUUUUUUAGCAGCUUACCUACCUCAGGGGGGAUUUGAAGCAAACAGGAUAUUUUACCUAUCUGUGCCGCAAGAAGCACUUCUGGAUGUUGCAUCCACUCUUGCCAUCUGUGCCCAAACCCAGAAGGGCUGGAACCGUAUAAUAAUUGAGAAACCUUUUGGGUUUCAUGCAGUGUCUUCUCAUUGGCUGACAAAAGCUCUUCUUUCCAAGUUCCAGGAGAAGCAACUAUACAGGUGAAUAAUCACAUUAGCUAUACUAAUGUAUUUGUGCACACGCAUUCAGUUUUAACUUUCUUACUUCUUCAAUUUUUCAGGAUAGAUCAUCUUCUGGGGAGGAAUCUCAUUGAGAACCUUACAGUAUUAAGGUUCUCUAAUCUAAUUUUUGAGCCAUUAUGGAGCCGAACAUACAUCCGCAGUAUACAGGUAAUUUUGUUUUUUCUCUAAAUGCAAUGACAUUCACUUGUGCAGCUAAUGAUAGCCACUACCUGUUUGAAUUUCCAUGCAGGUCAUUUUGUCAGAAGAGAUGGGUGUGCAGUCUGGAAGGUACUACAUACUAAUAAUUCAUUUUAUCUUCACUAACAAAGCCAAUUAUCUUAUCCUCAUGUCAUUCUAUGGUAUCAAUAUCAUGUUGUGUAAUUUUUCAGUUAUAUGAGGUAUCUUGAUGGUUAUGGGAUCAUCCGAGACAUAGUGCACAGUCAUAUGCUCCAAACCAUAGCAUUGCUUGCCAUGGAGCCCCCCAUAAGUCUCAAUGGUGAAGAUAUCCGGAAUGAAAAGGUACCUUCUGUUUUUGCGAGAUGAUCUAUUUUAUUCAAAAUCAAUUUGGUUAAUCUUUUGUGUGUAAUGCACAAGUAAGAAUAUAGUUGAUUCUAGCCUUGAGUAGGGGUGAUUUUGUAUACUUAUGUAUGGCACAAAGAGUCCUUUUUAUUCUCUUAGUGGACUGGUGGUCCAUUAUCAGUUUUAAAUCUUCUUUAUUACUACAUUCUUGAGUUUGUUAUUAAAAAAAAAAAGGCACAAGCAAGAUUAGAAAGCACCGGUAAUCUAUUUCCGCUGUCCUACGGCAGUGAAGUUGAGGAAUAUACUUGUUAAAUUGCUAACUUUUUGUAGAUGUCCCUAACUUCAUGUGUCUUAUUGAAUCUGGUGAAAGGUAUAAAGGCAUCAGUUUAUCAAGUUGCAGCUUAUGUGAAUGUGAUAGUAAAAACAAAUGAUGAGUUCAGAAAAUCCUUAGGAAGAAAGUUAAUAAUUCUUAUGAGAUGGAGCUCAGAUUCUUGUAUCCAUGUGAGCACAAUUUUAAUAGAACUUAGUGGUUUUUCAACCAAAAAGGUUGCGGGCCAGCAUGCAAUGAUUUUGCUUUUGCAGAGGCAAUUUUAUAUAGCCUAAUUCUUAUGAAAUCUUCGUAGAAGGUAUUAUAUUUGUUUCUAGGGGAAGGACAUCCAGUCCAACUUUCUCUGUAAAGUUUUUUAUACUAAUAAAUACUCUGUUUCUAACCCCUACCUCCUCAAAAAGUGAAAAAUGAAUACAACAAAAAUUUGGUUGCAUGUGGUCAUGUUGAUAAGAAGCUUAUUCAUUUCAGGUCAAAGUUUUGAGGUCAAUCCGCAGAUUGGAGCCAAGCAAUGUCAUUCUUGGCCAAUAUAAAGCUACUUCUGAUGACAAGGUUGAUGUUAAAUUGAACAGCCUGACCCCCACAUAUUUUGCUGCUGUAUUAUACAUUGACAAUGCAUGUUGGGAUGGCGUGCCUUUUCUAAUAAAAGCUGGCAUGGGACUAAUUAAACACAGGUAAUAACUAUUUCAGUUCUCCUGGUUAUGCCUUAAUAGACAUUGUCGUGGUUUGUACUUUGCCAGAUUAUGAUAGGAACCUAGAACACACCCUUAAAAAGCCGGCUUGUAAGGGAAGUGUAACCAUCAGCUUAUAUUUCCAUUUACGGCUUAUAAUAUUUCUAAUUAAGAAACAAAUUCAAGAGAGGAAAUUAUGACAUUAACCCGUCAGUCUGUCUUGUUUCAAUUCCAAGAACAGUACAAACAAGAAUUCUUCAAUGGAUUAGUGUGUAAUACCUGCAAUGGGUACCGCUGUCCAUUUUUUCCAGAUAGCCAUCACUUUGUAUCAUGCAUAAACAAUUAAAUUAUGCAUGUAACAUAACCAACUGUUGGUAUAAUUGAGUGCAAAUGAUUUUUUUCUUUUUUCUUUUUAAUUUGUAUAGCAAACUGUGGUUACAGAUUUUUGUGAUAAAGUGCAGCCAAAAACUUAGAUAAGCAUAUCUUGUGUAGCUUUCAUCUCGUAAGUUGUUCCGAAAAUUCAUGGGCAUCUCCUAGUCUUUGACGUUUUGAUUGUUCAUAUGGAUCUCAUUCCAUGACAACUCAAAAUAAAUAAUAAAUAAAUGCAUGGCUUAAACCAACAUUUUUUUUUUGGGCAAUAUGGGAUGUGCUCACCAACGUUAGCCAUAUAAUGCAGAGUGGAGAUACGCAUACAGUUUCGUCAUGUUCCGGGAAACAUCUAUCAUGAUCGUUUUGGGCAUAACAUCAACCUUGCCACCAAUGAAUUAAUAUUACGUGAUGUGCCUGAUGAGGCCAUUCUAGUCAGAGUCAACAACAAAGUUCCAGGAUUAGGCUUGCAAUUGGAUGCUUCAGAGCUUAAUUUGCUCUAUAAGGAUAAGUAAGCACUUCAGCUUUUGGAACUUGUUCUGUUUUUGCUAUUCACUUGUCGUCACCUUUGAUAUCCUUCAUGUGCUUUCCUUUUGUGUUAAUACUGUACGUAUAAUGCAGAGGUGCCUGAUUCAUCGGAACAUCUUCUUCUUGAUGUUAUUGACGGCGACAACCAUCUCUUCAUGAGAAGCGAUGAGCUUACUGCUGCAUGGAAUAUUUUAAACCCAGUUUUACAAGAAAUAGAGAAGAAAAAUAUUGCACCAUAACUUUACGAGCUGGGUGGUAGAGGUCCCGUUGGAGCAUAUUAUCUUUGGGCGAAACACGGGGUUCAGUGGACCGAAGAUUAGAGGCAACACUUCUUAUAGGGUAAUCUUGCUAAUCUUUCCACAACUAAGACAAAUAAAUGGUAACUUUGUACAUGUAAAUUGUAUGAAAUUAGGGUUGAGAAAUGCCUAUCUGUAUUCAGAGGAUAAUUCUCAAGAGCCGAAACCCCUAAUUGAAAUUGGAUUUUUCUUGUAGAUGAUUUGGGUUAUGCUCGCAAACGAUGUGCUGAAAGCGUGCAUUGGAGUCAAAAAGUACCUUAAACUUCAUUUUGUAAUGAACAAAUGAUGGAUGGUUAUUUGCUUGUUUUAAUAUGAUGAUUUGUGUAUGGUUAUUUGUUAUGUGUGAUCAAAGAGUAAGCUUUUGCUAGAUUGUACAUAAAUUGUUGAUGAUGAUGGAUAUCCGUUGGUGGUUUUGGGUAAAUGUGUCUGAUACCUAGAUUCUCUUUGACUAUUAACAAAUAACACCAUUAAUAAAUAAAACCAUAAACCAAAAAAUGAAGGGAAAGAAACAAUUUAAAACGUAACCCAUCAAAUAAUAAAAGACUUAAAAACAAUAGCCUCAACUCCUUAACUAUGUGGGACUUUUAACUUUUAAUCAGCAGAUAAUUAAUACCGAUCACAUAAGAGAAACGAAAGUUUAAUAUGAAGAUUUGCGUAUGGUUUUCGUUAUGUGUGAUCAAAGAGUAAGCUUUUGCUAGAUUGUACAUAAAUUGUUGAUGAUGGUGGUCAUGGAUAUCCUAUGGUCGUUUUGAGUAAAAGUGACUGAUCCUAGAUUCUCUUUGACUAUUAACAAAGGGGAGGAUAUGAAAAAGAAAAGUUAUCAAAAUAAAUUUACACUUUAUCUCAUUGUAAUAGUUUAUUUUUUAAUAUUUGUCCAAGUAUAGUAUGACGCUCAGACUGUAGGAGACUUACAGAGGUUCUUCUCAAGCAUGCCACUGGAUAUGUCAAACAACCUGAGGAGCCUUACUCAAAUGCAGCUUCAGGAAGAAAACUUGUGGCAUGGCUUCUGCAUAAUGAACUUCUUAAUUUCCUCCAUGGUCUUUGCCUUUCUCAUCUCUUUGCUUUUUCCCUUCAAAGGCUUAUCAUGAAUCUCGGGAGACCUUGUAUUUUGCCAACCUGGAGUGAAUAAUUUUAUUUUAUUGAUAUAUCUCCUCAAUUGACCUCACAUAUAGCCGUAAAAGCAUCUGUGUUAUAUACAGAAUGUCCUAUGCUAUGCAAAAUGCUCUAGAAGAUUGCAUAAUAGAAUAUACGCUACAGUUUUCACUUUACAGUAGUCAGUCGUUUUUAAACCACGGCCCCAUAAUAUCAAACGGAGUUUAAAAGAUUGAACUAACACAUCGAAAUUCGAUUGAAAGGCUAUCAAGCAGCAAUAUGUUCUCUAAUCUUGUGUUGCAGAUAUCAACCCUUUUUUUUUUUUUUUGGUUACAACAAAACUUUUAUGCUUAUUGACUUAUGAAAUGAGAAUUAUUAUCGACUAAUCCUCUGGAUUGAACAGAAGUACAGCGAACAUUGUUAACAGCUAUCACAUAAUCAAUCAACAUUAUCAUUUUUUUUCAAAAAAAAUCCCUAUCAUGUGACCCUUCAGUGAAUAAAUAAUUUCACAUACUUAAACUGAAUAUAAUCGAGUAAAGAAACAAUCGAACAGUUUAAAGACCCAUCAAAUAAUAGAAGACUCAAAAUCACAAGAUAAUUAAUACCCAUCACAUAAUUGACGCAUAAGAAAAAUGUAAGCUUAAGACUGAAAAAAAAUAAAAAUAAAAGAAAUUUAAAACGCAACACACCAACUGAUAAGACUUAAGAACAAAAGCCUUAAUCUAUAUAGAGGACUUUAAUUUUUAAUCUCAAGACAAUUAAUUAUACAGCAGAAAAGUCAGUUACAAACUUACAAUAAAGCGACUUUCAAAAAAAAAAAAAAAACUUACAAUAUAGAUUUCUUCUUUUAUUGAUGAAGUCAGUUGAUAUUACAAGUAAAUUAAGGUGAAAAAGCAAAAAACGAUUACACAAUCUAAUUUAGUUUACAAAUUGAAAUAUAGAUAGUAUCAACUGGAAUCACUGACUCGGCCUUCCUCAAAAAGCAAUCUGCCAUUAAUACGGACAUAAGGUAUAUGAGUAAUCAUGGGCCAAUAUUUUCCUUUAUCCUUUCUGCACCUUUUUUCUAUCAACGGGCAAUUAAAGAUAAUUAGUUCCAAAAGUGAUUUAGGCAGGCCUCGCUUUGAAAAGUAUUUGAGCUUCGGACAUUUAUCGAGAUACAGAAAUUCCAAAGAAGUGAGGUUUUCACUAAUUGAGGAAAGGUGUUUCAGAUUUGGCAUGUCAAAAAUCUCCAGUACGGUUAGAGAGGCAGGAAACCGCGGAGAUGACACCAGGUCUGGACAUCCUCCCCUGAUUGUGAAUCGCCUGAGAGAGGUGAAUCUGUUCAAUCCCCACUCGAGCAAUGGCUUUGAUAUGUUCGGAUCAUCAACCACAACUGAUUGGAGGUUGGUGGGAAAACCAUCCUCUGGAAAAGAUACCAAGCUCGGACACCUUUGUAUAACUAAAAAUAGAAGAGAGGUGAGAUUGUGCAUGCAGUUGGGUAAGGCCUUCAGAUUCUCACAAUUCCAGAUCAUCAGCUCUGUCAGUUUUGUAGAAGGCAAUCCUUCUUCGGGAAAUGACUCAAGAUUUGGACAAUAUCCUAUCCAAAUCUUUUGAAGAUGAUGGAGAUUAUGCAAACCGGCAGGUAACAAUUUAAGUUUUUCAAGCCGUGAAAUAGUGAUUUCUUCAAGGGAUGUGUUGUCCAACCUUUCUGCUAACGACUCCAACUUUGAACAAAAUCUGACACGAAGGCACUUAAGAGCCUGAGGUAGAUUCCUAUUCCAAGACAAGAAAGCAAGAUUCGAGCAAGAGCUGACCUCAAGGUGCUCCAGCGUGGCAGAAAAGGAUGUGAGGGAGGUGCACCCCCUGCUGCUACUGCAGAUGUCCUGUUCCCCGAUCAAAGUCCUCAAAUUAUGACAGUGGCUAACAAUCAGCCGCUUCAGGCUUGAAGGUAGCUGGAUUCUAGCAAUAUAUCUCAAAGAAUGACAUCUAUCAAUGUUUAGACUUUCAAGAGAGGUAAUGCUAUUUUGCAUCCAUGCCUCAGGUAAGGAUUUCAAAGCAUUGCAUUCUUGAAUACUAACUGUUCUCAACUGGGAAGGCAGAGCAACCUGUGGAAAUGAAACAAGUGAAUUACAACGAUGAAUCGCCAAACUCUGAAGAGAUGAAUUGGAGUGGUGCAUCCAUGCCUCAGGUAAGGUUUCCAAAGCAUCGCAUUCUUCAAUUUCAAUUGAUCUCAACUGGGAAGGCAGAGCAGCCUGAGGAAAGGAAACAAGGGAAGCGCAGCCUAAUAUCCGCAUGCCUGUAAGGGAACUAAGGGUGAGCAAUGCUUGUGGUAGCUUUGUAAGGCCUUCACAAUCACCCAAUUCCAAAAAUUGAAGUCUGCACGGCAACUCUGGCUGUUGUUGGUCAUGUUCUUCCUUUGUUACCGAGGAAAUCAGUUGCGGACAUCUUGAAAUGUGCAACCGGUUAAGGGAUCUAAUGUCUUGCAGCAACCGAGUUUCACUCUGCCAUAAAUAUGUUGGUUCUCGAACACUAUCAAUUUUUAAACUUUCCAAUUGGGGUAGCCCUUGUUCAAAUAGAGCUGCUAAAACCACUUGAUUUGCUAUAUCCCCUAAAAACACUGAUUUCAAUGAGCUGAAGUCGAUUGGGCUGCUGAACACCACCCUUCUACAUCCACGGAUUUGUAAUUCACUGAGAGCUGGCAGACAUUGAAUUGUCACUAGCAACUGUUUACAACUUUGGAUGACGAGCUUCUCCAAUAAAAGAAGACGUUCGGGCAAUGUUCCUUGAAGUUUAGAACAUCUGAGAAGAGAAAGCUUUCGCAGCUUAGGAAAAACUUCAUUAACUUCUUGAGCAGAUCCACGAGGAAUCCACUCUUCCCAUUCUUGCAUAUUCACAAAACAAAGAGUCUCCAAUGAUGGAAAGGGCGCUGAGCAACUGUUUCCAUAAAACUCUAGACCUACGCUCUUUACUCUAUCCAUUCCCCUUAUCUCCAGAUGCUUUAGAACUGGUAGUUGUCCAACUGAUGGCAAAGAUGUACACAUGCCACAAUAUUCAAAUUUUAGACUCACCAAUUUUGAGAAAGAGAAAUCUCCUAACCAAAUUGGAAAUUUUGUACCACCGUAGCCUGUGAUGGUGAGCUCCUCCAGUUUUUGAUGAGGUUUUAACAUGUCAAGCACACGUGUUUGAGUUUCAAGGUCCACCGCAUCCUCAUUUCUGAUGUUUGAAAUACAGAACCGAUUACACCAUCGAAGUACUAUAGCUUCAAGAUUCACCUUCCUGUUUAAUUGGGCCUCAAUAGCAUCGCCAACACAUUUCACAUUCUCUAAACUCGAAAUUUCAAGUGUACCCUCAAGAUUUGUCAAAGACUUUAGCUCUCGUAGUGCAGAACCACUGUCUUUUCCCACAACAAAUCUACACAGCGUCGUGAGACAAGUCAAUUUACCGAAUCCCUUCGGCAUUUCUUCCAAUGAAUGAACAUUAGAAUUUCUUAGAUGAUGCAAUUUCGUCAGGUUUCCCAUGUCUUUACACAACUUCUUGAGCCGAUGACAGUCUUCCAAUAAAAUUGUAUGCAAGUUGUAUAGUGAGUUAAUUGACUGAGGCAAAAUUUGAAUAUUAGUUCUGGAUAAAUUUAGAAAGCGUAAAUGCUUCAAGUUUCCAAUUUCAUUUGGUAGGUCGAUGAUGUUACAAUACCCACACAACGAAAAGACCCUUAAGCGUGGGAGAUCCAGCAGCAACUGAAGAACACUCCAUGCCAAAUAAUCACCCCCGUAGUCUGACAACUUCAUUGGUAAAAAGGUCCGCAAUAGUUGCACACCACGGAUGAAAUCGAACCUAGUGCCGCCAUCACAUUCUCCACGAAUGUACGAAAAAUGACGAAGACUUUGAGAAAACAUUUGUCGGUUUUCACUUUCUAAGGUAUACUCCAGUCUGAAGCAUAUCCCCCCUGCAGCCCAGCGAGCUAGGUCAUUAAUGAGGUCGUGCAUCAAAAAUCGGGAUGCAUUUUUACUUGACCGUUGGAAGAAUGAUCUUGAAAGUAGCUCCUGAACAAACUCGCGGCCCAAAUCUUCCAUUUUCCUUCCACUGUUUUCUUGGUGCAAGAAACCUUCAGCCGCCCACAGUGAAAUUAUCUCCUCUUCUUGAAAUUCAUAACCUUUGGGAAAUAAUGAGCAGUAUGCGAAGCACUGUUUCAACUGUGGUGGAAGAAAAUGGCAGCUUACUCCUAGGGCUGGUAGAAUAUUACAAUUUUCCUCUGGUAAAUUCCAUAUGUCAGUAUUGAGCACAAAUUCCCAGUCUCUCGGGUCAUGUUUGCCCCGUAAAAGGCCGCCAAGAGUUUUUGCAGCUAAAGGCAAUCCUUUGCACUUCAUCACUAUCUUCUCUCCAACUUCCUUCAAGGAUGGAUGAAUGUUGAAAUCCCCAGUCCCCAGGGAGAUUUGAGUGAGCAGACACAAACAAUCAUCAUUUGACAACUCUUUCAGUUGAUACGCUUGAUCAGCCCCCAUAUUCACUGGAACGCGUAGAUUGCGAGUUGUGACAACAAUCUUACUUCCGGGUGCACCAGCUCCAAAGGGACGGCUAAAAAUGCUCCAGUAUUCGUAAUUCUCGUUCCACACGUCAUCCAAAACGAGCAAAAAUUUCUUUCCGGACAAUUGCUUCUUUAGUUUCUCUUGAACCCAAUUUAAAUCAUCAUCCUUACUCUGAUCAUUAGUAAUGGACUUUAGGAUCGAUUUUGUUACUCUGAAAACAUUAAAAUCCUCAGAAACAAAAGUCCACGCUUUGAUCUGAAAACGCCGUUGCACUCGAUCAUCGUUAUAGACGAGCUGAGCAAGAGUUGUCUUCCCAACGCCGCCCAUCCCAUUAAUAGAAAUAACAGAGAAUCCAUCAUCAGCUCUUAAACCAUCCCUCAACAACAAUUCAACAAUCGCCUCCUUAUCUUUUUCCCUCCCAUAAACUUUGGCUUCAUUCACCAAAGAUGUUGUGGGUAAUCUUUGCCCGAUACUUCUUGACGUGCCAUCUGAAAUUACGUUUUUCAACUUCAGCAGGUUUAUGUCCCGUUCAAUAUCUUGCAACCGAGCAGUGACCUCCUUCAUUUUCGACACCAUCAUGGAAUCAAACUGAAUAGAUCGAGGACUAAAGUUGGUGCAGCCAGUGGGAAUGAGCUUCCGAAACUUACUCGUACUAGUACCGGGUUGAUCAGCAGCAGCUGGUCCCUGAAGCAGCAUCUCCCUCCGCAAAGCUUCAGUUUCAAACUCAUCCAGUAUGUCUUCAACAUCAUAAGCCAAGUUUUGAAGCUUGUCAAGCCACUUCUUAACUGACUUGUCCUUCGUCUGCCUGUCCUCAGCAUCCGCAAGUACUGCCUGGAUCAUCUCCAUUUUGUCCUUCCACCUGAUGAAAUCAGCCUUCAACUUCUCAUGCUGUGUAAACAACUCAAGUGAAGCCAGCUUUUUUAUAAGCAACUCAAAUGAAGCAGUGAGCACCGCCUCUCCGAUGAUUGACAUUUUUUUUUUUGGUUGAAAGGAAAGAGUAAAUUAUGAAAAAAGAAGAAGAAAAAGAUCUGCAGAAAUUGAACAAAGUCUAGUAGUAUGUGAUUUUGGUUUGGAAUGUGAAAUGGUGUAGGCAGAAACAAAACGUUAGCUGGGUUAGUUGGGUUAUUAAUUUUUUUUAUCAGCACCAAUAAUUCAGCUAGGGACGACCAAAAUACCAUCACGCCAAUCCACGCUUAUCUGGCACUGGAGUCAAGCAUGAGUAAUUGGUUGGGUUGAUUCUUAUAUAAAAUAUUUUAAAAUUAUUUGAUAAAUAAUUAUUAAUCAAAUAUUUAAAUAGUUUUAUCUAUUUUAUUUAAUAAACAAUAAUAUACUGGUAUGCAACAAUGUAUAAUUUAAAUAAUUUAUAUUUUUUUAUUUUAAUUAUAUAUGAUUAUCUAAUACUAAUUUAUUAUAAAUCUAAUUUUUGUAUUAGUUGUUUUUUUAAAUUAAUUUUAAUUUUUGUUGAUAGUGAGGGGCUUGCCAAUGAGAUCUGUUUCUAUAGGUGGUUGAGUGAAAGUCAUUAUUGUUAUUCAAUUGAAGGACAUAAAAUCUGCAUAAAUUGAACGAAGUCUAUUUUAUAUGAAUAACAAGCUUUAUGGGGAAAUUGUACCAUUUAUGCCACGACAGUGGCUGAAUCCAUACUCUUACUAAUUCCAACAGCACGACAAAUCUUUAAAGAAAAAGUACGACGGCCAAAACACGACCACGCAAACGUGUUUCCGCCACUAGGGAAGCGUGAGUAAUUUGCUUGGGUUAUUGAUCAUUUGAUUAUUAUAUCAAAUAUUUUAUAAAUAAUCAAUUAAAUAUUUAUAUAAUUUUAUUUAUUUUUAUUAGGAACGACUUUAAGCAUUGGCCAAUUAGACAGUUAUUUAAGGGUAUACUAUAUUUUAGAUAGAUCUCAUUUUUUAAUGAUUGCUUUAAUAAUAUUCUAAUUAAUAAAGAAUUUUUAAAUUAUAUACUAUAGGACAAUCUAUUUUUUAGGUUUUUCCCUAAUUAAUAAUUAUCCUACAGUUAACAUUUAUUUUUAUAAAAACUUUAUAUUUGAUAACAUUAAUGUAAACAUGUAUAAAAAUUGUCUUAAUUUUUAUACUAAUUCUAAUUUAUUAUAUAUUUAACUUUUUAUUCGUUGUCUUCUUUACUAAAACUUUUGUCAUUCAAAAUAAAAAGUAGUAUCUAUGAUGUCAAUCCAUCAAAAGUUGCAAUACAUGAAAUUAUCCAUAAUUUGAUUAUAUGAAAUCAAUGUCGCAAAAUAUAUGUAAAAUAUUUAAUUAUGAAUAUAUACACUUAUAUCUUUGAUACAUAAAUUGAAUUCUAAAUAAUAUAUCACCACUCAUUACUUUGUGACGUGUUAACUAAUCAUUUGUAUAUAGUUGCAUGAGAUGACUAGCAACUCAUGGAGACGUUUUGCAUUUUAACCAAUUUACUUGAUCGUAAAAAUGAUACUGAGUAAAUUUUACUACUAAUUAAAUUAAAUUGAAUUAUAUAGAAAUUGAUCUCAAUGUCCUAAAAUGGAUUGGUAGAUGGAAUCAAGAAUAAUCUGAUUCCCGCAGGCAGAGACUAUUUUCAUUGACUUGCACUAGAGUUUUAAGAAUACAAAUUAUCAAGUUAGUCAACCACAAGUUCAUUUCGUCUCUUUAAAAUAUUAUGAACAAGAAUAAUCUAAUGGCUAUGCCUAGUUCAAUCUAAUGGACAUGAUUCCUUGAACUUUACAAAGGACAAUUUACACUUGUUUUUACAAUACUUGAUGCUGAAUCAUCCUUAUCAUCAGUCAUCAUUUUUUGCUGAAUCAAUUGCCAUGUCAAGACUUGCAGAUCUUGAGAUCUAGGCUAAGGGUGCUCACAAGGGCAUUUCAUCAAACAUCUGUUUCAUUCCAUCAAACACCUUACCUGUUCUAACAUCAAUGAACUGUUUUUUGUAAUAUUCGGAAUUCAUAAUUGAUACACUGGCUACUUAAAAGACCCUUUUUAAAGUAGUAAAUAAAUCAACAUAAGAACAAUUGUUUUAUAGUAAAUAAAGUAAUUUGGUCUUGUUGGCGUGUUUUAGAUUGAAUAUCUGGCCUGAUACUGAACAAAUUAAAAUCAUCAAUGGUUGGAUUAAUUAUAUGCUUACUAAUGCUAUUAAGAACUAUUGGAUGAACUUACAAAAAUUAAAAAAAAAAUCAUUUUGAUCAAUUAAUUUUACUCAUUUAUUUAAAAGGCAAGCAAAGAGGAGAAGAAAAAUCAGACCAAGAAGGCAGCUGUCCAAGCUUCUUAGGCGUGUGCUCAUUAAUCAGCGUUUUGUUGCAGACCGCCCAAUUCGCUAGCCCAAAUGCCCGCAAUUUCGGGCUAGAGAGCCAACACAUAGCCAAGAGUGCUAGCUUGGCCCAAUUUCGGAAGGUUCUAGGCAACUCUAGCACAUGUGAACAUGUAAAUAUCCUAGAAUACUUUAUACAAUUCCAGCACAUGUAAAUAGCUAGGAAAUUGUAGAAUAUUCUAGAGUUUGGCAAAGUUAGGCAAAGUUAGGCAAAACCUCCCCUAUAAAUAUGGGAUGGCAUUAGGCAUUUGUAUCCAACAAGCAUUGUAAUCUCUCUUUGUGCAAUACAAGUUUCUUUGGCUCAAUUGCUCUCUUCUCUUGUUCGAGAAUCUCUAGGCUUACUUAGCAACAUUCGGCAAAGUUGUCUAAGUGCCGCAUGGGUUAGCUGCGCAAAACACUCAUCCUGUGACAAGUGGUAUCAGAGCUAAGGUUUGCACGCACGCAAGUUAGCUCACGAAGCAAUGGCCAACCCUUCGAAUGUAGCACAAGAGGGUGUUGUUGGUGUGGAUGUUCCACCAGAACCAAGCCGCGGCCGAGAGGGAGAACGCGCCCAAGGCAAGACUCGCGGCAAGUCCAAGGCCUUAUCCGUGGAUGCGUUGGAGCCUCGUGUAGGCACUCUCGAAAUAGCAUUGUCCACCGCUCAAGAUAGCCUCAAGGGAUUGGAGAAAAGAGUGGACGAUCUCGAGGGAGAGUACGGCGAAUUCACGGUGGCCACAAAAGCUCUCAUGCAUGAGCAAGCGAACACUCUCCGAGGUGAGUUUCGAUCUUUCCAUGAUGAGUUGCUGAAACUUCGUAGUUUUGUUCAGGACGAACUACGUGCUGUCCGUGCGGAAGUGGAUGAAGUUCGCUCGGAUUGGGCAUGGCACAAGCGCACACUCUCCGCAAGUCCAGCUUCCGCAAACUUGAGUGAUGCGCGCCGCAUUGAUGUGCCAAAGCCCGACACCUACGAUGGCACACGCAAUGCCACAAUCGUGGACAACUUCCUGUUCGGGCUGGAUCAAUACUUCGAUUCCAUGGGUGUACGAGAUGAGGCAUCGAAAGUAGGCACUGCACCCACCUAUCUUAGAGGCGCUGCACAACUAUGGUGGCGUCGCAAGCAUGGCGAGAUGGGCAAGGGCAUUAGCACCAUCGACACUUGGGCCGACUUUAAGCAAGAACUCCGAAAGCAGUUCGCCCCAAGCAAUGCGGAGAAGGAAGCGCGAGCGCGCUUACGUCGCCUCAAGCAAUCGGGUAGCAUUCGGGACUACAUCAACGAGUUCUCUACCCUCAUGUUGGAGAUAAGCGACAUGUCCGACAAAGAUUCACUCUUCUACUUCCAAGAUGGCCUCAAGGAUUGGGCCAAGACCGAGCUUGAUAGGCGUGGUGUUCAAACACUUGACGACGCCAUCUCCGUUGUGGAGUCGCUCACCGAAUACUCUACCCAAUCCAAGGACAAAAAGGCCAACCAAGGCAAAGGUGGGGGAGAGAGUCGCAAGGACAAGGGUAACAACCGCAAAGAUUGGGGGCAGAAAAAGCCGCCUAGCAACAAGAGUUGGCAAGGAAAAUCGGAGGGCAAGAAGGAGGCGCCAAAGCCGCGAAGCCCAUGCUUCAUAUGCAAUGGUCCUCAUUGGGUACGCGACUGUCCGCAGAAGUGGUCGCUUAAUGUUCUUGCUGCCCAACUCAAGAGCAACCCCACAAUGUCCACGGAGGAACCCCAACUCAGCAUGGGUUCUCUCCAACGCCUCGGCGCACUCAACCGCCAACAGCCCGCACUAGCCAAGAAAGGGCUCAUGUAUGUUAGCGCAAAGGUAAACGGCCAGUCCGUUCGCGCGCUGCUAGACACGGGAGCAACACACAAUUUCGUGUCCGUAGACGAGGCCAAGCGUUUAGGCCUCAAGGCCACCAAGGAAGGAGGCACAAUGAAGGCAGUAAACUCACCCGCCAAACCAAUUGCGGGAAUUGCACAAGGCGUGCACAUCACACUCGGUACAUGGAGCGGAAAGCUUGAUUUCUCCAUUGUGCCCAUGGAUGACUUCAAGAUGGUCCUUGGCAUGGAAUUCUUCGACCAAGUCCAUGCCUUCCUGCUGCUCGCUACAAACUCCCUAAGCAUCCUUGACGGAAGCAAAGCAUGCAUGGUACCCACGGAGCGAGGCAAGUCCGAGGAGAAGACACUCUCCGCCAUGCAAUUCAAAAGGGCUUUAAAGAAGGACCCAAGCUUCUUGGUCUCCAUUCGGGAACUAAAUGAGGAAGGAAAUAGCGGAACGUCGCCAAGCCAAGUCCCUCCGCGAAUUCAAACCGUCCUCGAUGAGUACAAGAACGUGAUGCCUCCAGAACUUCCGAAGAAGCUCCCACCUCGACGAGAGGUAGAUCAUGCGAUCGAGCUGGAACAAGGCGCGAAGCCACCAGCCUUGGCGCCCUACCGAAUGGCGCCACCCGAAUUAGAGGAGUUGCGGAGACAACUCACAGACUUGCUGGACGCAGGCUACAUUCGCCCCUCAAAGGCCCCAUUCGGUGCACCGGUCCUCUUCCAAAAGAAAAAGGAUGGAUCGCUGCGGAUGUGCAUCGACUAUAGAGCGCUCAACAAGAUCACCAUCAAGAACAAGUAUCCGAUUCCCUUGAUCGCAGACUUGUUCGACCAGCUUGGCAAAGCGCGGUACUUCACCAAACUUGACUUGCGCUCCGGGUACUACCAAGUGCGCAUCGCCAAGGGAGACGAACCGAAGACAGCGUGCACAACAAGGUACGGGUCUUUCGAAUUCCUUGUGAUGCCUUUUGGCCUUACUAAUGCACCCGCCACAUUUUGUACACUCAUGAACAAGGUACUCCAACCAUUCCUCGACCGCUUUGUGGUUGUGUACUUGGAUGACAUAGUGGUGUAUAGCACCACUCUCGAGGAUCAUGUCCAACACUUGCGACAAGUCCUCCAAGUACUUAGAGACAAUGAGCUCUUUCUCAAACUAGAGAAGUGCUCGUUUGCCCAACAAAAUGUGGAGUUCCUUGGCCACAAGAUUGCGGGCGGGAAGAUCAUGAUAGAGAAUGACAAAGUAAAGGCCAUCCUUGAAUGGGAACCUCCCUCGAAAGUGCCCGAGCUUCGCUCAUUCCUUGGGCUGGUGAAUUACUACCGACGCUUCAUUCAGGGCUAUUCAGCCAAGGCGGCACCCUUGACGGAUAUGCUCAAGAAAAACAGAACGUGGCAUUGGUCCGAAGGAUGCCAACGCGCAUUCGAGGAGUUGAAGAAGGCAAUUUCGGAGGAACCAGUCCUUGCCCUUCCGGACCACACAAAAGCCUUCGAAGUGCAAACAGAUGCCUCGGAUUUCGCUAUAGGAGGAGUCCUCAUGCAAGAAGGCCACCCCAUAGCCUUCGAGAGUCGAAAGCUAAAUGACACGGAACGCCGCUACACGGUGCAAGAGAAGGAGAUGACAGCCAUCAUCCAUUGUCUAAGAGUGUGGCGACAUUACUUGCUAGGCUCUCACUUCACAAUUAUGACGGACAACGUGGCGACAAGCUACUUCCAAACUCAGAAGAAGUUGAGUCCGAAGCAAGCACGGUGGCAAGAUUUCCUUGCGGAAUUCGACUAUCGGCUAGAGUACAAACCGGGGAGAGCCAACGUCGUUGCGGACGCUCUAAGCCGCAAGGCGGAAUUGGCAACACUUAGCAUGAGCCAACCAAAGUCCGACCUUGUAUCACGCAUCAAGGAAGGCCUCCAACAAGAUCCGCUAGCAAAGGAUUUGCUGGAGAAGGUGCUCGAAGGGAAGACAAGGCGAUUUUGGCAAGAGGAAGGCAUCCUCCUCACCAAGGGAGUGGGCUGGUCACCCAGGAAUCGAGCGCACCACCGCACUAGUCCAAGCCUCGUAUUUUUGGCCGCACAUGAGGGAUGACAUCGAGGCAUAUGUGCGAACUUGCCUUGUGUGCCAACAAGACAAGGUGGAUCAUCAACUUCCAGCAGGAUUGUUGGAACCGCUACCACUAGCAACAAGGCCAUGGGAAAGUGUCUCCAUGGACUUCAUCACAUCGCUGCCCAAGUCCGAAGGUUGCGGAAACAUCAUGGUCGUUGUAGACCGAUACAGCAAGUAUGCCACAUUCAUUGCUGCGCCUGUCGAUUGCAAAGCGGAUGAGGCAGCCCGCCUAUUCGUCAAGCACAUUGUGAAGCUUUGGGGAGUUCCGAAGAGCAUUGUGAGCGACCAAGACCCUUGGUUCACUGGGCGGUUUUGGACGGAACUCUUUAAGAUGUUGGGGACCGAUCUCAAGUUCUCGACAAGCUUCCACCUACAAACGGAUGGGCAGACCGAGCGCAUUAAUGGCCUCCUCGAGAUGUAUCUGAGGCAUUAUGUGAGCGCUCACCAGCGGGAUUGGGCGAAGCUACCGACAUCGCCCAAUUUUCUUAUAACUUGCAGCGAAGUGAGGCUACGGGUAAGAGUCCGUUCGAGAUCAUCAUGGGAUUCCAGCCAAUGACUCCCAAUGCUAUAGCCUCGACUUAUGGAGGGAAAAGCCCCGCGGCACACAAGCUCGCCCGUGAAUGGCAUGAGGAAGCGGACAUCACGCGAACCUACCUCGACAAAGCCGCGAGGAAAAUGAAGAAAUGGGCGGAUACAAGGAGACGGCAUGUUGAGUACAAGGAAGGAGAUCAAGUCAUGAUCAAGCUCCUACCCCAACAAUUCAAGACAUUGCGGAAAGUUCACAAGGGGUUAGUGAGGCGCUACGAGGGACCCUUCCGAGUUGUUCGACGUGUGGGCAACGUCUCGUAUCAACUCCAACUUCCGCCAAGACUCAAGAUCCAUCCGGUCUUCCAUGUGAGCCUCCUUAAGCCGUAUCACGAAGACAUGGGAGAACCAAGUCGCGGAGAAUCAAGGCGCACGCCAACUGCCGUUGUCACCGCAUUCGACCGAACGGUUUCAAGGAGGGGCGUGCCAGCACAUAGCGAGUACUUGGUGAAGUGGAAAAAUCUCCCCGAGAGCGAAGCCACUUGGGAACGUGAAGAUGAUUUGUGGCAAUUCGCUGAACACAUCCAGAGGUUCAAGCGCGAAAGCGCGACGAGGACGCCGCGAGCUUAAGUGGGGGAGGAUGUUGCGGACCGCCCAAUUCGCUAGCCCAAAUGCCUACAAUUUCGGGCUAGAGAGCCAACACAUAGCCAAGAGUGCUAGCUUGGCGCAAUUUCGGAAGGUUCUAGGCAACUCUAGCACAUGUGAACAUGUAAAUAUCCUAGAAUACUUUAUACAAUUCCAGCACAUGUAAAUAGAUAGGAAAUUGUAGAAUAUUCUAGAGUUUGGCAAAGUUAGGCAAAGCCUCCCCUAUAAAUAUGAGAUGGCAUUAGGCAUUUGUAUCCAACAAGCAUUGUAAUCUCUCUUUGUGCAAUACAAGUUUCUUUGGCUCAAUUGCUCUCUUCUCUUGUUCGAGAAUCUCUAGGCUUACUUAGCAACAUUCGGCAAAGUUGUCUAAGUGCCGCACGGGUUAGCUGCGCAAAACACUCAUCCCGUGACAGUUGGCUCUCUUCUCACAGAUAAUGCAAAUCCCAAAACUCUUAACAAGAUUUACAUGCUGAAGCUUUGCAGUUAGCACAGUCUCAUUCUUGAACCACUCAAAUCCCUUGUGUUGAUGUGUUUGAAAGUUUUUUCACUGCUAUUUCUAAUCCAUCUCGCAAUACGCCUUGGAAUAAACUCACAAUCAACACGUGUUAAUGGUUUGAACUCGAGACUUUGGUUUUGGUACCAUAUUAUUUAAACAGUCGGAUGAAAUACUACCUCAUAACCAGGGCCAUAUCCAACCCUCCCCAAGCUUAUUUUUUAACCUUGUUAUUAAAUUCAUCAGUAGCUGCAGAAUUUGAUAAUUUGCUCUUUGCUUCUUUAGCUGAGUCCAAUAACCCUAUCGAUCCCCCAAAAAAAAAAAAUUUUGAAAUUCAAAAAAUGCUUUAAAUUUACAUCUUCUUCUUUCAAAUAAAAUUUAAAGAAUCCUGGUCAAUAACUUUGUUGCAAGAACAGAUUAGCUUUUGUUUUGAGCUUUUUCAUCCAGCAAAAACAUACAACUUAGCAUGGCAGAAGAAAUUUUCCUAAGCUGUAAAAUUGAUUUAUUGUGGUAACCAGAGGUAGCAUAAAGAUCUUGAUACAAAUCAUUUUCAAUCUGUAAAAUUGAUUUACAGUGGUAAUUAGAGGUGGCAUAAAGAUCUUGAUACAAAUCAUUUUCAGUCUGUUAUCUCGCAAAAUAGACCAUAUGUACAAAUUUUGAUGUUCUGAUCUCUCAGAUUCUUGCUCCGAGAUACUGUAGAGCACAACUUCAGCUCUGAAAUUGCAAUUUUUUUUCUUUUUUUAUAUCUAUCAACCACCUAUAGUUCAUGGAAAAUCUAGAAGAGAGUUGAUUAUACAACUCUAUACUCAAAAGAGUAUAAUUAGAAAUUUUGCUGGUUCUAGAUUAUUUAAAAAUAAAAUAUGUUACAUCAGCAAGAGAGAAUACUUAAUGAGGUAACUUAAUAUAACAAUAACUAAAUUUCAUUAUUUGUCCUUUUGUUUCGGCCAAAUAAAAAUCCUGCAAGCAAUUAAAAAAGCAAUAAACUAAGAUCAUAAAAUUAUUAAUUAAUUUAAUUACCUUCAUACAAACUCAGAAGUGAACUUGGAUUAACCAGCUUAACAUAAUCAUAAGGGAUGAUAAAACAGCUUACUUACUAUAGUUAAUUAAAGCUUUGCUUACCUGCAGCUUGAGAGAGCACCCAAUUAUCGUCAUUGCCACGCAACCUAGCCAAGCAGCUUCCGUUCCUUGGCAUGAGAAACCUUGAUGAUGUCUUCUCAAUGCAGCUUUUGAUGAAUUAGAGAUCAAGUUUCAAGCAUCCAUAAUUGCUGGCCCUUUUGUUGGAGCAUCAAUGCAAUUGUCCUCAGGAUUCACCAGAAAUCCAAGCAUGUAUCCAUAAGAAGGCAAAGCCAAAACCAGCUCAUCAGCAGAUACUACGCCAUCAAUCCAAGCCCUUAUGCCAUAAUCUGUAUUAACUCUACUACUUGGAUCAUACAAAGCUGCAUGAUCUCCUGUAGAAUCUAUUCUCUAAGUCACGUGGUAGCCAAAUGCCAUGACAUGAAUCCAAUUCAAGUACUUUUGUAUUGAUUCUAAAGGAAAACUUGUUGAGUCUGAAGGCAGUGUAAUUUUUGUUGGGAAAUUGGUGGGUGAAGCUGACACGCAGCUAAAAUGAAAUUGAAAGAAAAAUAAAGAACAAGCACAAAAGAGAACACUAAAAAUUACGUGGUUCGGCUUUCAGCUUACGUCCACGGGCGAAAACAGAAGGAAAAUAUUUCAUUAGUGAUAUGAGGAUUACAAGUAUUAUAAUAUUUUGGCUCACUUCCUAAAACCCCAAUACACCCAAUCUCUCGCUCACUAGACUCACAAGGAAUAAACUGCUCUCUAUUUUUCUCUCUCACAAAUUGAAUGCAAAAAUGAGGGUGGGAGGCCCUCUUUAUAUAGCCAAAAUUUUGGCUCCUUUUUUUUUUUUUUUUAUAACAAGUCAACACGGCACCACCAAGAAUGGCGGGCCGUGUUGAAUGGCAUGGCACCGCCAAUCUAGAUGGCCGGUGCCAGCCAUGACUUUAACAAUUUGAACAGCAAGUCAGAAUUAGCUGAGCCUGGCUCGUAUUUUUGGGAUUCUUCAAAGAGAAUCCCCAUAUAUAAUAUAUCAGAGCUUGCGUUUGCGGAAAGCAAGAAAGAUGCAGGCCCAGGAAGCCAUAACCCAUAAAGCCUGGCUGUGUUUGUUGAGGGGUCAAUGAAAGGUGUCCUAAAAGGAGAAUCGUUCACCGUUAAAGAAUAUGUUAAGGGUUUGCAUUUCCUCCUCGAAUGGAAAGCAGAGUUGUGAUUGCUCACCAUUUCGAUAUUAAAACUAAUACAAGCAUUAUUUUUUCUUUCGGGCAUUUCAUACACAUAGGCGAUUCAAUUCAUUGUGUAUUUACUAAAUAAAAACCGAAUUUAGUAGGAAUUGGAAUGAGUUGGAAUUAAUAUGAGGAAUCAAAAUAAAAAUAAGUUGUUUACUUGAGUUAUAGGAAUUAAAAUCGGAAUAAACUGCAUCCCCAUUGAUGUAUUUACUAUAUCUUAGAAUCGGAAUUGACUAUUACAAGUUACUAAAAUAUCAUUUGUUAAUUGUUAUCCCUCGUAUUUUUUGUUAUAUAUUAUAAUAAUAACAAUAAUAAGAAUAAAAAUGAAAAUAACAAUAAUAAUAAUGAUGAUGAUGACAAUAACAUUAAUCAAAAUAAUAAAAUCAAUAAAUUUUAAUAAUAAUAAUGAAAAUGAAAUCAAAGACAAUGAUGAUGAUGUGAUGAUAAUAUUGACGACAAUGACGACAUUAAUGACAAUAAUAAUUAUUAUUAUUAAAAUAAUAAAUUUUUAAAAUUUUGUAAGGAAUUAAAUGCAAAAAUGACAGAAUUUGAUUGAGGGUAAUUUGAGGAUUAUAAAAAUUUAAUAGGUGUAAAAUGGGUAGUUCUAGGAUUCAAAGUUUGAUUCUUAAACCCCCUCUCGGGAAUGAAAUCAAUGAGAAUGAUUCUCAAAUUAGUGUGGUCCCAACAAUUUCGAUGUCUCUAUUUUGCAAAGUAAUAUCGGUCAACGAUUUAGAUUCCCUAAUCCUAGAAGUAAAUGCACCAUCAAUUUAAAUUACGAGUGGCAAAAUGAAUAAACAAAUUCAUAACAAAUCGAAUUGAAUAUGAAUUCGUUUACAAAAAUUAAAUAAAUAUUCCAGACCAUAAAAUUUUUCAUCUCAUUUAUAUAUUAUCUUAUUAUUAUUUAUAAUUACUAGAUUAACCUUCAAAUUUUAAAAAUUUUCAUAUAGAUUUAAGAAUAAAUAAGUAACUUAAUUAAACGAAUAAUAAACUAAUAGAUUAUAUUCGGUUAAUUUAUAACACAUUUAUUAAACGAAUCCUAAAUGAAAAAAACGAAUCAAUGUCUUCAAAUCUGGAUUCGAUUCGUUUAAUUAACGAAUUGAAUUGAAUUUACUCAUUUAUUAAACGAAUCAAUUUUUUCAAACUCAAACUCAUUUAAUUCACUUCGAAUUUAAUCGAAUAAACGAAUCAUAACCCAAAUUACCACUCUAAUUCAAAUGUCGAACAUAGAGCUAGAGAAGCAAAACCUUUUUAACUAGUAUGAAGAGAAACGCUUCCCCGCGGGUGAGAUUGUGCGUGACAUCAUCACUGGGGUAUUCGAUGGUCUCAUCGUGCCUUUUGCCCUCGCUGCUGAAUUAUCUGAAGCCAAUACCAUGUCAUCCAUUCUCCUCACUGCUGGCAUCGCUGAGGUGGCGGCAGGCAUCGUCAUUAUAUAUGUUGUGUGCUACAGCCAUCACUAUUAUGCUUUUGUUAUUAUUAUUUUUAUUAUUUGAUUUGCAUAAAACAAAAAAUUAAAAACAUAUAAUUAAGAGUAAUUAUAAACUUUUAAUUAAGACUCAAAUUAUAAUAUUUGAUCUAUAUGUGUAUAUGUAUGCAUAUAUGUAUCUAUGCAUGUAUGACAUGGGUAGUAAAUGUUAAUAUUAUGGGUGGGUAUCACGCAUAACUGUGCACUUAUUUUAAUUAAGGUAAUAUUGAUAAGUUUAUAAUGAAUAGUUGUCAACAAAUGAUUAAUGGAAAAUUGAUCACACUGAUUAACAAAUGAUUAUGAUAUGGAUGUAUGAUAAUGGAUUUUAUAAAUAAAACAAAAGAGUAUAAAUAUAUUUUUCAGGAUUUGCAAUUUAUGAAUGCAAAUGGGCCUCUGGAAACUGGUUGAGUUAGAGUUUGAUUUGGGCAUGAAGUUGGAAUCGCUAAUAAUCGCAGAUCAGCAUGCUCUGGUGAAUGCGUAUUCAGGCCCUAUACACACUGCCCGUAACACCCUAAGAACUUGGGUCUUUGAUCAGAACAAAAAAUAAAAUAAAAUACAAAGGGUAAAAACUUGUUCAAUCCCUAUUUUUUAAUUUUAGUGUUUGUUUAAUUUCUAUAUUUUUAAAAAUAUCUCAAAGCAUCCUUACCAUUAGAUUAUUGACACCCUUGCAAUGGCCUUUUGUUUAUUUUGAUCUAUUUUUACAAUAUUACCAUAUUACAAUAAUGUUUCUUUUUUUAGACAUUAUUAAAAAAAAUUAAAUUACCAAUUUAACACUAAAAAAUAAAAUAAAAUAAAAAAUAUUUAUUAAUUUUUGUGGAACACUCUCCUGAGAAAUUAAAAUAUUAAUUUUUCUAAAAGAACUGAUAAUCAAAUUUUUUAUAAUAUUAGUUUUUUUGGAUAUACGUGAGUUUUCAAAAAAAUUAAUAUAAACUUUUUUGGUUUUUAUUUUAUUUUUGGGUUUAAUUUGAUAAUCUAAUUUUUUUUAUUGAGUGGUGAUAUUUGACCCCCUCAUUAUAUCUCACUGACCCCCUCAUUAUAUAUCACUAACCCCCACUAAUUAAUACCUAUUUUAUCUUUAUAUGAAAUGACUCAAAAGGAUAAAUAAUUUUUAAGUACACCCACAUAAUAAUUUCUAUUAAUAAUUAAUAAAACUAGUCUAAUUCUUUAAACCCUAAUUUCUUUAAGCUUUUUAAUUUUUUUGGUGAGAAUUGAUUAAACCCUAAUUAUAAUGAUCAAUAAUAUUCUUAGCCAACAAUUGCUUUGUUAAACGUUCAGACAAAACAUCUUCAAACAAUCCUUGAGAAAUGGAAAUUCCCUACAGGCAUCAUAGAAGAAACAAAAAGCCAUAAGGAUAGUCCUUCUAUAUACAUGAUUAUUGGUUUAGCGGUAUUCAUUGUGAGUUACAAUAGCUGCUUUUGAACCUACUUCUACUUUGAUAGAUUCAUAAUGCAUGCUUAUUUAAGAAGUUUGGUCACUUUGGUGGUCAAAAUAAUUUCAAAUUAUUUUGGAGUUUUAAUAGAUAAAAUACCAUAAAUUUCAAAUUUUAUCGUAUAUAAUAUAAGAAAGAAAAACUAUGAAUAUUUUUAUGUGGGGUAAAUAUCUAUGGGUGAGUUUUGGGAUAGACAUGAAAAAUAAAUUAUAAAGCAAUGAUAUUUUUGACAUUAGUGAGUAAUUGACUUAAUUCAGAUUUCUCCAUUAAGUAAAAAGCCAAAAAAAAUUGGCUUAUUUUAUUAAGUCAAAAUUUCUAAAAAGUCUCAUUAAGUUAUAAAAACAAACAACUCUAAUUAACUUAAUUAAUUAAGUUAAGUCACUUUAAAUUAUUAAGUUAAAAAACAAAUGUCACCUAAGUUAACCUCUUUAUUUUUUUCAUUUGUUAUGUCUAUCAAUGUGAAUUGACCUUGGUAUAUUCAUUUUCUCAAAUCUUGGAAUUGAAAACUUACAAUCUCUAGAUUGUGGAACUUAAUUUUCCGUCGUAGAAACGAAAAGAACAACUUCACAAUUACAAGCACAUUCCCCAAAUUUUCCCAUUCAGAGCGAUCAAGCAUCUUCACUUUGCAUUGUUGUGAUAGGAGCCACUGGUGAGCCAGCAAAAAGGAAGAUAUUCCCAGCAUUAUUUGCUCUCUAUCACAGUGGCUUUCUUCCUGAAGUUGUACCACAAUUUCUAUAUCUUAUUAGGCCUCUUUGCCUUUUAUCUAGAGUUACUACAACUAGAGUCUUCUUUUUUCACCAAGCCUAUUGUUUUCAUUGUUGUAGUUACUAUGUAUUUACUUUUCUGGAUCAUUAAUCCAAUUAUGUUGUUAUAUGCAUCAAAACAUAUUUGACUUGCCUCUAAUAUGGCAAGGAAAAUGGGAUGUUUUGAUAAAUUGGAUGAAAGAUAUUGUUUUCAUCAAUAUUUUACAAUUUUCUAAACUUGUCCCUAAAAUAUUGGUGAAUUUCCAUUUUUUUAUUAUUUUUAUCAUUCCUGCCUGCAGAAUGCGGGAAUUGUUAGUUAUUCAAGAAAGACUUUGAUUGAUGAAGACUUGAGGUCCAUCACAGCUUCAGUUUUGAGUUGCCGCAUUGAUCAUCGGUAUGGUUCUCGUGCAGCCAUACAAAUUCAAGUUCCUACCAUUCAGUUUCUUAUUCUAAGUCCUUGAAUGAGUUAAAUUACCGUUCCUUAUAAUAUUUGAAUGCUUCGUGCACAAAUGCUAAAAGCUGCCUGAAUGAUUGUAAUUCAUGGCUGGCAGCUAUUUACAUGCUGAUGGUUCAUCUGUAAUACCCCAGUCCGAAAUCCAAGGGCAAAUAUGUCCACAACUCACAUAUGAUUUAAAUAACUCUUUACAAACAAUAAAAAUUCGAGCCUCAAAUACAAAAGGCAGCGGAAUAACUUAAAAAUUUAGCCAAACCAUCUACCAUCUUCAACUUGUCACUCAUCACAAAUCAAUCCUGACUUCUGAAAACUGAAUCACAAUAAACUAUAAUGAGUAUAAAACUCAGUAAGUAAACUAGUUUUUCUUAUACGAAAGUACAUAUAUACUUAUACAUAAUGCAGAUGGAUGAUAUGCUAUGAUCUUUUAGAAAUACUGUAAAAUAAUUUCAUAAAAAUCUCUUUCUGUCACUUUCAAACUUUUUCAUUUUCUUUUGAUGAAAUACAUAUUCUGCAAUUGUGUCACUUUGUGCUGUGCGUGGCACUUUGCACCAUGCGUGGCACUUUGCGGCGCUUUGGCCCUCAAGAGGUGGCCCCCGCAUAGUCCCAAGAGGUGGCCCCCAAUGCAAAAUCUCAUAAAACAGAAAUUCCGUUUGCUAAAAUCCACUUUCUCAUUCAUAGAGAACUCAAUGCAUUUUCGUGCUCAUGCCAAUGAACCAUCACACAUACAAAUGCCCAUGUACAUAAUCACGCCCAACACAUGCCAACACAUCACAUAAACAAAAACAAAUGGGCAGAGACAUCUAAAUACAUAUCCGUAUAUAUACCAAAAUAGGCUUUUCACACAAGUCAAACAUAUAUAUUGUUUAGUGUGAUUUGUUUUAAAGUCUAGUUUGCUUACCUCUUGGUAUCCUCAUGUAACAAAUGCGUACUGAUACCAUCAACCUAAAAUCAUCAAUAAAUUCUCAUAAGAUAUAAUCAAAUCUCAAUCAUAAACUCUAAUGUUCUCAAAUAUCUCAAUUUAAACAACUCCUAAGCUCAACCUCAAAUGUCCUCAAUAAUCGGCCCUCAAAACAUAACAGUUCAUACUUCUCCGAUUUUUAAUAAAUUAUUCUCCUAUUGGAAGAAUCUCAAAUUUUACAGACCAUAUGAUGACACAUUGAAAGUUCAUUGAUAAAAAUUUCAUAACAUAAUUCCUUCCAAAACGAUUGAAAAUAAUUCAUGGUUCAGACAUCAUCAAUAUUGUCAAACAGUUUUCUGUUUUGAACACACUUGCUUUAAAAAUACAAAACAAUUUAUUUCUUUAUCAUAAAAUCAUGAAAAUUUCCAGAAUCAUACUAAGACAUAUAUAAAAAUCAUUGGUCCAAAUUUCAUAAUUUUUGAAGAAGUCUAGAUAUGGUAGAAAUAAUUUCGUAAUUCACUGAAAUCAUAAAUUUCCAGGUUUUCAGACUUGAAUUUGAAAAAUCAUAAUUAAUUGAAAUCUUAUCCAAUUAACUUGAAACAAGUUUCAAAACAUAUUAGAUGAUGUCUAGUUUAACAUACCCAAAAAUCAGAAUCAAAAUCAAUUUGUACAAAUUACUAUGAUUUUCGUAAUAAUUCACUGUCAGCAUAUUUAUGUAAAAUCUUUGAUUUCUACUUCUAUUACAAUCAUGCUUCUCCACAACAAUUUAAUAGAAAUCAAUAAUUAAAACGUACCUCCAAAACUUCUCCCAACAAUAACAACUUGAUCCCAUGUGUUGGCUAUGGUAAAAACUAAGAAGAUUCUUCUUCUUCUUUUCUUUUCUUUCUUGUCUCUCCAUCUCUCUUUUUCAACCGAUCCCUUUUUUCCUCUCUCUUUUAUAAUGAAAAAGACAUCUUGUUCUAUUUAUACUAGGGUAAAAAUGAUCACUAAAAAUUAAAAAAGACUUAAAUACCCUUAGGAGAUUUGGGAUAUUACAUCAUCAAUUUAUGACUUUGGGAUUCUUUUGGCUACAUUCACCAAAGUUUUCAAAGAGGGGAAAAAAAAGAGAGGAAAGGGGUGGGUUAGCUACAUGUCACAUUCUGUUAGCUAGUUGCUUUGGGAGGGGGGGGGGGGGGGAUUUCUACUGAUUUAAAGGAAUUAUGAGUGUGUUUUUGGAAGGACCCUCAAGUAUGUCAACAUGUAACCAUUGCUUAUGGAAAGGGAUUUGCAUCUAGACAAGCAUUAGACUUUUGAAAAUGUGUUAAGUCGAAAUAAAUUCAACCAAGGCUCACGGUGUAAUCUGUCAGGUUAGUUUGAUUGUUGUAUAAUUGGAAUAGAAUGAAUUGAAGAAGUUUAAUAUGGCAUUUGUUCCUCAUGGUUCUAGCAUUUUUUCAGAGAAAACUAUGGGGACAAAAUGGAUGCCUUUCUCAGUAGAACAUAUUCUUUUAAUGGUGGCUAUGACAGCCAAGAAGGGAUGUUAAAGCUCAGCGCUUUGAUGGAGCAUAUCAAGGUGGGGUUGAUAAAAUCACAAAUCAUUGAUGUUUACAAGUAUCUAGCUUUAUCAUGCUUCCUAUUUUAUGCAACUUACUAGUAUUACCUGGAGCCUGGAGGAAAAAGGGUUAUAAUGGAACUAUUAGGCAUGAUCUUAAAAUUAUUGGCCUCAAAUUGUUGGGCUAUUAACCACUUACCUAAUAACUUAAGUUUUUUGUGUCUAGUGAUUUAUCUUACGGUACUUGAUGAAAGAUUAAUUUUUCUUCUAUUUUUUAAAUCAUAAUUAUAAAAGAUGAACUUAUGUGCUGUCUUUUACCCCUAAAGAUUUAUUAAAACCAAAGGAAAAAAAAAGAUAUUAAUAGUAGUAAUGUGUGAUAGUUAAUACUAUUUUGAUCAUAUUCAUAUCUUAGAGUGCAAAUCGCCGUAUUGCAUGAUAGUUUUAUUUGUUGUGUCGUUAGCUAUUACAAAAUAAUAUAUAAAUCUGGAACUAUAAUAUGACAAAACUUAUUAAUUAUACUCUUAUUUGUGACUUAUUAAAUGACUUUAUAGUAAUGAUUGUGUAUAGGUUGGUUUUUUGGAUUAAAUUCCUAAAAGAUAAUAGAUAAUAUAUUUUUCAUUGUUAAAAACACUUAAUUAUUAUUUCGUAAAAACAAGGAACAAGAAAGAAAUUACUGCGAAGAUAGUAUAUGAGAUAAUGUCGUAAGACUCAAUUCAUUUGUGUACAUUCUAGUUUAACCACACCAACUUCCUUUCUGUAUAAUUAAUAUUUCGUACUUUAAAAGUCAACUCUUUUUUGUCAUUUCUUUUCUCAAGUUACUUGAACUAAAAGUUAAAGCAUUUCAUUUAGACUAAGAGUAAUUAGCUAGAAGCAAAAUCAAUAUGGGUUGAUUUCAUUUAUCAAUAUUCAAGCUGGAUGCUUUCAAUAAUUGAUUUUUCAACAGCUCACCUACCUCGGCGGGAUCUGAAGCAAACAGGAUAUUUUACCAAUCUGUGCCACAAGAAGCACUUCUGGAUGUUGCAGCCACUCUUGCCAUUAGUGCCCAAACCCAGAAGGGCUGAAACCGUAUAAUAAUUGAGAAACCUUUUGGGUUUUAUGAACUGUCUUCUCAUCAGCUGAAAACGCUCUUCUUUCCAAGUUCCAGGAAGAGCAACUAUACAGGUGAGUAAGCACAUUAGUUAUACUAAUCUAUUUGUGUGCAUGCAUUCAGUUUUAACUUUCUUAGUUCUCCAAUUUUUCAGGAUAGAUCAUCUUCUAGGGUGGAAUCUCAUUGAGAACCUUACAGUAUUAAGGUUCUGUCUUCUAAUUUUUGAGCUAUUAUGGAGCCAAACAUACAUCCACAGUAUACCUGUAAUUUUGUUCUUUUUUUUUUUUUCCUUCUAAAUGCAAUGACAUUCACUUGUGCAACUAAUGAUAGCCACUACUUGUUUGAAUUUUCAUACAAGUCAUUUUGUCAGAAGAGAUGGGUGUGCAGUCUGGAAGGUACUAAAUACAAAUAAUUCAUUUUAUCUUCAUUAAAAAUGCCAAUUAUCUUAUCCUUAUGUCAUUAUACGGUAUCAAUAUCAUGUUGUGUAUUUUUUUGGUUAUGUGAGGCAUUUUGAUGGUUAUGGGAUCAUCCAAGGCAUAGUGCACAAUCAUAUACUCCAAACUAUAGCAUUGCUUGCAAUGGAGCCCCUAUAAAUCUCAACGGUGAAGAUAUACGGAGCGAAAAGGUACCUUGUCUUUCUGCAAGAUGAUCUAUUUUAUUCAAAAUCAAUUUGGUUAUUUUUUUGCGUGUAAUGCGCAAGUAAGAUUGUAGUUGAUCCUAGCCUUGUGUUGGGGUGAUUGGGUAUACUUUUGUAUGGCACAAAUAGUCCAAGUUUUUAUUCUCUUAGUGGAUAGCCAGUCCGUUAUGUGUUUUAAGUCUCCUUUACUAAUACAUUCUUGAGUUUCUUAUAAAUAAAAAAAAAAAGAUGCGGAAGCAAGAUUAGAAAGCACUGGUAAUCUAUUUCCACUGUCCUGCGGCAGUGAAGUUAAGGAGUAUACUUGCUAAAUUGCUAACUUUUUGUGUAUGCCCCUUACUUCAUGUGUCUUAUUGAAUCUGGAGAAAGGUAGAAAGGCACUAAUUUAUCAAGUUGUAGCUUAUGUGAAUGUGAUUGUAAAAACAAAAAAUGAGUUUACAAAAUCCUUAGGAAGAAGUUAAUAUUUCUUAUGAGAUAAUGCUCAAAUUUUUGUAUCCAUGUGAGCAUAAUUUUAAUAGAACUUCAUGGUUUUUCAACCAAAAAAGUUGUGGGGCUGCAUGCAAAUGAUUUUGCUUUUGCAGAGUCUAUUUUAUAUAGCCUAAUUCUAAUGAAAGUUUUGUAGAAGGUUUUAUAUAUAUAUAUAUUUUUUUUUUGUGAGGAAGGACAUCUAGUCCACCUUUCUCUAAAAAGUUCUUUUAUACUAAUAAAUAUUCUGUUUCUAAGCCUGCUUCCUCAAAAGUGAAAAAUGAGUACAACAAAAUUUGAUUGCAAGUGGUCAUGUUGAUAAGAAGCUCAUUCAUUUCAGGUCAAAGUUUUGAGGUCAAUCUGCAGAUUGGAGCCAUGCAAUGUCAUUCUUGGCCAUUAUAAAGAUACUUCUGGUGACAAGGUUGAUGUUAAAUUAAACAGCCGGACCCCCACAUAUUUUGCUGCUGCAUUAUACAUUGGCAAUGCACGUUGGGAUGGCGUGCCUUUUGUAAUAAAAGCUAGCAUGGGACUAAUCAAACAUAGGUAAUAGCUAUUUUAGUUUUGCUGUUUAUGCCUUAAUAGACAUUUUCGUGGUUUGUACAUUGCCAGAUUAUGAUAGGAACCUAGAGCACACCCUUAAAAAGAUGGCUUGUGAGGUAAGUGUAACCCUUAGCUUAUAUUCCCAUUCAGAUUUACAGCUUACAAUAUUUCUAAAAACAUAAAAUUAAGAAACGAAUUCAAGAGAGGAAAUUAUGACAUUAACCUAUCAGUCUCUCUUGUUACAAUUCCAAGAACAUUACAAACAAGAAUUCUUCAGUGGAUUAAGUGUGCAAUACCUAAAAUAGGUACCACUUGAAACGACCAGCCCCGAAUCCCCCCAGGCGAGUCUAUUUAGUAUCAUCAAAACGGACUUGAUAAUAAUUCUAUUCGUAAAGAUUCUGCCGAAAAUUCGAUAAAGUCUCCCUUAUAUAUAUAACACUCCCAAUCUACAAAUGUGAAUAUAACACUCCCAAUGCAAUUCAAUAUACAACAAACUCCAGUAUUCAACAUCCUCAACCAAAAUGCUAAGUUUUAUAUCUCCAGAGUCUCAAAAGAUAAUAUUAUAACUAAUAUUAGUAUCUCAAUGUAUUUUUAAUCCCAAAAGAUAACAAAAAUAUACAAUCCCAAAAAAAAAAUGACCAAAUGUCCUAACAAAAACAUUUAUAUUUUCUAACACCAUCACGUGACAAAGACUCAAAAUAUAUUUACAAUCGCUGGAUUGAUUUGGUGUACCUGCAACCUCCUAGUGAAGGGGGAAAAAUAUAAUAAAAACGAAAUGAGUUUAAAACUCAGUGAGAUCAGUGAAUGGAUAGUAAUUUUGAAAAUUAAUUCCUACUUUAAAAGAAAUAAUCAUAUCAUUUCCAAACACGAUUUCAUUAAACUAUAAGCCAGAAACCAGUAAUAAAUCAUUAAGCAAUUAAGUCAGAUUACUAACCAUGGAAAUCAUAUCACAAUAUCAUAUAGAAUUCACAAAUCUGAAAAUCAUCACCAAACAAGUAUCUAGGAAAAUAAUCUCGUCAUAUCCGGACCUCAACGGACGGGCAAUGACGUACUAUCUGGGUACAUCACGCCCCAGAGCUACACGAAUAGAUAGGGAAAUACCAUCUCAUAUCUCAUCAUAUCUGUGCAUGCAUAAUCUAGUUCCCAAGGGACGAAAGCGCCCAAGCACACGGGCCAAAACCUCUAUGUGUAUCAGACGGGCCCCAAAGACCUCUCAUCUCAUAUCAUCUGUAUCACUGUAUCUGGAGAAGAAGGGUACUAUCUAAUGAUUUCAAAAACAAUCAUUAUACUCAUAUUCACAUACCUCUUAACCAUAUUUUAAAUCAUACCACAUUUGAAUCAACUUUUCUUAUCUUUAAAAUACUAUCAUGCUUUAUUCAAAAUCGAUACGCAAAAUCAUUAACCAAACAUUUCGAGAAAUCAUUAAAUCAGAACAUGUAAAAUACUUAUUUCGCAAAUAUGCUUUACUAUUAUAAUUAACUAUAAAAAUAAGUUUUGUAUAUUCCACUCACAGUGACGGUGUUCACGGUCAGUUAUCGUCCACGUCCGCGGACCGAUUCUCGCUCGCGGAUCCUCCUAAAUCAAGGAAACGACAUAAUUAUUUUCCGUAAAUCGAAAUUACGACUAUAUUUAUGCAAUAAACUCGAAACGAAUAUUUAUCCCUAAUUUACAACUCUCGUGUCUAUAAAAUUAUUAAAAUACCCUUGACUCCGUAGAUCAUUAACAUGUUCUGAAAUCAUAAAUCACUGAAUUACCCUCGAAAUCGUAAUUACACCCAAUCCUCAAUUCUAGGAAUUACUACAAUAUCCACAGGCUCAGAAAUUACAAAAUGCCCUUACCGGUCAACGGUCACCGGAAUUUGGACAAUACUGGCUAGGAAGCUCAAAUCUUAAAGUUCCAAUCACGCUGAGUUCAAUGAUACCGGCAGUGAGCUCCAACGUGCGGCAACGACGCCGGAAUCUAGCUCGGCAACCGUGAAUUCCAACAAUCGACCGGCGGCAAAACAGUGACUCUCGGUGCCUAUGGAUGGUCGGAUAUGGAAGAGGGAGUCGUGAGGAACAAACUCCAACCGGUGGUGUCACCCAAAACCGGCGAAAAUCCCGGCGGAGCAAAGUGAAACAGUCGCCGGUUUCAAGCUUCGAUCGCCGGCGUUCCGGUUGGUUUUCGGCGACGAGGAUGGAAGGGAAUGACGGUCGGCUUCUAAGCUUCAGAUUGGUACCAAGCUCGGCCGAAACGGUGGCCGGAAAUGGGAGAUAUGGCCGGGUCAAGGUCGCGGGUUCCGGGUCGGGUUUUUGGGUCAGUUGAUAGCUUCUGUUACUCCUACACAUGUGUGUAUAUGUUCCCUGUUUCUAGCUUAUUCUAUUCUUUUGCUUAUACAAUCCUCAACCGCCAAAAUCCGUAACCGCCUCUUUUUUUUUUUUUUUUAAAAUUCACGUAUGUUACACCACUACUCAUUUUUUCCGGAUAACCAUCACUUUGUAUCAUGCAUAAACAAUUAAAUUAUGCAUGUAACAUAACCAACUGCUGGUAUAAUCGAGUGAACAUGAUUUUUUUUUUCUCAACUUGUACAACACACUGGUAAUAGAUUUUUUUUGCUCAAGUGCAACCAACAACUUAGAUAAGCAUCACUUGUGUAGGUUUCAUCCUGUCAGUUGUUCCGACAAUUCGUAGACAUCUCCAAGUCUUUGACGUAUUGAUUUUUCAUAUGGAUCUCAUUCCAUGGCAAUUAAAAUUACAUAAUAAAUAAAUGCAUGUUCAUUACACACUGAGGAUUUAAAUUGAUUAAGUUUAUUAAACUUGUGCAAAUUAUUAUUAUCAUUGAUUUAUGGCCUAAUUCACGUAGUCUAGUUCAAUGCUUCAUAACUUUUAUAAUUGUUCUCUUCACUUCAACGAUCAAGAUAAUGCACUAACUAUGGAAGUGAAAAGGCUGUAAUCUUGUAAAAUGAAAUGCCCAUCUCAUUACUGACUGAACAAUCUUUUAUUUAUUAAACACUUGUAAUUCAUAGAUUUUUGUAUAAAGAGCCAAAACUAAUGAUUGUCGUCUCUAAGAGUUAAGACGGAGUUGGCUUAAACCAACAUUUCUUUCGGAAUAUGGGAUGUGCUCACCAACGUUAGCCAUAUAAUGUAGAGUGGAGAUACAUAUACAGUUUCGACAUGUUCCAGGGAAUAACUAUCAUGAAAGUUUUGGGCAUAACAUCGACCUUGCCACAAAUGAACUAAUAUUACACGAUGUGCUUGAUGAGGCCAUUCCAGUCAGAGUCAACAAUAAAAGUUCCAGGAUUAGGCUUUCAAUUGGAUGCUUCGGAGAUUAAUUUGCUCUAUAAGACACUUCAGUUUAUGGAACUUGUUCUGUUUCUGCUUGUCUUUUGUGUUCAUAUCCUUCACGUGCUUGUCUUUUAUGUUGAUACUACAGGUAUAACGUGGAGGUGCCUGAUUCAUACGAACAUCUUCUUCUUGAUGUUGUCAAUGGCGACAACCAUCUCUUCAUGAGAAGCGAUGAGCUUACUGCUGCAUGGAAUAUUUUAAACCCAGUUUUACAGGAAUAGACAAGAACAAUAUUGCACCAUAACUAUACGAGCUGGGUGGUAGAGGUCCCGUUGGAGUGUAUUAUCUUUGGUUGAAACAUGGGGUUCAUUAGACUGAAGAUUAGAAGCAACACUUGUUAUAGGGUAAUGUUGCCAAUCUUUCCACAACUAAGACAAAUACAUGAUAGCUUUGUACAUGUAAAUUGUGUGAAAUUAGGCUUGAGAAAUGCCAAUCCGGAUUCAGAGGGUAAUUCUCAAGAGCAUAAACCCCUAAUUGAAAUUGGAUUUUUCUUGUAGGUGAUUUGGGUCAUGCUAAAAAACGAUGUGCUGAGACUUAGUUUAAGAUAACGGGUAGCAUGCAUCUGAGUCAAAAAGUACCUUAAAUUUCAUUUUCUAAUGAACAAAUGAUUUAUGGGAAUUUGCUUAUUUUAAUAUGAAGAUUUGUGUAUGGUUAUUUGUUAGGUGUGAUCAAAGAGUAAGCUUUUGCUAGAUUGUACAUAAAUUGUUGAUGAUGAUGGAUAUCCGUUGGUGGUUUUGAGUGAAUGUGUCUGAUCCUAGAUUCUCUUUGGGUAUUGACAGGGGGGAGGAUACAAAAAAAGAAAGUUACUGAAAUAAAUUUACACGAUAUUUUUUAAAUUGUAGGAGACUUGUAGAGGUUCUUCUCAAGCAUGCUUUUUGGUGAGUGAAUUUGAUACCACUGAAGUGUAAUUUUGUGGGUAUGUAUAAGAUUGCGUGCAUGGUCUUUGCCUUUGUCAUCUCUUUGUUUUCUCACUUCAAAUGCUUAUCAUGAAUCUCAGGAGAGCUUGCAUUUUGCUAACCUGGAGUGAACAAUUUUAUUUUAUCUGGUCCCUUAUUUAUACAUCUGCUCAAUUGACCUCCCCUAUAGCCGUGAAAGCAUCCGUGCUUCUGUGUUAUGUACAGAAUAAUAUUCUACUUUGGAGUAGGAAUUGCAUAAUGUUGUUGAUUCAAGAAUUUUCACCGCAUUUCAGAACUUCGUAUGCAGAAUGCUCUAGAAAAUUGCAUAUCAAACGGAGUUUAAAAGAUUGAACUAACACAAAGAAAUUCCAUUGAAAGCUUAUGCCGAUCUUUUUUUUUUUUUCCUCAACUGAAGUUUUAUUCUUAUUGACUUAUGAAAUGAGAAAAUUUUAUCGAUUAAAAAUAUUAUCGUGGAUUGAACAAAAAUACCAAUUCAAGAAAGCUAACAUUGUUAACAGCUAUUACAUAAUCAAUCAACACUGUCAUUUAAAAAAAAAAAAAAAGUCCUAUCACGUUACCCUUUAAUAAAUAAAAUAAUUUCACGUACUUCCACUGAAUAUAAUCAAUGAAAAAAAUAAUUUAAGACCACACCAGAUAGUAUGAGACUUAAAAACAAAAGCCUCAAGUCCUUAACCAUAUGGAAGAUUUUUAAUUUUUAAUCACAAUAUAAUUAAUACCGACGCAUAAGAGAAAUGACAGAUUAAGAUUUAAAAAAAAAAAAUUUUAAGCUUAACACACCAAACAAUGUAAACACAAUUAACUCAAUAGCAAAAAAGUCACUUACAACAAAAUUUAAAACGUAACCCAGCAAAUAGGAGAAGACUUAAGAACAAAAGCCUUAAUCUAUUUUAUAGAGGACUUUUAAUUUUUAAUCUCAAGACGAGUAAUUCAACAGAAGAAAAGUCAGUUACAAUAAAGCGCAUCAUGGAAUCCCUGAUAGAAACUUAAGUGUUUAUGUUUGGCAGUCGAGAAUGCUAAAGAAAAUGAAAGAAAAUCUCUUUCUGGAAACUUAUAGAAUAUUCACAUUAAUAUCAUGAGCUUGUUACAGUUCGUUAGCUAAUUUGUUACACACACGUGAGAGCUAACCCAAAUAACUAACUAAUCCACGUCGUCAGCUUAAGUGAGCUGAUUAGCUGCUGUCAAGAGCACAAUAACAGCAUGUACACGAUUUCUCUGUUCCUUCUCAUUUAAUCAGUUUCACUAACAUCAUCCCUCCUUGAACACUGGAGUUUCUUCUUCUCUUAUUACUUCUUUCCUCUCCUCUUCUUACUUUAUCAACUUCACUGACAAUCCCAAACAUAAUUUUAUUCUUUUAUUGAUAAAGUCAGUUCAUAUUACAAUUAAAUUACAGGUUGGAAAAAAAAAACAGAAAUUAUGAUUACACAAUCUAAUUGAUGGGUCUUCCUUCAAAAGGCGAUCUGCCAUUAAUUUCGACACGAGGUAUAUGGGAAAUCAUGGGCCAAUAUUUUCCUUCAUCCUUUCUGCACCUUUCUUCUAUCAACGGGCAAUCAUGGAUGGUUAGUAGCGAAAGUGAUUUAGGCAGGCCCUGCUCUGAAAAGUAUUUGAGCUUCGGACAAUUAUCGAGAUCCAGAGUUUCCAAUGAAGUUAGGUUUUCACCAACUGAGGAUAGGCGUUUCAGAUCUGGCAUAUCUGAAAUCUUUAAGCCGGUUAGAGAGGCAGGAAACGGCGGAGAUGACACCAGGUCUGGACAUCCUCCCCGGAUUUUGAAUCGCCUGAGAGAGAUGAAUCUGUUGAAUCCCCACUCGAGCAAUGACUUUGUUAUCUUCAGACCUCCAACCCCAAGAGAUUGGAGGUUGGUGGGAAAACCAUCCUCUGGGAAUGAUACCACGCUAGGACACUCACUUAUUUCUAAAUUUAGAAGAGAGGUGAGAUUGUGCAUGCAGUUGGGUAAGGCCUUCAGAUUCUCACAUUUCCUUAUACUGAGCUCAGUCAGUUUCGUAGAAGGCAAUCCUUCUUUAGGAAAUGACUCAAGAUUUGGACAAUUUAAUAUCCAAAUCUUUUGAAGAUGGUGGAGAUUAUGCAAACCGGCAGGUAAUGAUUUAAGAUUUUCAAGGCUGUAAAUAAGAAUUUUUUCAAGGGAUGUGUUGUCCAACCUUUCUGCUAACGACUCCAGCUUUGAACAGUCUCCGACAUCAAGGUACUUAAGAGACUGAGGUAGAUUUCCAUUCCGUGACAAGAAAGCAAGAUUCGAGCAAGAACUGACCCCAAGGUGCUCCAGCGUGGCAGGUAACUCGUUGUGCAUCCAUGCCUCGGGUAAGGAUUCCAAAGCAUCGCAUUUUGCAAUUACAACUGAUCUCAACUGGGAAGGCAGAGCAACCUCUGGAAAUGAAACAAAUGAAUUACAACUCCAAAUCCCCAAACUCUCAAGAGAUGAAUUGGAGUUGUGCAUCCAUGCCCCAGGUAAGGAUUCCAAAGCAUUGCAUCCUUCUAUUAUAACUGAUCUCAACUGGGAAGGCAGAGCAACCUCUGGAAAUGAAACAAGUGAAUUACAACUCCGAAUCUCCAAACUCUCAAGAGAUGAAUUGGAGUUGUGCAUCCAUGCCUCAGGUAAGGAUUUCAAAGCAUUGCAUUCUUGAAUUCUAACUGUUCUCAACUGAGAAGGCAGAGCAACCUCUGGAAAUGAAACAAGUGAAGUGCAGCCAUGUAUCCACAUCUCUGUAAGGGAACUAAGUGUGAGCAAUGCUUGUAGUAGCCUUGUAAGGCCUUCGCAAUAACUCAAUUUCAAAAAUUGAAGCCUACACGGCGACUCUGGCUGUUGCUGGUCAUGUUCUUCCUCUGUUACUAAGGAAAGCAGUUGGGGACAUCUUGAAAUCUGCAACCGAUUAAGGGAUCUAAUGCUUUGCGGCAACCGAGUUUCACUCCGCCAAAAAUAUGCCUGCUCUCGAACAUUAACUGCAUGCACUAAAUGUGGGCUGCUGAACACCACCCUUUUACAUCCAUCGAUUUGUAAUUCACUGAGAGCUGGAAGACAUUGAAUUGUCACUACCAACUGAUAACAACUUCUGAUGACGAGCGUCUCCAAUAAAAGAAGACGUUUGGGCAAUGUUCCUCGAAGUUUACGACAUUUGACAAGAGAAAGCUUUCGCAGCUUAGGAAACACUUCAUCAACUUCUUGACCAGCUCCGCAAGGUAUCCACUCUUCCCAUUCUCUCAUAUCAGAAAAGGAAAGGGUCUCCAGUAAUGGAAAGGGCACUGAGCAACUGUUUCCAUAAAACUCCGACCCCACGCUCGCUACUCCGUCCAUUCCACUUAUAUCAAGUUCCUUUAGAAAUGGUAGUUGCCCUACCGAUGGCAAAGAUGUGGACAUGCACCGACGUAAUUCUAGACGCGCCAAUUUUGAGAAAGAGGAAUCUCCUAGCCAACUUGGAAAUUUUGUACCACCAUAGCCUGUGAUGGUGAGCUCUUGUACAUCUCGAUGUGAUUUUAGCAUGCGAAGAACAUCUGCUUCAAAUUCACACCGUUCAGAUCGUGCACUCCAUUCGAGCGAUAAAGCUUCAAGAUUCACCUUGUUGUUUAACUGAGCCUCACUGGCAUCGCCAACAUCUUUCACAUUCUCCAACUUCGAAAUUUUCAGUCUCCCCUGAAGAUGCGUCAAAGACUUUAACUCUCGUAGCCCAGAACCACUGUCUUUUCCCACAGCAAAUCUACCCAGCGUCAAGAGACAAGUCAUUUUACCGAAUCCCUUCGGCAUUUCCUCCAAUAAAUAGGCAUCAGAAUUUCUUAGAUGACGCAGUUUCGUCAGGUUUCCCAUGUCUUUAAACAACUUCUUGAGCUGAUGACAGCCUUCCAACAAAAUUGUAUGCAAGUUGUACAAUGAAUUAAUUGACUCGGGCAAAAUUUGAAUCCUCGUUCUGGAUAAGUUAAGACAGCGUAAAUGCUUCAAGUUUCCAAUUUCAUUUGGUAGGUUGAAGAUGUUACAGUACCCGCGCAGAGAAAAGACCCUUAAGCGUGGGAGAUGAUUCAGCAACAUCUGAAGAACACUCCAAGCCAAAUAAUUGUGCCUGUAAUCUGACAAAUUUACUGGUAAAAAGGUUCGCAAAUGUUGCACGUCACAGAUGAACUCCAACCUAGUGUCGCCAUCAUAUCGUCCACAAAUGUACGAAAAAUGACGAAGACUUUGAGAAAACUUUUGUCGGUUUUCACCUGCUAAUGUAUCCUCCAUUCUGAAGUAUUGCUCCCCUGCAGCCCAUCGAGCAAGGUCAUUGAUUAGAUCAUGCAUCAAAACUCGGGACGCAUCUUUCCUUGACUGUUGAAAUAAUGACCUUGAAUGUAACUCCCGAACGAACUCGCGGCCCAAAUCUUCCAUUUUCCUUCCAUUGUAUUCUUGAUCCAAGAACCCUUCAGCCGUCCACAAUAAAAUUAUCUCCUCAUCUUGAAAUUCAUAAUCUUUUGGAAACAAUGAGCAGUAUGCGAAGCACUGUUUCAACUGUGAAGGAAGAAAAUGGUAGCUCACUCUUAGGGCUGGUAAAAUAUCACUAUCUCGUAAAUUCCAGAUGUCAGUCUUGAGCACAAAUUCCCAGUCUCUUGGGUCAUCUCUGCCGCGUAAAAGGCCGCCAAGAGUUUUUGCGGCCAAAGGUAAUCCUCCGCACUUUUUCACUAUCUGCUCUCCAACUUCCUUCAAGGAUUGGUGCCUGGUGAAAUCCGUAGCCCCCAAGGAGAUUUGAGUGAGCACACACAAACAAUCAUCAUCUGACAACCUUUUCAAUGGAUACUCUGGAUCAGCCCCCAUUCUUUUUGCAACGUCUAGAUUGCGAGUUGUGACAACAAUCUUACUUCCGGGUGCGCCAGCUCCAAAGGGACAGCUUAGAAUGCUCCAAUAAUUGUAAUUCUCGUUCCACACGUCAUCCAAAACGAGCAAAAAUUUAUUUCCGGACAAUUGCUUCUUCAGUUUCUCUUGAAGCAAAUUUAAAUCAUCUUUGUCCUUACACUGAUCACUAGCAAUGGAAUUUAGGAUAGAUUUUGAAACCCUAAAAACAUCAAAAUCGUCAGAGACACAAGUCCACGCUUUGAUCUGAAAAUGACGUUUCACUCGAUCAUCGUCAUAGACAAGCUGAGCAAGAGUCGUCUUCCCGACGCCGCCCAUUCCAUUUAUAGAAAUAACAGAGAAUCCAUCAUCUGCUCUUAAAUCAUCAUUCAACAACAAUUCAAUAAUCUCGUUCUUCUCUUUUUCCCUGCCAUAUACUUCGGCUUUGUUCACCAAAGAUGUUGUGGGUGGUAUUUGCCUGACAUUUCUAGACUUCCCAUCUGAAUUUUCAUUUUUCAGAUUCAGCAGGUCUUUUUGCGUUGUAGUAAUAUCUUGCAACCGAUCAGUGAUCCCCUUUAUUUUCGACACCAUCUUGGUUUCAAACUGAAUAGAUCGAGGACAAAAGUUGGUGCAGCAGGUGGGAAUGAGCUUCCGAAACUUACUUGUGUUUGCACUCGAACUGGGUUGAUCAGCAGCAGCUGGUUCGUGAAGCAGCAACUCCCUCCGCAGAGCUUCAGUUUCGAACUCAUCCAACACGUCUUGAACAUCAUAAGCCAAGUUCUGAAGAUUGUCGAGCCACAUCUUAACCGACUUGUCAUUUGUCUGCCUAUCCUCAGCAUCAGCAAGCACUGCCUGAAUCAUCUCCAACUUAUUCUUCCACUCGAUGAAAUCAGCCUUCAACUUCUUAUGCCGUGUCAACAGUUCAAGUCCCUUUGAAGCCAGCUUUUUUAUCAGCGACUCCACUGACGCACUGAGCACCGCCUCUCCGAUGAAUGACAUUUUGUUUUUCUUUUCUUUUUGGUUGAAAGAAACUGAAUAAAUUAUGAAAAAUGAAGAUGAAAAAAUCUGCAGAAAGUGGACAAAGUCUGGUAUAUGAUUUUGGUUUGUAGAGAGUAAAGCAACCAAGAGAGGGUAAUGUGAACUGUAUGCCUCAUAUGUCAAGAAAAACAAGCCUUUCCCAAUGCUGUCGAAUCUAAUUCUUUUUUUUUUUUUUCAAAUUUCAACAUUCUUUACUUGUUAGUCUCCUUAUUCUUUAAUUUUCAGGUGAUUCUUGUUCUUGUUCUUGCUAAAGCAUCAAGCAAGUUAUAGCUUCUGAUUCUGAUCAAUGCCGAACAUUAACAUACGUGCCAAUAAUCUAUUAAUGAAAUUUUUUUAAUUUUAUAAUCAAAAUGAAGAUUUCGUACUUGCAAUUUUGUAUGAUGGCCAUGUGGAACUGAAUUAUGAUCAAGCAUCAUUUGUUGACAGACAAAAAAUGAAAUAACAACAAUGCGUUAUUAUUAUUAUUAUUAUUAUUUUUUGUGAUUUGGGGUAUCUGCUUUUAUAAAAGCUUAUUGGUAUUCUUUCAUUUAAGUUUUUGCUUUAUCUUUAUUAAUUAGGCAUCUUACAAAGCUUUCUCUCUAUCCACGGCAAUCCCAUUUUGAUGGCCUAAAGGAUAUUGUUUUAUAAAAAUAUUGUUUUCCAAUUUUUUAAUAGGAAAAAACCACCUACACAUCUAAAGUCUGCUUAAAUGGUUAUACAGAUCCCCUUAAUUUCAUAAAUGGUCACUUUUAGUUAUUAUACCCUUCAAUUACAGCAACCUAGUAAUUGGCUUUAACUAAACUUCUUUAAUAAAUAUAAAUUAAAAUUAAAAUAUUAUAACAAAUAAUAUAGGAUAAAAUUUAUAAAUUAUUUUGAAUAUUAGAAAAAUAACUUUAACAUUAUUGAUAUGUCAUAUACUUUUAAUAAUAAUAAUAAAAUCUACUUGAUAAAUUAAUAAUAUUAAAAUAAUUAUAAAGAACAUUCACAGUAAUUUACAAAAUUUAUUUUAUUUUAUUUACAAUUUUUUUUAAGUGUGUCCAUAUUAGUAUAAAUUUUAAAGUUAAUUUUUGGAUUAAUAGAUUUUAGUAUUAAUAAAAUUCAUUAGAAUGGCUAAUAAUAGCUUAAUAUUAAAAAUAAUUUUCAUAUACAUUAUUUUAUUAAUUAUACUUAUUGUAAUAGUUUAUUCCUAUCAUAUUUUAUUUAUUUAUUGUUUUUAUCUUAUUACUGAAUUUAUAUUUAUUUGGAUUAUUAUAAUAAAAAGGUAUAGUAGUAAAAAAAUGAUUUGUACAAUCAUUUAAACAAAUCUUGGGAGCGUGGCUGACAUUUUUCCUUUUAAAUAAGAAAAGUAUAUAUUGAACCAAUCAUUGCCCUCUAUUUUUACUCCAGCUCAUGUGACCUGGGCGCCAAGUAUAUUCACGACCAGAUGAGUUGCGUCCUAGGGCCAAAUUCAAGUUUAAAAACCAGCAUUAAUAUGAAAAAUGAAUUGAACUAUUAGAAAAUUAACCAAAAUUAUUCUUUUACUUUCUUAAUACUAAAUAGUAAAAUUGCAUUUUCAAUAUCUAUGUUUUUUUUUUACAUUUUUCCUUUCUCUCUUUGUUGGCAAAUACUCUGGAAGACAUUCAUGGUUUUCAUUGAAAUAUACUCAGGUGACUGCGCGUGCAAAGUGUAUUCACGGUUGGCUAAGUAUGUCCUGGGGCUGUAAACUCAAGUUCAAAAACCAGCACUAAGAUAAAAAAUGAAUUUGAAGCAUUUGGAAAUUAACUAAAUUAUUUCUAUUUCACUACUAAAUACUAAACUAUUCUUUUUCCUUUUUUCCUUUAACAAAAAUCACUCUAUAAGACAUCCACGAUUUACUAUGUGUAUUUUAAAUUCUUUUUACAUCAAUAUAUACUUUGGCUUAUUUUCAGGUUGGAGUUGGACUCCUUGUAGUGUAGUGAAUAUUUCAUACUGUGAAAAGAUAAAAGAAAUCAUAAAACAAAUUGGUCAAGAAGUAAAGAGGAUUUACACUGUUUUUAAUGAAACAAAACUUUGGGAACUUAACUACUUAGCAAGGUUCACAAUCCUUUGUUGGGAAAAUCACCCUUUUGAAUGGAAUGAGUUCAUGUGACACAUUGUCUCAGUACGAGGUCUUUUUCUUAGGGAGUCUUAUGCACACCAAAGCUAUGCAAAAUGCAAGCUAAGAGACUAAAAAAAGUUGGAUUCUUAUUGGAUCUAGCGCCAGAUUUGAUUUAUGUGUUUCAAUUAUAGCUUAUUUGAUUAAUGUAUUUUCAAUUAUAGCUUUUUAAGUUGAUUAAGGUAAUUUGGGUUACUUCGGCAAAUGAAACCCAAUUUGGAAAUUAAAGGUCGAUCAAUGAUCAUUAAUCUUGUCCAUUAAUUAAAUAUGCUUGGAAGGACUGUGGCAAAGCGUAAAUCAAGUCAUUAUUGAUCUUUCUUUUAUGAUGGCACUUUAGUUUCUCCAUUCUACAAAAUUCUCUUUUUGUGAUUUUGGGCAUCUGUUUUUUUAUAAAAGUAUGCAUUAGUCCUCAUUCAUUUAAGCUUUUGGUUUAUCUUUAUUAACUUUUGCCAUCUCUCAGAGGCUCAAAGCUUUUCCCUACUAAUUAAGCUCGGUCAAGAUUUUAUCUAUUCACUCACAGAGAAUGCAAAAUGUACAUUUCAAAAUUGUUAAAGCAGAAAUGAUAUUUUAUGUAAUAUAUGUAAACGUUUUCUAUGAGCAAUGAAUUUGCUUUCUUCAACUUUUAAAAUAUUUUUUCCGAUCCAUUUCUUGUAUCACUCUGCAUGCUUUAUUGAAGCUGUUUUUGGCCUUGAUUUUGAAUUUCAAAAUCCUAAUUUAUUUAUUUAUUCAUCUUUACAAGUUCUGCUCUUCCAUAAUUGAAAAAUAAGCUACUAAGCCACUUAGCUUUACCAUAUAUCCAUUCUAAGCAUAUUCUUUCCUCAUUCAUUCGAGUUUUUACUUUAUCGUUAUUAAUUAGGCAUCUUACAAAGCUUCUCGCCUAGUAAAUGAGCUCUGUCAAGAUUCUUCACACGAUAUAAGUAAUGUAUAUGCCAAAGUUGUUUAAGCAGAAAUGGCAUUUCUUCUCGAAAAAUUUAUUAUUUCUUUAGAACAUAUGUAAAAGUUUUAUAAAAGCAAAUGCUUAAUUUCUUCAACUUUAAGAUAUUUUGUCCGAUCCAUUUCUUGUAUCACUCUUAAUAAUUUAUUUAAGCUUGUUUUGUCUUGAUUUUGAAUUUCAAAAUCUUAAUUUAUUGAUCAUUACAAGCUCUUUUCUUCCAUAAAUUGAAGAAUAAGCUACGCCACUUAGCUUUACUAUAUAUCAAUUCUUUAUAUAUGCUCUAAAAUAAACCCUAAGAUAGGAUCAUGCAGUAAUACAAUUUAGAAAAUUGGAAUCUCAUGAUAUUCACACCAAUAAGACAUAUAAAAAUAGUGUAUAUUUCUGUUUUCCUCAACAUAUCUCUAGUUCAGUUAUCAAUUUUUUAUGCGUUUACAACUAGAGUAAUGCUAAGAUCUUAACAUUUGGAUCAUAACUAAUGUGGUAUUCAUAUAUCCAUUGACUAAUAGAUAAAUAAUUUUACUAGUUAUAAAAUUUAUUGUCCAUAUGAUGAAUAACACGUAACAUUGGAACUCAAGUUCGGAUACUUAGCAUCAUAAUUACGAAAUACAUAUUCAUGUGGAGAUAACAAACCCUAGCCACAUUUGAGAGAGGGAAAGUCAAGGAGACUAUGAACAUUUUCCUUUUAUUUUUUUUUUGAUUGAAAGAAACAGAAUAAACGAUGAGAAAUUAAGAAGAAAAAAAAUUCAGAAAUUGAACAAGUCUAUUUUGUAAUUGUGAAUGAUUUGCGAUUGUGAUUUGUGAAGAGUAAAGAAAGCAGGAGAGUGUAAUGUGUAGCAGAAAAUCAAGCUUUGCUAUCUAAAUUUUAUAAUUUUCUCUUUUCUUUUAAUCUUACAUUAUUGCGAAAUUGCCCAAAAAAAUUGCAAUAUUUGAAUUUAUUUAUUAUUUUUUUGAAACUGCAAUAUUUGAAUUUAUUUUGAAAUUGCAAUUACACAUAGACAGAAGCCUCAUAGCGGCACUACUAGUUAAAAUGAGCACAAUGUUACCAUCACAGGCAGCCCUAAGCACUACACAUAACUUCGCUCUACACAUUAACUUCAUACAUCUUUGUCAUUGAUCUGUUAAUUAUUUUGCGUGUUUUCUAUUCGAUACGUACGUACGUGAGUGAUGCUGUAUCUAUCUGCAGGUUCUGUCAUUCUUAUGAUGCCCAAGCAUCGUCUCAGUAGGUUUCAUUGCUUCUAAAGCUAAAAAGCUUGCUCCGGCACCUAGUUGAAAAUGUAAAACACAAAGCAGUAAUGUUAAAGGAUCAAUUUUUCGGGCAUAACUUGUAUUAUAUUCAUCAUCAAAAUUGUAUACAGAAGUACAGCAUACAUUUUAUUUGCCAAAGAAAUGCUCGGUAUAUACAAAUGACAAUAUACACUUUGCUUUUACAAUUCUUUAUGCUGAGUCAUCCUUAUCAUGAGUUAUCAGUUUCUACUUAGUCAGUUGCCAUCUAAGGCUUGCUGUACAGAGUGCCGAUAUUGAGAAUCAGGCCGAGGCUGCUCAUAGAGGCAGUUCAUCGAAUAUCUAAUUCAUUCCAUCAAACACCAAACCCAUCCUGGCAUUUCAUCGAACACUUUUCCGAGUACUCUUUAUAUCAUUAUCGCCCAUAAAGUAUCCAGUAUCCUGAGUCAAGAUUAUAUGCAGCUUUGUUUUCCAGCUUUCCGAGCUUAAUUAACAUUUACCAAUUGCAAACUGGGCCCACAACGGCCAGCUCAACUCUCCACAUCAGCAUAGUUGUAACUAACUCUACUCUCAUAGGAGGUAAGACAGAUUUGACUUACACCAAUAUUUCUUUUGCAAUACGGGAUGUGCUCAUUUUUCAUCAUGAGGCCGUUCUCGUCAGAAGCAACACUUGUUACAUGGUAAUCAUCCUAAUAAUCUUUCCGCAACUAGGACAAAAAAAUGGUAACUUUGUGAUGGGUGUCGAAGCCAACAAAAAUAAAUUCCUACUCUAAAUAAAUUGUGUAUAGUGAUUGAGCAGGGUCGUGUCCACAAAGAUCAGUAAUUAUUUAAAUCCUUUUGAAACGUAAAACGUAAAAUGGGGGAAUUGUUGACAAUAAUAAAAAUCAAAUUAAAAUAACGAGAAUGUAAAUUAAAGUUGUGACUCAAAUUGGAGAAAGCUCUGGUUGAAUGAAUUAACUUAGCUUGAUUCGACUACUGAUCAUUGAUUCAAAUAUAGAUUAUUAUUACUUAUUAAUAGACCGGUUAUAGCUACUGAGACCCUCUAAUAGCCAAUCUCUCAUUAACUAGUCGAUAACCAAGGUACGACCGUUGGUUAUUUCCCUAAUCAAUAGACAACCCUAGAUACGAUCAUAUGAUUUAAUCAAUUGACAGCCUGAAAAACCAGAGAGACCCAAAUCCUAAUAAACACAUAUGAUGAUUCAUUUAAAUUAGAUUGUUUAUUCUCACAACACAACUCUCUGCUAUGUUAUUUGUCACAAACAUUAAAUUCUUCAUACGAUGAAUCCUUUAAUUGACAAUAGAUUAAGUUGAUAAUUAAAUAGUGGCCAAUUACCUAAUUAACAAACAUAAUCAUGAAAAUAAUUCAGAGAAUAAACAAAUACCCAAAAAGCAAUAAAACAAUUAAAGCACAAGAAAGAUCUCACAGUAGUGAUGAAUCAAAGCUUCAUUAUCCUUCAACCAGAAAAAUAGGUUUAGUUCUUCAUAGAGAGAAGAGAAAAAUUAAGAUCUAGGGUUUCUUUCUUUUUCUCCAAUCCAAAUCCCCCCUUUUUCACAAUAGAUUCCUCCCUUAAAUACUCUCUCUCUCUUCUCUUUUAGAAUUCUAUUUAAAAUAAAAUACUAAUAUCUGAAAUAUUAAAUUCAUAAUUACAAAAAUAACUAAAAAUACAAAACACGUUAAACUAAAAACUGCAAGUCCGCAGUUGACAGCACGCGCCCACGCCUUAUCAACAAAGUUCUUCUGACGCUCAUAAUUUCUCCAAGAGAACAAUCCUCCUUAAACAUCAUCUUUUAGCUCAAUUUUAUCACCAAUCAAUAGAAUUGCAUCUACAAAAGUAAAACACAAGUAAAACAUUAUUAUUAAGUGCAAAACAUCGAUAUUAAGGGAAGUAAACAAUGCAAAACUAGUGCAUAAAUUGCACUCUAACACUUUGCGCAUGUAAAUUGUGUUAAAUUAGGGUCUUCAUUCUUUGUUUGCCGGUUUCCAUAAACCCUGCCUCCUUAAGUUGUGGGAUUUGGCAUUGGAACGGCUGAUAAUCAUGUGUUCAUUUUUAAUGACAGGUGCUUAAAUUCGGAAUUUUAUAUGCUUGACUUUUAGUAUCAGAUUCUGCCGUCAUGAAUCAGCAGCUUGGCUGGUGAUUAAAGAAGGCAGUCGCUGGGGAAAUUCAGUCUCCGAUUCUGGUGCCAAGUUUCAUGGCUACAGGGACUAGCUUUUAAUACAUUAUGUUGAAAAUUGAUUAAAAAAAAAGGAGAGUUGAAAAAUCAAAUCUCCAAGUGGGAGAAUGAAGAAAAGAAACGCCGCAAAAUGAACAGUAGCCGCAAGAUGAACAGUAGCCACAAGAUGAACAGUAGUCACUAGUGGCUAUAAAUAGAGGAGUGCUCCUCCUUAUUGUUUGUAUCCCAAAUCCCAGAGAAGGAAUCCAAGUUUUGGUAAGAAAUUGAGAGAGAUAAAUGUUCUUAAGCAUGUAGUUAUAUUGAAGGAGAAGUUGGCUCCUCCAUAUGGGUAUUAUGGGUUUGCUUUGUUAAGGAAUAUUUAUCGGGAUUAUGUAAUUGGGGCUUGGGUGAGAGAAAAUUAUUUCUGAGAGUGGUUGUAAUAAUUUUCCACAUAGUAAAUAUAUUUCUCUGGUUGUCUUGUGACAACGGCCGUGGUUUUUCUCCGGAUUUGGAGUUUUCCACGUAAAUCUUAUGUUGUGUGAUUGUUGUAUUCUCUAUUUAAUUUUUUCUAUUAAUUUGUUGCUUGAUAAAUUGCUUGGAGUGAUCUUGGGAGGAAGCUCAAUUUCCUAACAGUGGUAUCAGAGCCAACGGUUUGUACUUGGGGUAUACGGUACUGUUUAUGUAAAGCAAAUAUGUCAGUAGCUGGUAUUUUUCAAACUUGGUUAGAGUUUGAUGUUGUUGAAAAAUUAAUGGGAGAAUGAUUUUAUUGGCUUGUGGAGAAUUCAAGUCAAAGGUGUAUCCAAUCUGGUAUGCACAAAGAUUUGAAGGUGUGGACAAUUUUGGCACCUCAAGAAAAUUGUCAAGAAGGCGAAGUGGGCUCGGCAAAUUACUCCAGAAUCAGUAAAGGAGAUACUGAUAUUCUUGCAGAUGGUGAGUUUCCUUUUGAUAGGAGACUGGGUUAGUUCUUUUGGCAUGUAGAUCUCCAAGUUUCCAUAAAAGAGAACAUGCUAUGAUCAGCGGGGUCCAUAAGUUUGCACGCAGGCAUUGGCUUGGUAUAAAUGCAAGGUGUGUGGUGGAAAAGUUAUGUCAUGGCUGAAGAAUUCUCAGGGAAACCAAGCAUGAGAAUUGCACCAUAAAUUUCAGCAGGAUAUUUUGAUAUGUACCGAAAAAAAUCUUAGAAUGGUUGAUUCUAAGUGGAAUACUCUUUAUGGUAAAGUAUGAUAAUUCUCUAUAUUGAGAAUUAUGACUGUUGGUGAAGACAAUGUGUUUGUAGUAGUGGCUAUGAAUUUUUUUUUUCUUUUUUAAUCAAUGUGGAGAUUGUUGAAAAUUGAUUAAAAAAAAAGAGUUGAAAAUCAAAUCUCCAAGUGGGAGAAUGAAGAAAAGAAAAGAAAAGCCGCAAAAUGAACAGUAGCCGCAAAAUGAACAGUAACCACAAGAUGAACAGUAGUCAGUGGUGGCUAUAAAUAGAGGAAUGCUCCCCCUUAUUGUUUGUAUCCCAAAUCCCAGAGAAGGAAUCCAAGUUUUGGUAAGAAAUUGAGAGAGAGAAAUGUUCUUAAGCAUGUAGUUAUAUUGAAGGAGAAGUUGGCUCCUCAAUAUGGGUAUUAUGGGUUUGCUUUGUUAAGGAAUAUUUAUCGGGAUUAUGUAUUUGGGGCUUGGGUGAGAGAAAAUUAUUUCUGAGAGUGGUUGCAAUAAUUUUCCACAUAGUGAAUAUUUUUCUCUGGUUGUCUUGUGACAACGGCCGCGAUUUUUCUCCGGAUUUGGAGUUUUCUACGUAAAUCUUGUGUUGUGUGAUUGGUGUAUUCUCCAUUUAAUUUUUUCUAUUAAUUUGUUGCUUGAUAAAUUGCUUGGAGUGAUCUUGGGAGGAAGCUCAAUUUCCUAACACAUUAUAUGCUGUUGGUUUAAAUAUACGCCUAUGAUAGUUGAGGUCAUUGCUAAUUCAUUGCUUUAGACAGUAGAAACAACUCAUCACCCAGGCCACUGCCCAUGUGGCAAAGACGUAUUCGAGCUUUUAUGGGGACUUAUCUGGCCGUCUGAGCUAUGUCAGGAACUCUCGACUAUGUAUAAUUGCAUAGAUAUAGACUCCGCGACUCUUAGUGUACUCUAAUUAUCUUGACAUAAGACUUAGAACCGUGCAAGCUUAAGUACCGUUGCAGCUAGUAUCCACAUCACUGACGUCCGUAGGCCUUGGAAAUGCCUAUUUAUUUGGGAUCAGACUUCAGAGGGUAAUUCUCCAGGGCUUAGGCCUCCAAUUGAAUUAGGCUGUUCUUGUAAAGGCGGUUUGGGUUAUGUUCCCAAACAAUAUACUGAGACUUGGUUCAAGAUCAGGGGUAUCUUCAAUUUCAUUUUUUUUAAUUGAACAAAUGAUGGAUGCCCAUUUACUUGUUUCAAAAAGAAAAUUUGUGUAUGGUUCUGUUGUGUGUGAUCAAAGUGUGAUCUUUUGCAAGGUUGUGCAUGAAUUGUUGAUUAGUAUGGAUACCCCUUGGUGGUUUUAAGUAAAUGUGAUGGAUCCUAGAUUCUCUUUGUUGAUGUAUAAAUGUAUAUAUGACUCUUUGUUUGUUCCAUAAGUUAGUGAGUUUAAAAUAAGAGUGCUUAAGAUGGAAACUUGGGGUUUCUGGUUUACAUAUAUUUGCUUCCUGUCUUUGCCAUUUCCAUAUGCUAGUAUCGAUAGGAAUUGCACAAUGUUGUUGUUUCAAGACUUUUCACUUCAUUUUAGAAUGUGCCAUGGAAAAUGCUCUAGAAAUUGCAUAGUAGAUGAUAUGCUGCAUUUUACAUUUCACAGUAGGUGUGAUUUCUAAACCACGACGCCACAAUACCAAACAGAGAAAGAUUGAUUCGAGAACAAAAGAUUUUACCUAGCUAGAACAUAGAAGGUUAGCAACAAUAUAUGCCUGUCUGGUUACCAAAUGCAGUCAAGUUAACAGAGUAAAGAGCUUUUCAUUCUCAUCACUUCAAUUUCAAGGCAAAAAGCCAGUCAAUAGACAAUUAAGUCUCGUUUCAUUUUCUCAAAAUUUAUGCUCCCUCAAUUCUGUUACACCAGACAAAAAUAAACUUAAACCAUAUCUGAAAAGAGAAUACGGCCUGAGAUCACAAAUGCUGGGAAAUUUAAAAAAUGAAGGAAAAAAAUGGCCAAUACAGAAUAAAGCAGAGCAAAUAUCAGAGUAAAAUAGAAUUUAUAUGCAAAUAUACCCUGCUAAACUUUCUGAGAAAUGCUUAAAUCCUUUCAAUCCACCAGUUUCAAUUAUCUCCAACCAAAUGGAUAACCAUAAAACCCUGCAACACAGGAUUAAAGAUAAUUUUAAGAUUUGAAUUACUAAAUAUUUCUCCUUUCAUAAGUCAAUAAGCAUAAAACCCCGCAACACAGGAUAAACUGUGUAAGCCUGGAGUAGUUAUAUUCUGUUAAAAAUGAGUGAGGUGGCGUGCUGAGCUGGCGUCAGUGGGGACCAUUUGCUGUUAAGGCUGGGAAAUUUUAACGGACAAUCAUGGAUAAUUAUAUUUUCUCGAUAGUAUUUGAGGUUCCGACAAAAAUAGAGAUCCAGAGUUUCCAGUGAAGUGAGGUUUUCACCAAUUGAAGAUAGGCAUUUCAGAUUUGGCAUAUAUGAAAUCCGCAGUACAGUUAAGAGUGGCAGGAAACCGUGGAGAUGACACCAGGUCUGGACAUCCUUCGCAGAUUUCCAAUCGUCUGAGAGAGGUGAAUCUGUUCAAUCCCCAUUCGAACAAUGGCUUACACAUCUUCAGAUCAUUAACCAUAAGUGGUUGAAGGUUGGUGGGAAAACCAUCCUCCGGAAAAGAUUUGGACAUCGUUCUAUCCGUAUCUCUUGAAGACGGUGGAGAUUAUGCAAACCACCAGGUAAUAAUUUAAGAUUUUCUGACCAUGAAAUAGUGAUUUCUUCGAGGGAUGUAUUGUCCAACCUUUUUGCUAACGACUCCAGCUUUGAACAAAAUCUGACACGAAGGCAUUUAAGAGCCUCAGGUAGAUUCCCAUUCCGUGACAAGAGGAUGUCCCGUUCCCCCGUGCUGCUACUGAGGAUGUCCCGUUCCCCCGUCAAAGUCCUUAAAUUAUGACAGGUGUUAAUAAUCAGCCGCUUCAGACUCGGAGCAAGCUGGCACGUACUGCUAUUUAAAUAUAUGUCAAAGAAUUACGGUUAUAAAUGUUCAGACUUUCAAGAGAUGUACUGCUAUUUUGCAUCCAUGCCUCAGGUAAGGAUUUCAAAGCAUUGCGUCCUUUGAUAUCAGUUGUUCUCAACCGGGAAGGCAGAGCAGCCUCGGGAAAUGAAAUGAGUGAAGUGCAGUGAGGUGUCCGCAUCUCUGUCGUUGAUCAUGUACUGCUAUUAAUUUUAUGUAUGUAGUAAUGUAUAAUCUAAAUAAUUUACAUUGGUUUAUUUUAAUUAUAUAUGAUUAUCAUAAACUAAUUUAUUAUAAAUGUAAUUUUUGUAUUAGUUGUCUUUGAAAUUGAUUUUAAUUUUUGUUGAUAGUGGGAGGCUCGGUAAUGAAAUUUGUGUCUAUUGGUGGCUGAGUGAUUAAUGUUAUUCAAUUGAAGAAGAUAAAAUCUACAUAAAUUGAACGAAGGCUAGUUUAUGUGAAUAAUAGGCUUUACCAGGAAAUUGCACCAUUUAUGCCACGACAGUGGCUGAAUCCAUACUCUUACUAAUUCUUACUAAUUCCAACAAUACGACAAUUCUUUCAAGAAAAAGUUGAAAAUGAUUCAGCAUAGCGACGACCAAAACAUGACCACGAAAACGUGUUUCCGCCACCCGGGAAGCAUGAGUAAUUUGCUUUGGUUAUCGAUCAUUUGAUUAUUAUAUCAAAUAUUUUAUAAAUAAUCAAUGAAAUAUUUAUAUUAUUUUAUUUAUUUUAUUAGAAACAGCUUUAAGCAUAGGUAAAUUAGACAGUUAUUUAAGGGCGCACUAUAUUUUAGAUAGACCCCAUUUUUUAAUUAUUGCUUUAAUAAUAAUGUAAUUAAUAAAUAUUUUGAAUUAUAUACUAUAGGACAACCUAUUUUUUUAGAACAAUCUCUAAUUAAUAAUUAUCCUAUAACUAAGAUUUGAUUUUAUAAAAAUUUUAUAUUUGAUAAUAUUAAUGUAAAUAACUAUAAAAAUUUUGUCAUAAUUUUAUACCAAUUCUAAUUUAUUAUAUAUUUAACCAUUUAUUAGUUGUCUUCUCUACUAAAAAUUUUGUCAUAAUGUUUAAGUCUUUGAUCAAAAAAAAAAAAAUAGUGUUUAAUGAUAUCAAUCCAUCAAAGGUUGCAAUACAUGAAAUUAUCCACAAUUUGAUUACAUGAAAUCAAUGUCGUAAAAUAUUUAAUUAUGAAUAUAUAUAUACACACUUAUAUCUUUGAUACAUAAACUGAAUUCUAAAUGAUAUAUCAGCACUCAUUACUUUGUCAUGCGUUAACUAAUCGUCUAUAUAUAGUUGCAUCUUGCAUGAGGUGACUAGCAACAUAUGGGGACGUUUUGCAUUUUAACCAAUUUACUUGAUAGUAAAAAUGAUACUGAGUAAAUUAAACUAUUAAUUGAACUAAAUUGAAUUAUAUGUAAUUUGAUAUCAAUGUCCUGGAAUGGAUUGGCAGAUGGAAUCAAGAAUAAUAUGAUUCCCGCAAGUAGUGUAAAGAGACUAUUUUCAUUGACCUACACUAUAGUUUCAAGAAUACAAAUUAUCAAGUCAGUCAACCACAAGUUCAUUUCAUCUCUUUAAAAUAGUAUGAACAAAAAUAAUCUAAUGGCCAUGCCCAGUUCAAUCUAGUGGACAUGACUCCCAGAACUUUACAAAGGACAAUUUACACUUGUGUUAUUCCAUACUUUAUGUGAAUCAUCCUUAUCAUCACUCAUCAAUUUUUGCUGAACAAAUGGAUAAAUUUAUGAAGAAUGGUUGUCAGCAAAUGAUUAAUGGAAAAUUAAUCAUACUGAUUAACAAAUGAUUAUGAUAUGGAUGUAUCAUGAUGGAUUUUAUAAAUAAAACAAAAGAAUUCGUCAUAUUUUUUUAAGGAUUUGCAAUUUAUGAAUGCAAAUGGGUUUCUGGAAACUAGUUGAGUUAGAGUUUGAUUUGGGCAUGAAGUUGGAAUCAAUCAACAUGCCGUGUUGAAUGUGUACCCCGGCCCUGUACACACUGCCCGUCAAAUCCUGGGAAUUUGGGCCUUUGACAAGAACAAAUAAACAAUACAAAAGCUCGUUUUUUAGUACGGUAGUUUUUCACCAUUCCCGGUUAGUUUUUUAUACAUGGGAUUGUCUAUUUAUUUCUUUAUUUUUGUUUUUGAUUGAAAAACGUUUUGUAUGUCUGAUGAAUUUUGUUGAAAUGGUAUAUGGGUUGUUUGGUUUCCUGUAAAUGAUAACAGGGAACUAUAAUUUGUAGGGGAUCUUAAAGAACUGUACUACACAAAAUUAAUAGUGAAAUUGAUUUUGAUCCUGGUAUGAUUCUUAUAUGCUGAAAAUAAAAGAUCUUAACUAAAUGCAUUUAAUUGGGAUUCUUCAGCAAUUAAAAAUUUUUUUCCCUUCUUCCAAUGAGUUUGUUAUAUGCAUUGACAUUUUCACUUUUGUUACUGUUGUUACAUGGGUACCUUGCUUAAACUCGGCACCUUGCUUUACUAAUUUGUUGGAAAACAAAUGUUGCAUCUUUGGCAUGAUAGAGGCUUACAAAUGGGGAGUACAACCAGUUUUGCUAAAUUUCUAGUAUAAUAGAGUCAUAUGUUAGUUAUGCGACCGUACAAUUUUCUUGUUUUUGUUGUAUAUAGGUGGCAGCAAAAAAUGUUCACACAGUAACUGGUGAUCGUUUUGUGGUCUAUGGAGGUUCUGCCACUAUAUGCUGAAGGUUUUGAGGCUUAAAGCUAUGGUUACUUGAGAGAUUGAUCCUUAGGUAUUGCAAUAAAAAGCAUGGACUACUGACUGAGUCUAAGAUUUUAGAGAAUCAAGACAAGGAUCAGUUUGAUAUUCAUCUAGAAACUAGUUUAUCAAAUGAUUCACGAGAGUCUGAAGGAGUUUCGACAUUAUCUAAACCUAAUGGUCAGUAAAGACUAUUUUAAGUUAACCUCUUUAUUAUAAUCAAUUGUUAUGUCUAUCAAAGUGAAUUUAUAUUGGCAUAUUCAUUUUCUUAUAUUUUGCAAUUGAAAACUUAGAAUCUCUUGAUUGUUGAACUGAUAGUUAUGUUGGAGAAACGAAAAGAACAACUUCACAAUUACAAGCUCAUUCCCUAAAUUUUCCCGUUCAGAGCGAUAGAGCACCUUCACUUUGCAUUGCUGCUAGAGGAGCCACUGGUGAGCAAGCAAGAAGGAAGAUAUUGCCAGCAUUAUUUGCUCUCUAUUACAGUGGCUUUCUUCCAGAGGCAGUACCACAAUUUCUUUAUGUUGUUAGGCCUCUUUGCCUUUUGCCUAGAAUUGCUACAGAUAGAGUUCUUUCUUCACGAAGCCUGUUGUUUUCAUUGUUCCAGUUACUAUGUAUUUACUUUUUUGAAUCAUUAAUCCAAUUAUGUUGGUAUAUGCAUCAAAACGUAUUCGACUUGCUUCUAACGUAAGAAGGAAAAGUGGGAUGUUUCAGUAAAUUAAAUGAAAGGUAUUGUUUUCAUCAAUAUUUUACAAUUUUCCAAACUUGUUCCAAAUGUAUUUGGUGAAUUUCCGGGUUUUAUUAUUUUUAUCAUUCCUGCCUGAAGAAUGUGGGCAUCGUUGGUUAUUCAAGAAAGAAUUUGACAGAUGAAGACCUGAGGUCCAUGAUAGCUUCAACUUUGUCUUGCCGCAUUGAUCAUUGGUAAGGUUCUCAUAUAGCCAUACAAGUUCUCUUUGCUGCCAUUCAAUUUUUUGUUCUAAAUCCUUGAGUGAGUCAAAUUACUGCCCCCUAUAAUUUUCGAAUGCAACGUGAACAAAUGCUAGAAGCUGCCUAAAUGAUUGUAAUUCAUGGCUGUCAGUUAUUUACAUGCUGAUGGGGUUUCAUCAAUUUAUAACUUUGGGAUCAUUUUGGCUACAUUCACCGAAGUUUUCAAAGAGGGAAAAAAAAGAAAGAGGAGAGGGGUGGGUUAGCUUUGUGUCACAUUCUAUUAGCUAGUUGCUUGGGCGGGAUUUCUAUUGAUUUAAAGGAAUUAUGGGUGUGUUUUUGGAAGGGCCCUCUCAAGUACGUCAACAUGCAACCAUUGCUUGCAGAAAGUGCUUCGCAUCUAGACAAGCUUUAGGCUUUUGAAAAUGUGUUAAUCUGAAAUAAAUGCAACCAAGGUUUUUCGUUGUAGUUCGUCAAGUUAGUUUGAUUGCUAUAGAAUUAGAGUAGAAUGAAUUGAAGAAGUUUAAUAAGGCAUUUGUUCCUCAUGAUUUUAACAUCUUUUCAGUGAAAACUGUGGGGACAAAAUAGAUGCCUUUCUCAGUAGAACAUAUUAACUUAAUGGCGGUUAUAACAACUAAGAAGGCAUGUUAAAGCUCAGUGUUUUGAUGAGGCAUAUCAAGGUGGGGUUGAUAAAAUCACAAAUCAGUGCUGUUUACAAGUCUCUCUGGUUUUAUCGUGCUUCCUAUUUUAUGCAACUUAAUGGUAUUACCUGGAGCCUGGGAAAAAAAAAAUUCUAAUUAAACUAUAUGGCAUGAUCUUAAAAUUAUUUUUCUCAAAUUGUUGGGCUAUUAGCUGCUUACCUCAUAUCUUAAGUUUUUGCAUCUAGUGAUUUAUCUUAUAGCACCUGAUGAAAAAUUAAUUAUUUUUUUUUAAUCAUAAUAAUAAAAAAUCACCUUAUGUACUUCUUUUACCUCUAAAGAUUUGUUAAAAACAUAGGAAAAAAUAGAUUUAAACAGUAGUAAUGUGUGAUAGUUUAAACUAUUCAGCUCAUGUUCAUAUCUUAGCAUGCAAAUCACCCUAUUGCAAUUUGGCAUGAUAGUUUUAUUUGUUGUAAUCAUUUGUUGUUACAAAUAAUACAUAUUUAUGGAAGUAUAAUAUGACAAAACUUAUUAUUCAAUGACUUCAUAAUAAUGAUUGUGUAUAGUUUGGUUGUCUAGAUUAAAUUCUUUAAAUAUAAUAGCUAAUAUAUUUUUCGUCGUUAAAGGCACUUCUCAAUUAUUACUUUGUUAAAAACAAGGAACAGAAAGGUAUUAUAACAAGGAACAAGAAAGAAAUUCUGAUGAACAGAAAGGUAUUUCACUAACAUCCCUCCUUGAACUGGAGUUUCUUCUUCUCUUAUUACUUCUUUCCUCUGCUCUUCUUACUCUAUCAACUUCACUGACAAUCCCAAACAUAAUUUUAUUCUUUUAUUGAUAAAGUCAGUUCAUAUUACAAUUAAAUUACAGGUGGAAAAAAAAAACAGAAAUUAUGAUUACACAAUCUAAUUGAUGGGUCUUCAUUCAAAAGGCAUUGUGCCAUUAAUUUCGACACGAGGUAUAUGGGAAAUCAUGGGCCAAUAUUUUCCUUCAUCCUUUCUGCACCUUUCUUCUAUCAACGGGCAAUUAGAGACAAUUAGUUCCAAAAGUGAUUUAGGCAGGCCCUGCUCUGGAAAGUAUGUGAGCUUCGGACAAUUACCGAGACGCAGAGUUUUCAAUGAAGUGAGAUUGUGCAUGUAGUUGGGUAAAGCCUUCAGAUUCUCACAAUCACAUAUCGUGAGCAGAGUCAGUUUCGUAGAUGGCAAUCCUUCUUCGGGAAAUUUCUCAAGAUUUGGACAUUCAGAUAUCCAAAUCUUUUGAAGAUGGUGGAGAUUAUGCAAACCGGCAGGUAAUGAUUUAAGAUUUUCAAGCCCUGAAAUAUCAAUUUCUUCAAGGGAUGUGUUGUCCAACCUUUCUGCUAACGACUCCAGCUUUGAACAGUCUUCGACACGAAGGUACUUAAGAGCCUGAGGUAGAUUUCCAUUCCUUGACAAGAAAGCAAGAUUCGAGCAACAAUUGACCUCAAGGUGCUCCAGCGUGGCAGGUAACUCGUUGUGCAUCCAUGCCUCAGGUAAGGAUUCCAAAGCAUCGCAAUCUUCAAUUACAACUGAUCUCAACUGGGAAGGCAGAGCAACCUCUGGAAAUGAAACAAGUGAAUUACAACUCCGAAUCUCCAAACUCUCAAGAGAUGAAUUGGAGUUGUGCAUCCAUGCCUCAGGUAAGGAUUCCAAAGCAUCGCAUUCUUCAAUUACAACUGAUCUCAACUGGGAAGGCAGAGCAACCUCUGGAAAGGAAACAAGCGAACCGCAGCCUGAUAUCCGCAUCUCAGUAAGGGAACUAAGGGUGAGCAAUGCUUGUGGCAGCCUUGUAAGGCCUUCACAACAACUCAAUUCCAAAAAUUGAAGCCUGCACGGCAACUCUGGCUGUUGCUGGUCAUGUUCUUCCACUGUUACCAAGGAAAUCAGUUGGGGACAUCUUGAAAUCUGCAACCGAUUAAGGGAUCUAAUGACUUGCGGCAACCGAGUUUCACUCCGCCAAAAAUAUGCCUGCUCUCGAACAUUAACGAUCUCCAAAUGUGGGCUGCUGAACACCACCCUUUUACAUCCAUCAAUUUGUAAUUCACUGAGAGCUGGAAGACAUUGAAUUGUCACUAGCAACUGAUCACAACUUGUUAUGUCGAGCGUCUCCAAUAAAAGAAGUCGUCUGGGCAAUGUUCCUUGAAGUUUACGACAUUUGACAAGAGAAAGCAUUCGCAGCUUAGGAAACACUUCAUCAACUUCUUCACCAGCUCCGCAAGGUAUCCACUCUUCCCAUUCUCUCAUAUCGGAAAAGGAAAGAGUCUCCAGUGAUGGAAAGGGCACUGAGCAACUGCUUCUAUAAAACUCCGACCCCACGCUCUUUACUCCGUCCAUUCCACUUAUAUCAAGUUCCUUUAGAAAUGGUAGUUGCCCUACCGAUGGCAAAGAUGUAGACGUGCACCUACAUAAUUCUAGACGCGCCAAUUUUGAGAAAGAGGAAUCUCCUAGCCAACUUGGAAAUUUUGUACCACCGUAGCCUGUGAUGGUGAGCUCUUGUACAUCUCGAUGUGGUUUUAGCAUGCUGAGAACACGUGUCUCAAAUUCACACUGGUCAAGGUUCUGAACGUCCCGUGCACUCCAUUCGAGCGAUAAAGCUUCAAGAUUCACCUUGUUGUUUAACUGAGCCUCACUGGCAUCGCCAACAUCUUUCACAUUCUCCAACUUCGAAAUUCGUAGUGUUCCCUGAAGAUGCGUCAAAGACUUUAACUCUCGUAGCCCAGAACCACUGUCUUUUCCCACAACAAAUCUACCCAACGUCAAGAGACUAGUCAAUUUACGAAAUCCCUUCGGCAUUUCCUCCAAUUCAUAGGCAUAAGAAUUUCUUAGAUGACGCAACUUCGUCAGGUUUCCCAUGUCUUUACACAACUUCUUGAGCUUCCAACAGUUUUCCAACAAAAUUGUAUGCAAGUUGUACAGUGAAUUAAUUGACUCGGGCAAAAUUUGAAUACCCGUUCUGGAUAAGUUAAGACAGCGUAAAUGCUUCAAGUUUCCAAUUUCAUUUGGUAGGUUGAAGAUGUUACAAUACCCGCGCAGAGAAAAGACCCUUAAGCGUGGGAGAUGAUUCAGCAGCAUCUGAAGAACACUCCGAGGCAAAUAAUUUUCACCGAAAACUGAUAACUUCAUCGGUAAAAAGGUUCGCAAAUGUUGCACGUCAUAGAUGAACUCCAACCUAGUGUCUCCAUCAUAUCGCCCACGAAUAUACGAAAAAUGACGAAGACUUUGAGAAAACUUUUGUCGGUUUUCACCUGCUAAUGUAUCCUCCAUUCUGAAGUAUUGCUCCCCUGCAGCCCAUCGAGCAAGGUCAUUGAUUAGAUCAUGCAUCACAAAUCGGGAGGGAUGAUUACUGGACUGUUGAAAUAAUGACCUUGAAUGUAACUCCCGAAAGAACGCACGGCCCAAAUCUUCCAUUUUCCUUCCAUUGUAUUCUUGAUCCAAGAAACCUUCAGCCGUCCACAAUAAAAUUAUCUCCUCUUCUUCAAAUUCAUAAUCUUUGGGAAACAAUGAGCAGUAUGCAAAGCACCGUUUCAACUGUGGAGGAAGAAAAUGGUAGCUCACUCUUAGGGCUGGUAAAAUAUCACAUUUGUCCUCUCGUAAAUCCCAUAUGUUAGUAUUGAGCACAAAUUCCCAGUCAUUCAAGUCAUCUUUGCCGCUUAAAAGGCCGCCAAGAGUUUUCGCAGCCAAAGGCAAUCCUUUGCACUUCUUCGCUAUCUUCUCUGCAACUUCCUUCAAGGAUUGAGGAAUGUUGAAAUCCGGGGGCCCUAAGGAGUGUUGAAUGAGCACACGCAAACAAUCAUCGUCUGACAACUCUUUCAAUGUUUUACCUGAAACGGCUCUCAUUGUUGCUGCAACAUCUUGAUUGCGAUGUGUGACAACAAUCUUGCUUCCGGAUGCGCCAGCACCAAAGGGACAGCUGAGGGUGCACCAAGAAUUGUAAUUCUCGUUCCACAAGUCGUCCAAAACGAGCAAAAAUUUCUUUCCAGACAAUCGCUCCUUCAGUUUCACUUGAAGCGAGUUUAAAUCAUCAUCAUUGUUACUCUGAUCUUUAGCAAUGGACUUCAGGAUUGACUUUGUUACCCUGGAAACAUCAAAAUCCUCAGAGACACAAGUCCACGCUUUGAUCUCAUAAUGACGCUGCACUCGAUCAUCAUUAUAGACAAGCUGAGCAAGAGUUGUCUUCCCAACGCCGCCCAUUCCAUUUAUAGAAAUAACAGAGAAUCCAUCAUCACCUCUUAAAUCAUCACUCAACAACAAUUCAAUAAUCUCCUCCUUCUCUUUUUCCCUGCCAUAUACUUUGGCUUCGUUCACCAAAGAAGUUGUGGGUAGUCUUUGUCUGAUAUUUCUAGACUUCCCAUCUGAAAUUACAUUUUUCAAUUUCAGCAGGUCUUUUUGCGUUGAAAUAAUACUCUGCAGCCGAGCAGUGACCUCCUCUAUUUGCGACGCCAUCUUGGAUUCAAAAUUAAAUGAUGAUCGAGGACUAUCAGAGGCAGACAACUUCGGAAUUUUUCUGAGUGUAACAGCAUCAGUGACCUUCCUCUUCAACGAAUCAGUUAACUUCCAAAACGUACUCGUACUUGUACUGGGUUGAUCAACAGCAGCUGGUUCUUGAGGCAGCAAUUCCUUCCGCAAGGAUUCAGUUUGGAACUCAUCCAAUAUGUCUUCAAGAUCAUAAGCCAAGUUCUGAAGAUCGUCGAGCCACAUCUUAACUGGCUUCUCCUUGGUCUGCCUAUCCUCAGCAUCAGCAAGCACUGCCCGGAUCAUCUCCAACAUUCCCUUCCACUUGAUGAAAUCAGCCUUCAGCUUCUCAUGCCGUGUCAACAGCUCAACCCCCUCUGGAGCCAGUUUUUCUAUCAGCAUCUGAACUGACGCACCGAGCACCGCCUCUCCGAUGAAUGCCAUUUUUUUUUUUUUUUGGCAAGAAACUGAGUAAAUUAUGACAAAAGAAGAAGGAAAAAUCUGCAGAAAUUGAACAAAGUCUAGUAUGUGAUUUUGAUUUGGGAAGGCUGAAGAGUAAAGCAAGCAAGAGCGGGUAAUGUGAAAUGGUUUACACAAAAACAGAGCACUAGAUGUCUAUCCCACGCGUUUUUGCACCAAUAAUUUAGCUAGCGACGACCAAAACACCACCACGUCAAUCCCACGCGUUUUUGCCACUAAACACCGUGUGAUUAUUAUAUUAAAUUUUUUAAAAUCAUCUGAUAAAUAAUGAUUAGUCAAAUAUUUAAAUAGUCUUAUUUAUUUUUUUUGAUAAACAAUAAUAUAUCUGAUAUGUACUAAUGUAUUAAUUUAAAUAAUUUAUAUUUAUUUAUAGUGAUUAUCACUAGCCAAUACUAACUUACUUACCACUAGAUGUCUUUUAAAUUAAUUUUAGAUUUUAGUGAUAGUGACAGGUUCGCCGGUGAGAUUUCUCGGAGUUGGAAUUGUUAAAGUUAUUCAAUUUUUUUGGGAGUAUUUUAUAGGAUCCGAUUAUUUAAUUUUAGCCAAAUAAAAAUAAAUAAUUCUUUUGAAAUAGUACUGUUAUUAUUAUUAUUAUUAUUAUUAUUAUUAUGAAUCCAAUGUGAAUUUGGUCAACAAUAACUAUCUCUACUUGACCCACCAUGCUUUGCUACUGCAAGGAAAUUGCAGCAUUUAUGCCACGAAAGUGGCGUAAGCCGUGCUCUACUAAUUCCAAUAAUACGACAAUUCUCUAAAGAAAAGUCAGUCCAGCGACGACCAAAACACGACCACGUGGACGCGUCUCCACCACUACAAAAGUAUGAGCAAUUUGGUUUUGAUUAUGAUCAUAUAGAUGUCACUUAUCAUUUGAUUACUAUAUAAAAAAUUUUAUAAAUAAAUAAUUAAAUAUUUAUAUAAUCUAUUUAUUAUAUUAAGGUCAGUUUUAAACAUGAAAAAUUAAGCAGUCGGUCUCAUAUUAUAGAUAGAUUCAAUUUUAGUUAUUUUUUAGAUAAUACUCCAAUUAAUUUUUAAAAAAAAGAUAUAGUUUUUUGAAAUACAAGGUCCAUUCUCAUAUCUUAUCAACAAUUCACCAUCUCAACAAUUUAAGUGCUAUCACUCUAACUAUUCUAUUUAAAAUUUGUAUUGUUCUAUUUAUUUAAUUUAUAAAAAUUCUCAUCAGAUAUCUUCUUGAUUACUUUUUUAAAGAUUUUUUUAGAUGUUCUUGAUUUUUGCUGAAAUUCAAGAUAUGAUUAAAUAUGGAUGGAUUUUGAUCUCAUUUCUAUUUCCUUUAAGUGUUAAAGGUUUUGAAUAUAAGGAGGCCUCCUAGGAAAAAAAUUGCCUAAAGCUCUACAAACUCUAUCUAGAGCCAAUCUUGAUUUUAUUUAGUGACCAAUAAUGUAUUUCACAUACACUAUCUCACAUGUAAUGAUGUAUAAUUUAAAUAAUUUACAUUUAUUUAUGGUAAUUAUGAAUGAAUACCCAAUAAUUAAUUUAUUAUAUAUUUAUUUUUUUAUUAGUUGUCUUCUUUACUAGAAAUCUUGUCAUAAUUUUUAAGCCGUUGAUCAAAAUAAAAAGUAACAUUUAAUUAAGUUAAACUAUCAAAAGUUAGAUUACAUGAAAUCAUCCACAAUUUGUUUACAUGAAAUCAAUGUCACAAUAUAUAUUUAAAAUAUUUAAUUUAAAAUAACCCUUAAUAAGGAUUUUUACAUUUGUAUAGUUGAUACAUAGUUUGAAUUCAAAGAAAUGUAUCAUGAAUCAUUACUUAGCAUCUAUAUCUAUAUAUCUAUAUAAAGCUGGGACUUGAGGAGGUGAUAUGGCAUCAACAUUUCUCGUCUUUGUAUAUUCUCUAUUAUCUAAUAAAUAAAGAAAUUUUCUUUUAGAUUUGGCUUUUCAUCUUCUCAUAAUUAAUUUGAUUGUUAUUAUACAAUAACAAUUAUGUAAAGAUUUUAAUGAGGCAUAUUCUUUGUAAUGAACAUCCAAGGGGGAGUGUUAUGAAUUUAUUAAAAUAAAUGUAGAUGUUCAUAACAUAUAUCUCUUAGUCUCCCCACUAUCUCUCAUUAGCAACCUUUAGCUUCCCUAUAACUCCCACUAUCUCACAAGGAAUUAUGAUCUAUAAUUUUUCAUUAAUUUCAUAGAGUGAUUAUGUAACUAUAAAAGGAGAGCUCAUUUUUUUGUUUUGUACACACAUAAUUGGAAUGAAUAAAGAAUAAUUUAAUGGCUAUACAUAGUUCAAUAAUCUAAUGUACAUGAUUCACUGACUUUUGAGAAGGACAAUUUACACUUAUUUUAUACAAAACUUGAUGCUGAAUAAUUUAAUGGCUAUACAUAGUGCAAUGCGAAAUGUUGUACACAAAAAACGAAGCUUUGUUUUUUAUCAGCACCAAUAAUUCAACUAGCAACGACCAAAACACUGCCGAUCCACGCGUUUCUGCCACUAAAGUCAAGCAUUAGUAAUCAGUUGGGUUAUUUAUUUUUUAUCAGUUGAAUUAUUAUAUAAAAUAUUUUAAAAUUGUUUGAUGAUUAAUUAUUAAUCAAAUAUUUAAAUAGUUUUAUUUAAUAGACAAUAAAAAAAUCUCAUAUGUAAUAUUAUAUAAUUUCAAUAAUUUACAUUUGUUUAUUGUAACUAUGACUAUUUAAUACUAAUUUAUUAUAUAUAAAUCAACCUUUUGUAUUAAUUGUCAUUAAAUUAAUUUUAAUUUUUACUGAUAGUGAGAGGUAAACGCAUUUAAUAUUAACAUGAACGCGCAAAUAUAUUUUUGCCACUAGAGAAGCACACCACGGGUAGUUUGAUUUGUUUAUUUAUCAUAGACGUCAUUUAUCAUUUGAUUAUUAUAUAAAAUAUUUUAUAAAUGAUUAGGCGGAUUUAAGUAUAGGUAAAUUAAUCGGUCGUCUUAGGCCCAUAUUUUAGAUAGACCUUAUUUUUUAGUUAUUUCUCUAAAAAUACUCUAAUUAAUAAAAAAAUUUGAAUUACAUCAUUUUUGAAUUACAUACGGCAACUAUUUUAGAUAUUUCUUUAAUUAAUAAUUAUUCUACAACUAAGAUUUAUUUAUACAAAUUCUAUAUUUGACAACUUUGAUGAUAAAUAGCUAUAAAAAGUUUGUGUUGACUAAUUGUCUAUAUAUCAUUGCAUGAGAUGAUGACUAGCAAUUCAUAGAGACAUUUUCCAUUUUAACAUUUGAUACUGAGUAAAUUAUACCAUUAAUUAAAUUAAACUGAAUUAUAUAUAAUUUGAUCUCAAAGUCUUGAGAUGGAUUGGCAAAUGGAAUCAAGAAUAAUUUGAUAGUAACACCGGUUCCUUAUUUGUUUGAAUUUAAUUAUAAUUAUUUAUCUUUUGUUUGAGUGAAUUUAUUUUAAUUAGUAUUGUUUGAGAUAAGGCCUAAUUCUUUUUAUUUAUUUAUUUAUUUAUUUUUUUUAAAUAAAAUAUAAUCGAUUAUCAUCUUUAUCGUAUUUUUAUAAAAGCAGAGUAAAUUAUGAAAAAUGAAGAAGAAAAAAAUGUGCAGAAAUUGAACAAAGCCUAGUUUGUGGUCGUGGUUUGUGAAUGAAGAGUGAAAAAGUGCACACAAAAACAGAGCUUUAUUGACCAUGCACCAAUAAUUCAGCCAGGAACGACCAAAGCGCCACGACGUCAAUCCACGCGUUUCUGCCUCUAAAGUCAAGCAUGAGUAAUUGGUUGAGUUAUUUAUCUUUUACCAUUUGAUUAUUAUAUAAAAUAUUUUAAAAUCAUUUGAUAAAUAAUCAUCAAUCAAAUAUUUAAAUAGGUUUAUUUAUUUUAUUUAAUACACAAUAAUAUAUCUGAUAUGUACUAAUGUAUAAUUUAAAUAAUCUAUGUUUAUUUGUAGUGAUUAUGACUAGCCAAUACUAACUUACCACUAGAUGUCUUUUAAAUUAAUCUUAGUUUUAGUGAUUGUGAGAGAUUCGCCGGUGAGAUUUCUCUUGAAUUGGAAUCAUUAAAGUUAUCCAAUUAAUUUUGGGUGUAAAUAAUUUUUUGGAAAGUAUUUCAUAAGUUCCGAUUAUUUAAUUUUAGCCAAAUAAAAUUAAAUAAUUCUCCUGAAAUACCCAGGGAUGGUUAAGUAUUAUUAUUAUUAUUAUUAUUAUUAUUAUUAUUAUGAUAAAGUUAAGUACUAUUAUUUAAUUAUAAUUGGAAAAGAUAAAAUCUACGUAGAUUGAACGAAGUCCGGUUUGUGACUGGAGCAAAAGCAAGCAAGAGAAUCCAAUGUGAAUUUGGUCGACAAUAACUAGCUCUACUUGACCCACCAUGCACCAAUAAUAAUUCAGCUCUGCUACUGCGAGGAAAUUGCAGCAUUUAUGCCACACAAGUGGCGUAAGCCGUGCUCUACGAAUUCCAAUAAUACGACAAUUCUCUAAAUAAAAGUCAGUCUAGCGACGACCAAAAUACGACUACGCGGACGCGUCUCCACCGCUAGAAAGGCAUGAGCAAUUUGGUUUUGAUAUAAUCUAUUUAUUUUAUUAAGAUCAGUUUUAAGCAUAGGCAAAUUAAGCUGUCGGCUGAACUCCAUUUUAGUUAUUUUUUAAUAAUAUCUAAUUAAUUUAAAAUACGAUAUAAUUUCUUAAAAUAUAAAAUCAAUUGUUAUAUCUUAUCAAUAAUUCAUCAUCUCAACCAUCUAAGUGCUAUCAUUCUAAAUAUUUUAUUUAAAAUUUAUAUUGUUCUUAUUUAUUUAAUUUAUAAAAGUUCUGCUCGAAAUAAAAAAGAUAUCUUCUUGAUUACUUUUUUAAGGAUUUUUUUAAAAUUAUUUAGGAUGUUAUUGAUUCUUGUUGAUAUUCAAGAUAUAAUUAAAUAUUGAUGAAUUUUGAUAUCUUUUCUAUGUCAUUUAAGUGUUAAAGGUUUUGAAGAUAAGGAGGUCUCCCGAAAAAAAUUUGCCUAAAACCUUGCAAACUCUAGUUAGAGCCAAUCUUGAUUUUAUUUAGUAGGUAAUAAUGUAUCUCACACGCACUAUCUCGCAUGUAAUCAUGUAUAAUUAAAAUAUUUUACUUUUAUUUAUGGUAAUUAUGAAUGAAUACCUAAUAACUAAUUUAUUAUAUAUUUAAUUUUUUUAUUAGUUGUCUUCUUUACUAGAAAUCUGUCAUAAUUUUUUAGCCGUUGAUCAAAAUAAAAGUAACAUUUAGUCAUGUUAAAUCAUCAAAAGUUAGAUUACAUGAAAUCAUCUGCAUUUGGAUUUGGGAAGGCUGAAGAGUAAAGCAAGCAAGAGCGGGUAAUGUGAAAUUGAAAUACAAGUAUGCAACCCAAGAGGGGGGGUGAAUUGGGAUUCUAAAAAAAUUAUUCAGUUUAUAAAGAAAAACUUAAUGCAAAUAUAAACCAAAUUCAAAGCAAUAACAAUUAAGUUGAUCACAAUAUAAAACGAUAAGGGAAGAGAGAUUCAAACACAGAGAUUUUUACGUGGUUUGGCCAACCUCGCCUACGUCCACGCCUCCAAGCUUUCCGGGCUUGAGGAUUCCACUAAGCAAGCCUCCAAGGCUUCAAAUGCUUACACUUGACUUCCAAGGUGUCAAUAAACCUUUACAACAAGAGAUUAUCCCCAAUCUCUUAACCCAAGUGUAUCCCAACACUUACAAUCACUCAAAGUAAAAGAUUACAAACUGUUAUGCCUCUCACAAUAUAUAAGAUAACACAAUGAUGCUUAAUAUGUGAAUAGAUGAAGCAAGAAUGUGUUCUAAGCUCUAUGAAGAUUGUAUUCUCGAAUAUUAGCUCAAAUGGUCGUGUUGUGAUCAACCUUAUUUGAAUUUGAAUGAGCUUAUUUAUAGUUGGAGCUGAAAAAUUAGCCGUUACAAACUGUCAGUCGAAAACGGUUCGCCAUUAGCCAUUAACGGUUAACCGUUUACACUGCUCAAAAGUUACCGUUGGGCCAAAUUUCAAAUAAACGGUUUGCCGUUUAGGAUUAGCCUUUCGCCGUUAAUUUCCAGGGACCUGCAAGAUGAACAUCAGUUAUCCAUUUACACUAAACGGUUAAGGAUUUGUAAGAAGUGACUUCUCUGGAUGUUAUCGGUUAACUAUUUGUAAUAAACGGUUCGCCGUUUGUCUCCAGUAACCUGCAAAACAAUUCAGCCUUAACCGGUUUUGUUAAUCAGUGAUUCUGGAUGUUAUCGGUCAACCGUUUAUAUAAACGGUUUACCGUUAAGUUCCAGUGGCCUUCCCAUCUUUUGUGUUUUCCGUUUUUCAUAAACGGUUAGAGCUUUAGGCAUUAUAUUGCUCUCUGGAUGUUAUCGGUUAGCCGUUUAAAUAAACGGUUCACCGUUAAGUUCCAGUGGCCUUCCCAUCUUUCGUGUUUUCCAUUUUUCAUAAAUGGUUAGAGGUUUAGGAAAUAUGUUGCUCUCUGGCAUUAAUCGGUUAACCGUUUAGAGGAAAACAGUUUACCGUUUAUUUCCAGAAUCACAUUUUAAACCAGUUUUUGCAAAGAAACUUUUUCUAAUAUGAAAGUCCAUCUUUUAUGAAUCUUUUUCGUUUGUUAAGGUUUGUUAUCAAAAACCAUUUAAAGUUUGUUAUCAUCAAAAUCAAUAUUAUUAACAUAUACAUGUUAACAAUCUUCCCUUUUUUUAUGAUGACAAACUUCAUUCAAUAUUAAGCUCGCCCUUAAUAUAUGCUCCCCCUAAAUGUAUGGCCAGAUUAAGAAAUGUCCAAUAAAAAGAUUUUUGCUUAAGAAAACAUUUUUAAAUACAUUUUAGAUAAUCUCCCAAUUAUCUCCCCCUUCAUCAUCAAAAAGAAAAGAGAGAAGGGAAAAAACGCUAAUCCUUUAAAGAAGUUACCCGGUUUUGGUGAGCGAAAAUUUUGGCAGAGUUUCCCCUUAAAAAUGAGCAAAACCACUAAUACAAAAUGAGAUUAAAACACUUCCAAAAUAGAUUAACAUCAACUUCAUCUUUCAACAGCCCAACAACUUCAUGAACAAACAAACCAACACUUCAAUAUCCAAUAAACCACAAAGUUCAUCAACUAAUAACCAAGGUAUCCAAUCAUCAAGAACUUCACAAAUAUAUGUCAUCAAAAUCCAGAAAGAGCAUAUAAAGGAAACAAUGUAUAUAAAAAUAGAAAUGGCAACAUGCAAUCAACCAAAAUAUGAGAUGUAUGUGCAAAAAACAGAACCUAGAAACUAUGGAGGCGGAGAAGAUGUGCUCCUCGGAUCAUAGCCGAAAUAGCGGAGAAGAGUGCGCUGUCCAGCGAUAAGCUCAAGCUGCUGAUCGAUGCUCUGCUGCUGGAAGGUCUGAAAGUCAGAUCGUAGCUACUAGUGGUCACGGGAAACAGAGUCCAACCGAUCAAGAAUUAGCUGCUGGCGCUCCGAAAUCCGCUGAACAUCAAUAAUCAACUGCUGUACAACGUCUGAAGCAGGGGGCUUAACUGGAGCUGGAUACGGCAUAGAAGCAGAUGGCUGCUCGGGAACAACAGAUGGCUCAGGAGCAGGAGGCGGCUCGGAAGAGGAGGGAAUGUCAGCAUCCAUCGCACGCUCCUCAGGGUCAGAGACAGUUGGAGGCUGAGGAACAAAAUGGCGACGCAGAGGAUGAGGAAGAGCUCCUAAUCUAAAGUCAGGAAGCUAAUCGGGAGGAUAGAUAUCAUUGAGCAUCCGAUCGUCCUCUGGAGCAAUCAAGGUAUCCCGGUUUUUGGAGUUGCUUGUCUUUAUCCACUGUCCAUUCUUUCUAGAGAAACCAAUACUAGUCAUGGCCUCGGGACCAAUCCGUCUAGUCUCCAUAAGUCUAGUAUCAAGAAGAGGCACCUCAAAGCGUCGCAGUAUCUUAGUGAUGAUACUGCCAUAAGGAAGCAAGCAGUGAUUGAACCGCGAGAGUACUCAACAUGUGUCGCACAAUAAUAUACCCGAGAUUAAUGGGACGGUCUGUAAGAAGGCUAUCUAAUAGGGCAACGUCCAACCUCGUAACCUCAUCCGAGUGACCCUUCCUAGGUGUCACUAUGUGCUGUAAAAUAGUGUAAAGAAUACGAACUUGGAGAGGUAAAAGUUGAGACCGAAAAGGAAGUAAACAAAUCUCAUCCGAUAAGUCUCGACGACGACAUAUAUUACGGACGCCAUCAGUAUGAGAAAAACUGUCAAAGGAAAAGGCUUUCUUAGAGGAGUAAAUAUCAAGCCCCUCACAAGGGAUACCAAGAAAGUCAGCUAGAUCCGCAUCAUCAAACUCUAUUGGUACACGGCCAACUUGAGUAACUAUCCUAUUUGGGCGAGUAUCGGAAAUUUCCAUGUUCGAAUAAAAGACUCGCACUAAACUUGGAUAAACACAGUCAUCAAGGUCAAUGGCAGCCUCCCAUGGCUGAAGCAUAUCCCUAAUGCUUCUACCACAUACAACUAAGUUGCGGAAAUCAUCAAUAUCAACAAAGAAGGAGUCAAGUACCUUUCGACCGUUGAAGCGCUCUUCGAACCGCUUGGCCAAGGAAGGUGUGGGGAAGUGAAUGCGUGCAAAUUCAGAGACAUCCCGUGGUGGUAUAGGAUUCCUUGGAGGCACAGAUUUACGCCUGGGAUUUCUUCGAGAGGGUUCAGCCAUGGAGAAACGCAAUGAAGUGUGGAAAAUGCAAGAGAGAUGUGAUGAGAAGAAAAUGAAUCGAUAAAUGGCUUAAGAAUGAAUAGAGGAUGUGAGUAGGAUGUUCAAUUUGAUUGAAGAAGGGUAAAAAUUGGAUUAAAAACGAAGAAACUCGACCCGUGGUAGUUAGGGUUUAGAUUUGGGAUUUUUGAAUUUUGGGCUCGAUUUGAAGUUUUGAAUCGGUAGAAUUGUUCUAAAGGUGAUAAGAAAUGAUUUUGAAGGUUUGAUCUGGCAAGAAAAGCAGGAAAAAUGAGGGUUUGAGGGCAGAGAAACCUUCGGCUGCGCAACAAUGGCCGAAACGGUGAAAGGGUAACUGGAGAAAGAGAAGAAAAACCUUUGAACAGUUUUUAUAGUCGCGAAAACGGUUAACCGUUUAUUUAAACGGUUAAGGGGUAACUGCCAGAGGACUCUCUGUAUACAAACGGUUCACCGAUUGUAACAAACGGUGACAGAGUAAACGGACAGAUACAUAAUCUCGUUUCUGGAACAAAACGGUUCACCGUUUAUUGGAAACGGUUAUCUGUUUAUUUUAUUUGUAGUUUUGUACAUUUGAUUUAAUUUUUGGCUAACUAAUAAUAUAUUCCAAGAUCAUUUAAUUGAUCUGAAAAUAUUUUAUGAGCUAUUUUAAUGCAUGAUUCGUGAACGUGUUUUCAACCAAUUUAAUUUAUAUAAUCAAGAAUUAACAAGGUAAAUUCAUCAUUUGACUAUCAAGUUCAAGCAUUUCAUAAAUAUUUGAUCACAACUAAGUCAAUCAAUUCAGUACACUCAAUAGCAUGAAUAGAGAUAUUAAUGCGAAAAUUUCAUCAUCCCAAGUUCAUGCCGAAUUUUUGAAAAUUGUACUUCGCAAAGUGGUUUUUUGAAAAUAUCGACAAGUUGUUUUUCCGUGGAAAUAAACUCUAAUGCAAUAUCUCCCUUUUGAAUAUGAUCCCUCAAUAAAUGAUGUCUAAUUUCUAUAUGCUUGGUUCUAGAGUGUUGAAUGGGAUUCUUUGAAAGAUUUAUAGCACUAGUAUUAUCACACUUAAUAGAAUUUGUUCAAGAUUAAUACCAUAAUCUCUAAGUGUUUGUUUCAUCCAAAGUGCUUGUGCACAACAACUUCCGGCAGCUAUAUAUUCAGCCUCGGUAAUUGAAAGUGCGACAGAAUUUUGUUUCUUGCUAAACCAUGAAACAAGAGAGUGUCCUAAAAUAUAGCAAGUUCCACUAGUGCUCUUCCUAUCCACUUUAUAACCGGCAAAGUCCGCAUCCGAAUAACAUGUUAAAUCUAUAUGAGUUCCCCUAGGAUACCAAAGGCCAAUAUCUAUGGUUCCACUCAAAUAACGGAAAAUUCUUUUAACAGCAAGCAAAUGGGAUUCCUUGGGACAUGACUGAAAUCUUGCACACAAACAUACACUAAACAUGAUAUCGGGUCUACUUGCAGUCAAAUAAAGUAGGGAUCCGAUCAUACCUCGAUACAUUUUGAUAUCCACUUCUUUGCCUUUUUCAUCUUUGUCCAGCUUGGUUGUUGUGCUCAUUGGUGUAUUUUUAGUCUUUGAGUCAUCAAUGCUGAAUCGUUUGAGUAGAUCUUUUACGUACUUGGCUUGAUUUAUGAAAAUUCCUUCCUCGUUUUGUUUGACUUGAAGUCCAAGGAAAUACUUCAACUCACCCAUCAUAUUCAUCUCAAAUUCUUUGCUCAUACACGAUGAAAAUUCUUUACACAACAAUUCAUUAGUAGAACCAAAAAUAAUAUCAUCAACAUAAAUUUGAACAAUAAGUACAUCUUGGUUCUUAUGCUUAACAAAUAGAGUAGUAUCCGCUUUACCCAUUGAAAAAUCAUUUUCCAACAGGAAAUUCUUAAGUAUAUCAUACCAUGCUCGAGGUGCUUGUUUUAAUCCAUACAAGGCUUUAAGCAACUUAUAAACGUGAUUUGGAAAUUUUUCAUUUUCAAAAUCAGGGGGUUGUUUUACAUACACUUCUUCCAUAAUAUACCCAUUUAGGAAAGCACUUUUCACAUCCAUUUGAAAUAAGAUGAAAUCUUUAUGACAUGCAAAUGCUAACAACAUUCUAAUUGAUUCUAGUCUAGCAACGGGUGCAAAAGUUUCAUCAAAAUCAAUUCCUUUUUCUUGGUUGUAACCUUGAGCCACUAAUCUAACUUUAUUUCUUACAACCACACCGGAUUCAUACAUCUUGUUUCUAAAUAUCCAUUUAGUACCUAUGACGGAUUGAUGUUCCAGUUUAGGAACUAAUUCCCACACAUUGUUUCUUUCAAAUUGAUUUAACUCCUGUUGCAUUGCCAUAAUCCAAGAUUCAUCAUUUUCUGCAUCCUCAAAGGAUUUUGGUUCAAUUUGAGAAAUGAAUGCAUUAUGCUCACAAGUAUUUCUAAGUGAUGAUCUAGUUGUAAUACCACGUGAGGGAUCUCCUAAAAUUACAUCUUUAGGGUGAGAAGAGACAUACCUCCACUCCUUGGAGAGUGUUUGAGAAGUACCUUCAUUUUGCUACACAUUUGGUUCUUCAUGAUGUUCCUCUUGAAUUCCAUGUGGUGCGUCUUCUUGGUUGUCAUUUGAUGCUUCUUCUUGUUGUUCUUCUUCUGCAUUAUCAUCAACAACGACUUUCUCCGUAGACGAGGGGUUAGACUCAUCAAAUGUGACAUGCAUAGAUUCUUCCACAACUAAAGUUCUUUUGUUAUAGACUCUAUAAGCUUUGCUUGAAUUUGAAUAACCAAGAAAAAUACCAACAUCAGAUUUUGGAUCAAAUUUACCAAGAUUAUCUUUUGUGUUCAAAACAAAACAUUUGCAUCCAAAAACUUUAAAAUAGCAAAUGUUGGGUUUUCUAUCUUUCCAAAGCUCAUAUGGAGUUUUAUUAAGAUUAGGUCUAAUCAACACCCGAUUCAAAACAUAACAAGCGGUGUUGAUGGCUUCGGCCCAAAAAUAUUUUGGUAAUGCAUUUUCAUUUAACAUGGUCCUAGCCAUUUCUUGAAUAGACCUAUUCUUUCUCUCAACAACUCCAUUUUGUUGUGGAGUUCUAGGUGAUGAAAAUUGAUGCUCAAUGCCUAGAUUAUUGCAAAAAAUCUCAAAUGCAUGAUUUUCAAAUUCUCCUCCAUGAUCACUCCUAAUGCAUACAAUACCAUGCCCUUUUUCAUUUUGUAAUUUCUUACAAAGCACUUUAAAAGCAUCAAGAGCAUCAUCCUUAUUUUCUAAGAAUAAUACCCACGUAUAUCUAGAAUAAUCAUCCACUAUCACAAAUGCAUAAUAUUUGCCAUUUAGACUCGCAUAUCUAGAUGGCCCAAAAAGAUCUAUGUGAAGAAGUUCAAGUGGUUUUGAAGUAGAAAUAUGGUUUUUAUUCUUGAAAGAAGUUUUAGUUUGUUUUUCAAAUUGACAAGCUUCACAAAUCUUAUCCUUUUGAAAACCAAUUUUUGGAAGACCUUUAACUAAAUCAUCUUUCGAAAUUUUUGAAAUUAAAUCCAUACUUGCAUGUCCUAACCUUCUAUGCCAUAACCAACAAUCAUCAUGCAAUGCCGAAAAAUAUUUAUCAAGUGUAGAUGCACAUUCUAUGUCUAUGAUAUAAACAUUACCACAUCUAUUCCCAACAAAUAAGGUUUUGCCAUCACAUGAGUUCUUAAUAACACAACUAAAUUUAUCAAAGAUAAUUUUAUAACCUUUGUCACAUAAUUGACUAAUGCUAAUUAAGUUGUGUUUCAAGUUCUCAACCAAACAUACAUUCUCAAUUAAAGUUGAAGAGAUUUUACCAACAUUUCCAAUUCCAAGAAUUUUUCCUUUUAAGUUGUCCCCAAAAGAUACGUCUCCACCAUUUUCAAUAUUGGUGAAGCUUGAGAACCAUGCAUAGUUUCCAGUCAUGUGCCUUGAACAACCGUUGUCCAAGUACCAUUUAUUUUUCUUCUUCUUCAAGCCCUACAAGAAAAAAUCUCAAGUUUUAGGUACCCAAAGCUUUUUGGGUCCUUGAGAGUUAGCAACGGUUCCUUUUGGAACCCAAAUGCAUUUGACACCAUAAUACGCAUUCCUUUUCACUGGACAUCUAAAUUUCAUGUGACCAUUUUGAUUACAAUAAUGACAUACAAUCUUUGUGGAGGUAGCUUUAACAAAAUAAUUCUUAUAAUACUUUUGCUUCAAGUUAGGCUUAUAUCCAAGUCCUCCUUUAUCAAAAACACAUUUUUUUAAGUUAAGCAUAUUAUCCAACAUCUUUUGCCCAUUUGUAAAUUUCAAAACAAUUUCAUUCAAUUCAUUACUCUUUUUCUUGAGCAUUUCGUUCUCAUUUUUCAACUCAUCUAUGUGUGAUUUUAAAUGCUCAUGUAAGAUGCUAGGUUUCUCAUUUGAUAAUGCAAUUUCAUCAUGCAAUGUUUUGUUUCCUACUUCUAGGCAUACAAUUCUUGCAUUUAGAGAUUCAUUUUCAUUUUUAAGCUUUGCCAUUUCCUUUUUAAGACAUACAUUCUUUUUACCAAUCUUCAUCAACUCAUUAUGCAAAUCUUUAAAAGCAUCAUACAAUUCAUUAUAGAUGGGAUCACUUACCUCAUUGAGAUCAUCAUCCCCUUCUAUUGCCAUGAGUGCUAGGUUUGAUACUUCUUGCGAUCAUUCUUCAUCAUUUGAUUCUUCCUCACUAUCAUCCCAAGUUGCAACCAUUGCUUUCUUCUUGAGUUUGUUGAUAAGUGGGCACUCCGAUCUUAUAUGUCCAGGCUUCUUGCAUUCAUAGCAUGUGAUUGCCUCAUUCUUCUCCCUAUGGUUCUUGAAGUUUCUGAAAUUUCUUUGCUCUCCGGUUUUCUUGAAGAAUUUUCUGAACCUCCUUGCUAGCAUGGCUAGCUCUUCAUCAUCCAGUUCACUCUCCCCAUCACUCUCAUAUUUUGAAGCUUUGAGAGCAAUGCUUUUCUUCUUCUCCUCAUGUCUUUUUUCUGCAGCUAAAUCCUCUUCAUACGAAAUAAGAGAACCAAUUAAAUCAUCAAGAGGUAAAGUAUUUAAAUCUUUGGCCUCUUCAAUUGCGGUUCUUUUAGGUCUCCAUUCUUUUGGAAGUGACCUAAUGAUUUUCUUAACUUUCUCACUAUUUGAGAAGGUUUUCCCUAAGGCACCUAGGGUGUUCACUAUGUCUGUGAAUCUAGUGUACAUAGAAUAUACAUUUUCAUUUUGUUCCAUUUGGAACAACUCAUAUUGACGAGUGUAUCUACUAAUUUUAGACUCUUUUACUUGAUUUGUCCUUUCAUAGACAACUUCAAGUUUGUUCCAUAUCUCUUGUGCACUUUCACAACUAGAUACUCUAUGGAAUUCUUUUUUAUCAAGGGCACAAAACAAAGCAUUCAUAGCCUUGGAGUUUAGAGACAUCUUUCUCUUUUCUAACUCACUCCAUUGACUCGAUGGUUUAGGAAUAUCAUCUCCUACUUCAUCUUUAAACGUAGGCAUGAAUGGACCAUCACAAACAACUUCCCAAAUUUCAUAAUCUAAGGCUUGCAAAUAGAUUCUCAUUCUAGUUUUCCAAUAAGCAUAGUCAUUACCAUCGAAAAAUGGUGGUCUAGUUGUAGAUUGCCUUUCUCUAAAUGUUGAGUCAUUUAGGGUUGCCAUGGAUCUUUUACUCUAGACGAUUAAGUCUUAACAAGAGAACAAGGCUCUGAUACCAAUUGAAAUACAAGUAUGCAACCCAAGAAGGGGGGUGAAUUGGGAUUCUAAAAAAAUUAUUUAGUUUAUAAAGAAAAACUUAAUGCAAAUAUAAACCAAAUUCAAAGCAAUAACAAUUAAGUUGAUCACAAUAUAAAACGAUAAGGGAAGAGAGAUUCAAACACAGAGAUUUUUACGUGGUUCGGCCAACCUCGCCUACGUCCACGCCUCUAAGCUUUCCGGGCUUGAGGAUUCCACUAAGCAAGCCUCCAAGGCUUCAAAUGCUUACACUUGACUUCCAAGGUGUCAAUAAACCUUUACAACAAGAGAUUAUCCCCAAUCUCUUAACCCAAGUGUAUCCCAACACUUACAAUCACUCAAAGUAAAAGAUUACAAACUGUUCUGCCUCUCACAAUAUAUAAGAUAACACAAUGAUGCUUAAUAUGUGAAUAGAUGAAGUAAAAAUGUGUUCUAAGCUCUAUGAAGAUUGUAUUCUCGAAUAUUAGCUCAAAUGGUCGUGUUGUGAUCAACCUUGUUUGAAUUUGAAUGAGCUUAUUUAUAGUUGGAGCUGAAAAAUUAGCCGUUACAAACUGUCAGUCUGAAAACAGUUCGCCGUUAGCCAUUAACGGUUAACCGUUUACACUGCUCAAAAGUUACCGUUGGGCUAAAUUUCAAAUAAACAGUUUGCCGUUUAGGAUUAACCUUUCGUCGUUAAUUUCCAGGGACCUGCAAGAUGAACAUCAGUUAUCCAUUUACACUAAACGGUUAAGGAUUUGUAAGAAGUGACUUCUCUGGAUGUUAUCGGUUAACCGUUUGUAAUAAACGGUUCGCCGUUUGUCUUCAGUAACCUGCAAAACAAUUCAGCCUUAACCAGUUUUGUUAAUCAGUGAUUCUGGAUGUUAUCGGUCAACUGUUUAUAUAAACGGUUUACCGUUAAGUUCCAGUGGCGUUCCCAUCUUUUGUGUUUUCCGUUUUUCAUAAACGGUUAGAGCUUUAGGCAUUAUGUUGCUCUCUGGAUGUUAUCGGUUAGCCGUUUAAAUAAAUGGUUCACCGUUAAGUUCCAGUGGCCUUCCCAUCUUUUGUGUUUUCCGUUUUUCAUAAACGGUUAGAGGUUUAGGAAAUAUGUUACUCUCUGGCAUUAAUCGGUUAACCGUUUAGAGGAAAACGGUUUACCGUUUAUUUCCAGAUCACAUUUUAAACCAGUUUUUGCAAAGAAACUUUUUCUAAUAUGAAAGUCCAUCUUUUAUGAAUCUUUUUCGUUUGUUAAGGUUUGUUAUCAAAAACCAUUUAAAGUUUGUUAUCAUCAAAAUCAAUAUUAUUAACAUAUACAUGUUAACAAUGGUGUACACAAAAACACAGCUUUACUGACCAAAACACCACCACGUCAAUCCAUACGUUUCUGCCACUGAAGUCAAGCAUGAGUAAUUGGUUGGGUUAUUUAUCUUUUGCCAUUUGAUUAUUCUAUAAAAUAUUUUAAAAUGAUUCGACAAAUAAUCAUUAAUCAAAUAUUUAAAUAGUUUUUUAUUUUAUUUAAUACACAAUAAUCUAUCUGGUAUGUAAUAAUGUAUAAUUUAAAUAAUUUACAUUUAUUUAUAGUGAUUAUGACUAGCCAAUACUAAUUUAUCAUUAGCUGUCUUUUAAAUUAAUUUUAAAUUUUAUUGAUAGUGUGAGGUUCGCCGGUGAAAUUUGUGUCUGAGUUGGAAUCUAUCAAAGUUAUCCAAUUAAUUUUGGGCAUACAUAAUCUUUUUGUAGUAUUCAUAAGUUCCAAUUAGAGUUGAUAAUGGGACAGGAUGGGAUGUGAUUUACCAAUCUUAGUCCCAUCCCGUAUAUACAAGUGGAAUAAAAAAAUAUCCAACUCUCAUCCUUAUAUUUUUUUAGGAUAAAAAUAUGUCUCAAUUCUAUCCAAAAAAAAAUGAGAUUUUGUGAGAUCCUAUCUCAAUUGAAAAAAUUCAUAUCCCUAGUUGGUAAUAAAACAGAAAUAGGAUAAAAAAAGUCUCACUCUCAUUCCUAUAUUUUUUUGUGAGAUAAAAAUAUAUUUUAAUCCAUCCCAAAAAUCCUAUCCCAUCAGAAAAAAAUUGACAUCUCUAGUUCCCAUUAUACCAAAGUCCAAAUUUUCGAGUUUGUCAUGAGAUGUUGAAAUUUUGCUUUUGAUGCAGCAACAAAUUAUUAAUUAAGCUUGUUCUUAGCUGUUCGAGGCCCCAUCCAAAUUGCACGUUUUCUUUUGAACUAUUCUUCUAUAUAUUAUUGCUCUUUCAUUCAAAUAAAAUUAAAUAAUUCUUCUGAAACACCCAUGGAUAGUUAAGUACUACCACUAUUAUUAUUAUUAUUUUAUCAAGUUAAGCACUAUUAUUUAAUGAUAAUUGAAAAAGAUAUAUCUACAUAAAUUGAACGAAGUCUGGCUGGUGAAUGAAGAGCAAAAGCAAGCAAGAGAAUCCAAUGUGAAUUUGGUCAACAAUAACAAGCUCUGCUUGACCCAUCAUGCAAAGAUAAUAGUUCAGCUCCCCGCUACCGUGAGGAAAUUGCAGCAUUUAUGCCACGAAAGUGGCGUAAGCCGUGCUCUACUAAUUCCAAUGAUACGAUAAUUCUCUAAAGAAAAGUCAGUCUAGCGACGGCUAAAACACGACCGCCCAGACGCAUUUCCACCACUAAAAAAGUAUGAGUAAUUUGGUAUUGACUAUUGAUCAUAUAAAUAUCAUUUAUCAUGUGAUUAUUAUAUAAAAUAUUUUAUAAAUAAUUAAUUAAAUAUUUAUUACUUUCAUCAAAUUACUCGUUCAUUUAAGUGUUGUGAUUCUAGUCAAUUGUAGGAGAUCCACAACAAUUGCAGUCAAUUCCAGAAAUUCUAGAGUACAUCAACGAUUGCAGUUAAUUUAAUUGUUUAGCUAUAUAACAAGUAAAGAAUAUUAUAUUGUGUGUUUAUUUAUUUUGAACAACCAACGUGCAAUUAGUAGUUGCAUUAAAUUUAACUACAUAUGUCAUACGCUCAGUUGUUAGUUAUAUUAUAUCUAAUAUACCAUAUACAUUCUCCAAUUAUAAGUUAGGCUUAAGUGAAUUAAUUUGCCUUUAUGUAAUCUUUCCCCAUAAAUAAGUUCUCUAGCUAAUUAUGAUUUGCUUUUUAUUAAUGAUUUUGAGAGAUACUAUUCAUUCUUUUAGUUAACUUGAUUCUUUCAUUAUGUUAAUUAAUUUGUGAUCUUAGUUUAAUAGGCACGGUUUAAUUACAUUCUAAAAUAUAUAUAGACACAAGAUAUUACAAAUGAAUCAUUUUCUUUUUGAUAAAUGCUCAUCCUCAUGAAUUUAUUACAUCAUAAUACAAUUUGCUAAUUGUUACAUGAUCAUAUAUCUGCCAAAAUUCUAUAUGUAUAUUUCUAAUAUGAUGAUACAACUAGAAUUUUUAGAUUUAGAAUAAAAUGAAUAGCAAAAUGAAGAUAUUGAGACUAGAUCUAAAAUGGGCCAAACUGGCUUUCAAGUUUGAAAGAAAGAUUUUCACCGCUCUUUUUUCCUUUAACAGUAAUUUUUCAAUGCUGCUUUGUAGGAUUUUUUCCUCUAAAAUUAAUAAGAGUUGGACUAUUUUGCACCCCUCUAUUAUUCUCUUAACACAGUUUAUUAACAAAUUUAAAGUAUCAUAUAAUUUCUACUAAACAAAUCCCAUUUAAGAUCUCUUUCUUAACUUCUUUAAGUAAAUUUUCACAUAUCUUUCUUCUUAAAGCUAUUUAAACAAUACUUUCUUCGUUUUUCUCUUAUUGGUAACUGUAUCAUAUAAAUAAUAUAGUAGCUAAAACUUUUUUUAUUGAUUAUUUUUAGGACUCCACUUCGAUGCCGUAUUUUUUUUAUAGCAUCAAUAAUAUUUCAAUUGUAUACCAUUAUAUUUAAUUAAUGGUACACAAUAUUUGUAUUAAAAAAAUAUAAAUAAUUUAAAAAUAAUUAUAACAGGUUUGUUAAGGAUUUAAGGAAGUAGAGAAUUUUUGUAAAAUAAUUGUAUCACCUUUAUAGUUUGAAAUAAUUUCACUUAAAUAGUAUGUUUUAUUUAAAAAUCACUUUUCAACCCUCCUUUAAAUUUGUAAUUUGAUAACUUUUUUUAACAUAAAUGUUUCAAAUCUAUUACUAUUAAGUAUAAAAUAUAAUAUCUAAUAAAUUAUCUAACACAAAUCAAAUAAACAAGUUGCAGUUAUAAAAUUUAUAUAUGGUCUAACACAAUAAAUGAUAGAACUAAGUACAUGUGUUUAAGUGAAUAUUAUAAAUUGUAUCAAUAAACUCAUGGGCAAAAUUGUUUGUAACCUAAAAAAUACUUGACCACUCAUGUUUUAAUUAAAUCUAAUACGACAUAUUAAAAUAACUAUUAUUUUAUAUACAAUUAAGGAACAUUGUAUAUUUGAUCAUAAAGUAUGUAUUAUUUUUAACACCAAUUUAGCAUAGUUAUUCCAUGAAAUUAUGGUUUAUGCUACAAUUAAUAUUCUUACAUGGUAGAAAAUUAUCCAAGCCCUAUAAAAUUUAAGUUUCACAAACCUAUAUAUUUUCAUUUUAUUUUCAAAUUUCACUUUGUUAAUUUCAUUAAAGUUAAAUCUUACACAUAUUCCUAAUUACCUUUAGUUUAUAAAUCGCAAAAGAUUAUUUUAUUUAUAGUCCUUGGAUUGUAAUUAUAGAAUUUUAUGUUACUAAGUAUUAUUACUCUUAUUAUGAUAAUUAACGGUAACAAUACAUAAAAAAAAAUUAACUCCAAUAAUAUUUACAUAGGAAAGAAUGAGAAAAAAAUCUUUAUAUAAUGUUAUAUUUUCAUUAUAAACCCGGUUUAGGAUAUUUUAACGUAAAAUUUUGAUAUAAAGUUUGAGCUAUUAAUCUCUCACAAUCUAAUGGUUGAUAUUGAAAGUCAAAACAAUAUUUUAGGAUGUUAUAUUACCCACCAUUGAAUUGCAUGAAUUUAACGGUUUAAAUUUUGUGCUAAAAAUUUAAGUUAAAAUAAGCCAACUCUAAAGGUAUAUAUCUUAACUCUAGAGGUAUGUAUCCAAGCUGUCAUGUAGUUAUAUACACACAUAUAUUUUUCAAUUAUAGUUGUUGAAUAAAAUAUUUCUCAUUUGUUGUGACUAAUAUAGUAUCAUUAAUAAAACAUAGAUCAAAUAAUUUAUAACAAUGCCUUCUAUGAUCAUUAUUGUUUAUUUAAUGGUUUUAUAAUUAAAUUUAUACAAUAAAUUAUUAUUAAGACCUUAUGAAAUAUCUUUAUAUAAAGUAUUAUUAAAAUAAUAUUACCUGUAAAAUUGUAAAGUUAUAGCUAUUACACAAUAAUUUUAAUUUCAAAAUUAUCUGUAUUUUUUUUUUGUGAUUUAAAAAUAUUUAUGAAUUGAUUAGAUUAAAAAUAAUUUAUAGUGUGAAGAAAUGCUACAACUUAUAAAUUACUAGUUACAUAAUUACUUAUCUAUUAAAAUUAAAAUAAAGUUGAAGAUUCUAAUAUUUAAAUUCAAUGAUCCCAUUUUUUAUUGUGGGAUUUUUAUUCCAACAUAAUAGAAUUUUUCAGUUGUUAAUUAAUUAAAAAAAAAAAUCUACAUUCACUAACCACCUGAAGUUUACAUGUUAUUCUUUAAUUGCGUUGAGUUUGGAUGCGGGUGUGGACCGUGGAGAGGAGAUGUUUAGUUAGGGGUAAAAUUGUAAACAAGAUUAAGCAGGGUUUAAAGAGGAUGUUGGAGGUGGGCGAAUAGCACCACUUAAUUAAUUGUUGCGUCUUGAGCCCAAAUUCGCUAACCUACAUCCAAGUCCAGCCAUUAGCAGGGUCAAAGAGCUUUGUUCCUUUUUUAUUUUUAUUUUUGGGGACAAGCAGUAUCACUAUUAUUACGUCAGCUUGAGUAAAUUUAUCUUUUAGUUUUGGGGGCAAUGUUUAGAUGUUGAAUAAAAUGUAGAAUUAAACUAAUUUGUAAAAUAAAAAUAUUAGCCCAAUCCAGAAUCAUGUUCGUUGUUAGGAUUAAUAAACUUGUCCAAAUUUUAUCCUAAUAUUCAUAGGAUUAUCAAUCUCCAUCACAUGAAUUUAGAUAGGAUUAGAUAUUUUAUAAUCUAAAUUUGUUACUAAUGUUAAAUUUUUAUUUAAUAAUUCACCUUAAACUUUUUCUAAAUUUAAGAUAAAAUCGAAAAAUUAUUUCAAUAAUUUAUUUUAACUCAUUUAUAAUUCAUUAAAGAUAAAAAAUUAUUCAAUUAUUCAAUUACAAUAAUAUCAAAAAGUUUAAGUAUUAAAUUUAACAACUAAUAAUAUGCUUUAAAAAUAAUAAAUGAUUUAAAUAGUUAUUUAUUUUCUCUAAAUUAAAUUUAACACAGUACUGUCCAAAAUUAUAUUAAACAAAAAAUAAUACUAUAUAAUUUAAUAUAAUCCACACUAAUUCUAAAAAUUAAUACAAUUCAAUCUAAUAUUUCAACCGUAUCUAAUAGAAUUUUAAAAGUGCAAAUUAUUAUUGAUGAAAUGUCACAUCAGAUAUCUUUUGAAUUGACAAUUAGAAACGAAGUUCGUAGUCUCAAUCUCAAUUCUCAACCAUCCCAAUUGGAAUCCAAAAUGCCCAAUUCUUCAAGAAAUAAAUAACAACGAAUUUGAAAUUUUUUUUUUUUUUUGGGCGAUGGAUGGCUAUCAUUUUUAUUAAAUAAAACAAAGACCAGAAAGAAAAUUAAAAACUAAAAAAAGUAGUCUUGAUGGGCCAAAAUGAUUCCAACGAAUGUAUAAAGACACAAAGCAAAAUGUCACAACGCAUGGCGUCACAUUUAUUCGGUGUAAAGCAUUACGUUAUGGGCAUGAUGCAAACAAUUAUUCUUGGUCACCUUCCCACUUCCCAUUUCUUUUUCCCCAAUAAGUACGUAGCCUUCUUUUUAAUUACCAUUUAACCCUUCUCUCCCUCUCACUCUUAUUUUUAUUUUGGCCUUCAUAUUUUCAACCCCUUAAUAUUAUUUAAUUGAUAGAUCGAAAAAUCAAGAUUUUCUCAAUAUUUGAUCUUUUCUCUAUUAAAUACGAGGUGAUUUAUUCUAAAAUUAGAAAAAAUAUAAAACGAUUUAAUCUUAAUUAAAUAUAUUUAUUAAUUCAUACCAAACACAAGAUAUUUAAAAUAAGGGUAAUUUUUAAAAAUCUCAGCUGAAAUUUAGAGUAUUAUUAUUGUGAAGCCUGAUUAGUUAAUUCUGUUAUAUGACUAAGUGGCGUGCUGAGUCAGCUUAUAUGUGGGGCCAGAGUUAGUUAAUUCGUUACUGCUAACAGCUGGACAACAGAGCUACAUAUACAUAGGCUCAGGGCUGAUCAACAGAGAGUUGAAGUCAUGAUUUUGAGAAGCCUAGGGUGAGAGAUAGAAAAUUCUCUGUAGGAGAGAUUUAAUCUUUGUUAUCAAUACUCUCAUUGUAAACACUUUGUUCAAUAAAAGCUUCAAGCCCAGAGGGGUUUAUUUGGUCGUGGAUGUAGGUACUUUAGUACUGAACCACGUUAUAUUGUGUGCAUUGUUUCUGGUUCAUCUUCUUCUUGUUGUUCUCUGGUUAUUUCUUGUGUUUGAUCUAGUUAGCUUUCUUGGUUAAAGAUUGUUGAUCUUGAAUCGAUUGGGUUCUAUAAGCUUAGGUUAUUUGAUUAAUUAGAGUGGAUCAAGAGGAAUUCCACAACAAACUGGUAUCAGAGCGAUAAAAGAUCUCAGCUCUUGUUCACAAAUGGCUAGUACAAGAUUCGAUGUAGAAAAAUUUAAUGGAGAAAAUGACUUCUACCUAUGGAGUCUCAAGAUGCGUGCAAUCUUGAUCCAACAGGGGCUUGACAGUGCUCUUGAUAAUGAAGAAGAUCAGAUUGGCAAGAAAGAGAUAUCAGAAGGCUCCUCAAGCUUGGGUGGAGACAUAAGGUCUAUUAACAACAAAGCUCACAGCACCAUAAUCUUGCAUCUAUCUGAUGAAGUGCUGAGAGAGGUUGCUAAAGAAAAAUCUGCAUCUGGACUCUGGUCGAAACUUGAAGAACUAUUCUUGAAGAAGUCUUUAGCCAAGAGACUCUAUAUGAAAAGGAAGCUGUAUACAUUCUCAAUGAAGGAGGGAACAGCCAUGAAAGACCAUCUCGACGAAUUCAACAAGCUAAUCCUGGAUCUUGAGAAUGUUAAUGUGAACCUUGAAGAUGAAGACAGAGCUCUUAUCUUGUUAAGCUCACUGCCAGAUUCAUAUGAGCACUUUGUUGACACAUUACUGUAUGGGAGACAAACCCUUACAUUAAAAGAUGUGAAGAAUGCUCUGGAAUCAAAAGAAUUAAAGAAAAGAGCUGAGGGAAAAGAUCAGGGCCUUGGUGAAGGUCUGAUGGCCAAAUCAAAACCUGAAAAGAAGAAGAAUCAUGACAAGAAAAGUAACAAUCAGAAGGAUAAAGCUGACAAGAAAAAGAAGAAGAGGAGGUGCUAUUUCUGUCAGAAGGAAGGGCAUUACAUAAAGGAUUGUUUCGAGAAGAAGAAACUUGAAAAGAUCCAAAAAGAUUCAUCAGGGAAGGCAGCCAUUGCAUCAGAAGAUGAAGGGGAUUCAGAAGGGGCAGAUGUUCUCAUAGUUGCAGAAAAACAACCCACUGAAGAGUGGAUCUUGGACUCAGGUUGCUCCUUCCACAUGAGCCCAAACAAGCAACUCUUCAAGACUUAUGAAAAAAUUGAUACAGGUAAGGUUUUAUUAGGAAAUAACUUGGCCUGUAAAGUUGCUGGAAUUGGAACUGUCACCAUAACUAUGCAUGAUGGAGUAGAUAGAGAGCUAAAGAAUGUAAGAUAUGUUCCAAAGCUUAGAAGGAAUCUAAUAUCCCUAGGAACAGUUGACCAGUCAGGCUGUAGCAUUAAGGCAGAGAAUGGUGAACUCCAAGUUACAAAAAAUGGCAUGGUUAUAAUGAAGGGAAUAAGAAGAAAUGGGUUAUAUGUCCUAAUAAGCUCCACUUCCUCUCCAGGAGUUAUAGCCUCUGUUAGUGGUGAUAAAACAAAGUUAUGGCACAUGAGAUUGGCUCACAUGAGUGAAAAGGGGUUAAGGGAAUUAGGCAAACAAGGUCUAAUUGGUUCUGGUCAGAUUUCAUCUCUAGAGUUCUGUGAAAAAUGUGUGUUUGGAAAGGCAACUCGACAGAGGUUUGGGACUGGGAAGCAAGAAACCAAGAAUUCAAUGGAUUAUAUACAUUCAGAUUUAUGGGGUCCAUCCCAAGUGCCAUCACAUGGUGGAGCUAGGUACUUCAUGACACUGAUUGAUGACUAUACCAGGAAGGUUUGGGUCUAUAUCUUAAAGCAUAAGAGUGAAGCUCUGCUGAAGUUUAAGGAAUGGCUGACCUUAAUUGAAAAUCAAACAGACAGGAAGGUAAAGAGAUUAAGGACUGACAAUGGGCUGGAGUAUUGUAGUAAAGAUUUUGAUGAGUUUUGCAGAGAGAAGGGAAUUGCAAGGCACAAGACUGUUAGACACACACCCCAGCAAAAUGGGCUUGCUGAGAGGAUGAAUAGAACAUUGGUGGAAAAAGUAAGAUGCAUGUUGUUUAGUGCAAACCUCUCAAAACAUUUUUGGGCUGAAGCUGUCACCACUGCAGCAUACUUGAUAAAUAGAAGUCCCUCAUCAGCACUCAACUUCAGAACUCCACAAGAGGUUUGGUCUGGAAAACCUCCUGAUCUAAGCAAUCUGAGAAUCUUUGGCUCACCAGCUUAUGCUCAUAUCAACCAAGGAAAGCUUGAACCUAGGGCAAUUAAGGGUAUCUUUAUUGGUUACCCUGAAGGUGUUAAGGGAUACAGAAUAUGGUGCAUUGAUGGGAAACCUUCAAGGAUUAUAGUAAGCAGGGAUGUUGUAUUUAAUGAGGGUUCCAUGCUGCAGCAAAAGGUUGAAACUGAACUGACAAUUUCUGAGCAACCAGCUAACCAUAAGCCUAAUCUAGAGGUGGAGCUUACUGAUGAUCAUAAAGACACUGAUGAAGAGUCCAAGUCUUAUAACAGCAAAUCUAGAUUCUCAGAAAUAAAUAACUACCAGCUGGCAAGAGACAGAGAAAGGAGGGUUAUCAAAAUGCCUAAGAAAUAUGGCAUAGCAGACUUGAUAUCCUAUGCAUUGAAUGUUGCUGAAGUUAUUGGGGAAGAGCCCAGCAGCUAUAAGCAAGCCAUGAACAGCAGGGAUAAAACAAAGUGGCUGUCAGCAUGGAAGAAGAAAUAUCCUCAUUAAAGAAAAACAACACCUGGUUUUUGGUAAGAAAGCCAGAAGAUAGGAAGCUGGUUGGGUGCAAGUGGAUCUUCAAACUUAAAGAUGGAGCUACAAGUGAAGAACCUCCUAGAUAUAAAGCUAGGCUGGUGGCAAAGGGCUUCACACAAAGAGAGGGGGUGGAUUACAGUGAAGUUUUUUCACCAGUGGUGAAGUAUAGCUCAAUAAGAGUGUUACUUGCAAUAACAACUUACCAUGAUCUGGAGCUGGACCAAAUGGAUGUCAAAACAGCCUUCCUACAUGGCAAUCUUGAAGAAGAGAUAUAUAUGGAACAACCAGAAGGUUUCAUACAAAAGGGACUCUGAAGACAUGGUAUGUUUACUUAAAAAGAGCUUGUAUGGUUUAAAACAAUCCCCCAGGCAGUGGUACUUGAGGUUUGACCAAUUUAUGAUUGCUCAUGGUUACUUGAGAAGUCAAUAUGACAGCUGUGUAUACUGUAAAUUCCUACCCUCUAGAGAUGGGAUAUAUUUGCUUCUCUAUGUGGAUGACAUGCUUAUUGCAUGCAAGCACAGAGAAGAAAUAGAAAAACUUAAAACUGAGCUAAGGGCUGAAUUUGAGAUGAAGGACCUUGGCUCUGCCAGCAAGAUUCUAGAAAUGCAGGUAAAAAGGGAUAGAGCUGCUAAGACUCUACUUCUUUCACAAGCUGGUUACAUCAAAAGAGUGCUCAGCAAGUUUGACAUGGUUACCUCUAAAGCUGUUUCCACCCUUUUAGGCACUCACUUCAAGCUGUCAAAGCAGCAAGAGCCAUCUGAUGAUGCAGAGACUGAGUAUAUGAAGAAAAUACCUUACUCUAGUGUGGUUGGAAGCAUUAUGUAUGCUAUGGUGUGCUCUAGACCUGAUAUUGCUUAUGGGGUAGGAGUAGUCAGCAGAUUCAUGGGGAACCCAGGAAAAAUGCAUUCUGUGUGGAUCAUCUGAUUCUGGUAUUUUAUUUAGUAGAGAUAACAAAGUCACAAGUAAAGUCAUAGGCUAUGUGGACUCAGACUUUGCUGGUGACUUAGACAAGAGAAGGUCUACUACUGGUUUUGUUUUCACCAUGUGUGGAGGAGCUGUAAGUUGGAAAGCAUCAUUGCAGUCAGUUGUUGCCUUAUCAACUACUGAAGCCGAAUACAUUGCACUUACUGAAGCUGUUAAAUAAGCUAAGUGGAUCAGAGGGAUUAUAUCUGAAAUGGGGUUGACUCAGGAUACAAUUCCAAUCUGUUGUGACAGCUCAAGUGCAAUUCAGUUAAGCAAAAACUCCAAAUACCAUGAGAGGACAAAGCAUGUAGAUGUGAGGUUACAUUUCAUAAGAGAAGAAAUUGAAAUAGGGGUAGUGGAUGUUGUAAAGAUCUCUACUGAAGUCAAUCCAGCAGAUGCACUGACAAAACCAAUACCAACAGUCAAGUUCAGAAACUCUCUGAGCUUGAUUGGAGUUACAAGCUUGUAAGUCAAGCAUAUUAACUAUCUAAACCAGGUCUGGGUGAAGCUGGUACAGAAUCAACUAAGGUGGAGAUUUGUGAAGCCUGAUUAGUUAAUUCUGUUAUAUGACUAAGUGGCGUGCUGAGUCAGCUUAUAUGUGGGGCUAGAGUUAGUUAAUUCGUUACUGCUAACAGCUGGACAACAGAGCUAUAUAUACAUAGGCUCAGGGCUGAUCAAUAGAGAGUUGAAGUCACGAUUUUGAGAAGCCUAGGGUGAGAGAUAGAAAAUUCUCUGUAGGAGAGAUUUAAUCUUUGUCAUCAAUACUCUCAUUGUAAACACUUUGUUCAAUAAAAGCUUCAAGCCCAGAGGGGUUUAUUUGGUCGUGGAUGUAGGUACUUUAGUACUGAACCACGUUAUAUUGUGUGCAUUGUUUCUGGUUCAUCUUCUUCUUGUUGUUCUUUGGUUAUUUCUUGUGUUUGAUCUAGUUAGCUUUCUUGGUUAAAGAUUGUUGAUCUUGAAUCGAUUGGGUUCUAUAAGCUUAGGUUAUUUGAUUAAUUAGAGUGGAUCAAGAGGAAUUCCACAACAAUUAUUUUGAUAGAAUGUAUUUUCAAAAACCUUCCCUCAUGAAUAUUUUAUUUUGUAUAAAUUAAGCUGACGAGGGUAAGAUCGUAAUUGAAUAAGUUAAUAACAAAAAAGUUCAAACAAAUUUAAUAUUUUCGCCUUGGGCUUUGAAAUUAUCCUUCAAUUAUAAGAUCUUGCAAACAGUGAAGUUAAAAUUGCUUUGAUUCUACUCUUCUAUUUUGUUUAUCCAAUGAGUUGUCUAUUUUUGGGGUUUCCCCAUAAUUUUUGUUUUGUUUUGUUUAUUUUUGAAAUUACCAGAAAAAAAGAUGCUCUAGUCAGCAAUGUUUGGGGUCACAUGAAUAUGAUGUUUUAUGUUAUGGCUAUCACUAUAAUGCUUUGUUAUCAUUGUUAUUAUUAUUUGAUUUGCAUAAAACAAAAAAAAUUAAAAACAUGUAAUUAAGGGUAAUUAUAAACUUUUAAUUAAGAGUCGAAUUAUAAUAUUUGAUCUAUAUCAAUAUAUGACCAUAUACCAAAUAUCAAAAUAGAGGUAAGAUUUAUAAUAUCUGGAGCCACUCGGCCUUUGGCCGAGUGGUGAGAGCUGCUGCUCUCCAACUUGGAGAGCAGCAGUUCGAACCCCCACAAUGCAUGUGGGGGUGUUUCAUUCUUCAAAUAAAAUUGAGUGAAGGCAGUCUGCUUCCUUGCCCCAGUGCGAGGAGUAGACAUCCCUCGAAUAUUUGAGAGGGUUAAAAUCUGGGCAGCGCUCCAUUAGAUUUGAUGUAUGUUGGUCCCAGUUAUAGUCUGAUUUGUACAUAUCAGUUAUAUUCUCAUGUAAUAUGAGUUGUAAUCUGAGCAAUAGUCUCAUGUAAUCAAAAAAAAAAAUAAUAUCUGGAUACGAUUUUAUGAAUUUGAAAAAAAAUAAUUAUUAUAAAUUUUGAAGUCGGUUGAAUUUGGAAAUUUAUUUCAUCAAUUAAUUUAAAAAGGUACUAUAUAUAUGACAUGGUUGGUAAAUGUUAAUAUAAUGGGUGGGUAUGACCAAUAACUAUGCAUUUAUUUUAAUUAAAGUAAUAUGGAUAAAUUUAUUAAGAAUAGUUGUCAAUUUGUCAUCGUCACAGCCAUCACAUGAAGUCGUGGCACAAGAAAUUUUAUUUAUUUUUUUAAUGAAAAAUUAAUCACACUGAUUAACAAAUAAUUACGAUGGAUGUAUCAUGAUGGACUUCAUAAAUAAAAUAAAAGAAUUCAUCAUACUUUUUUAAAGAUUUGCAAUUUAUGAAUACAAAUAGGCCUCUAGCAACUGGUUAGAGUUUGGGCCUUUGAUAAUAACAAAUAAACAAUACAAAAACUCAUAUUUUCAGUGCUAUACUUAUCUCCAUAAGCAUGCAUUUAAUUUCACAAAUUAUUUUCAAAUUAUUUUGUUAUUAUUUAGUUAUUUUUUAAGUAGAGUUUUUAAAAAUUAAAUAAGUUAUUUUAUCUCUGCCACUAAAAACUCAAAUUUUAUACUUUUGAAAGUAGUGGUUGAAUUUUUUUUUUAAAUAUUAAAACAUCUAAAAUAUCCUUUACUUAUUUACUUAUUUUAUUUUUUUCUUUUAAAACAUAACUUACCUAUUAAAGUAAUUUUGUUUAAAAUUUUCAAUUAAAACUCUCAUGGACCACCAAAUAACUAAUUUUCUUUAAUAAAUCUCUAUUUAUAAAAGUUCUUUUAAAAUAAGUUUUUCUUAAAACUUUACUUAAAUAAGUUUUUCUUAAAACUUUACUUAAAUAAGUUUUUCUUAAAACUUUAUACCAAACAGUGCCUUCGCACUAUAUAAAAAAAUAAAAUAAAAAAUAUCCUAAUUGUUGCAAGAUUUUUAUCUCGAUGACUCCAUCACAAUAAAAUUCGUGAGUGCUCUAAUUGUCCUCUAAUGUUCUAUGGUCAUGAGUUUUGUGUUAUGCCACUUAUUCAUUUCAUUAAUAAUAAAAGAAAAUGGUUUGAGCUUUGAAUAUUUAAAAAAAAUAAAUAAAUAAAAGGGGUUGAAUCUCCCACAAAUUUAAAAUAAAAUUGCACCUAAUUUAAUUUGAGUAAUGCAGUACUUAUAUUUUCUAGAAUUUUUGCCGUUGAAUUAUGAAAUUACAAGAAUUUUAUUUUUUUGUUAAUUUAAUUUAUAAUUAGUGGACUAAUUCAUUUUUAAUAUAUUAGAUUAGUAAAAUACAAAAAAAUUAGUUGAUUAAAUUAUAUAUUUAUUAAAUUAUAGGUAAACUUAUAAUUUAUUAAAUUAUUAAUUUAUCGAUUAAUUAAUAUAUGUUUAAAUUAAUAAAUUUUAUAUGAUGCACACGUUGUUAAUUUAUAAACAAUUGAUUGUACUUUGAUUUCUUUGAUUCCAAACUAAACCUUUAGGCAGACAAAACUAUUUUAUUGUACUUUGAUUUCUUUGAUUCCAAACUAAACCUUUCGGUCGCCGUUGAUUUUACAUACUACAACAAAGUCAGCUUUCAUCAGCCACCAUCAAACCCACAUCAACUUCGAUCACUUCCCAGUAAUUGAUGAUUUUUCUUCAUGUUAUUUCUUAAUUCCUACAAUUUUUAGAAACCUUAAACCCUUGAAGUAGUUGAAUACAGAAACGGAGG